rnacentral:lncRNA from 1 species
AAUUUCAGUUUGGUUUCGGUUUUGGCAAAAAACCGAACCGAUUUAAACCGAACCCACCCCUAAUCACUAUGUGGAGUUGUAUUAAUUCUAGAACUCAAUUGUCCGCGGUUGCAUCAGUUUCAAGUAUUUAAUGUUUUUUCUAAGGUCUCUUUUUAAGUCUUUCGAAAAAAAAUUCUACUUUUUUUGUCCUGAAAUUCUGUCUCAAAAUUGCAUUUUUUUAAUCAAAGCAUGAGGUUAAAAAUCAAGUGUUUUUUUUGUUUUUGAAAAAAAAAACACUUGUUAUGUGAUUGCGAGGCCAAAAUCGCUUUUGAAGAAGCAUAUUCAAGCAGAUUAGUGUCAUUCAAGAACAAUUAGAAAAUGAGAACUAAAAUUAAAAAAUAGGCUGUGUGUCUGAUUAAAGUUUGAAUAAGAAAAAUUUCUAUGAAAAUUAGAUUAAUUAAAGUAUCGUGUUAUCAUGAACCGAAAAGUUAAAAAAGAAAAAGUCCCUGUACUACUAAAACUGCAAGAUAAGAUUUUUUUUUUUUUUUUUUUUUUUUUUUUGUGUGGAAACUGCAAGAUAAGAUUUUUGGCUAAUUUACUUGGCCUAAUUAAUUCUCAUUCUAUCAAGAUAAAAUGUUUGAGUAGCUUGGAAAGCAAACAAAUUUAAUAAUUUGACUGGAAUCAAUUCCAUUGACUCGAGUGAAUAGAAAUACGAGAGAAAGUGGUAUUUUCAUUUCAUCUAACCGAAGAGUCUCGUAGUUGAUAUAGUUAAUUAAAAACAUUCACUCUUGCAUUUAAAGUACUAAAUCCAAAUCUUUUCUCGGCUAAUAUAUUGCUUGCAUUAGAAAAAGUUUUUUUGAGUGACAGAUGUAUUCAAUUGAGAUUUUGAGCGAUUUUAAAUCUUUUUAUAAAUUUGGGGUAUUCAAUUAGUAUUUUAAGUGAUUUUCUGAAAUUCAACGUGUAUUCAAUCAAGAUUUUAAGAUAGUUUAUUCAAAUCCUGAGAAUCCGGGCGCAUUGAAUUAGGGUUUUAAAGAAGUUUAUAACAUUUUAGGUGUCUUCAAUUAUAAAUUUGUUUUAAAGAGUUUUAAAAAAUUGAGGAAUUUGAGGGAAUUGAAGAGAUUUGGUAGUGUAUUUUAAGCAUUCACAUAUCUCACAUCUCCACCACCUGAGAUUUCGAGGGCAUUGGACUCCAUCAAUUAAACUCCAUCAAAAUCCAUAGAUUUAUAAAUCCAAUAAAAUCCAUUAGAAUCUCUGAAUACACAUCAUAUUAAGAUUAAAGAAUACAACACUGAAAUUCAAAAACAUAAAAAUAAACAACCGCAAUUUCAAUCUCCACUCCACGAGAGAUUUUUCAGUGUGACCAGCACAUAAAGUGGUGUACCACAUGUCACUAUGCAAAUGAUGGGAUAUGUGUAUUAAAAAGUUAAUAACUUCAAAAAUAAAAUUUUUCACCACUUACAUAAAAACAUGUGGUGUACUGCUUGUAUUCCCGUCAUAAUAAAAAAAUUCUUCGACAAAGCUUUGAAUUCUCUAAUGUCUUCCUCUUUCUUUCUCUCGGCUAUGUAUAUGCAUUAGAUCUGGAGAGUCGUUCCUCCUUUACAUGUUUAUGCCGCCUACUCCCUAUUUAUACUCCUCUUUUCCAUAUUUGGGCCUAACUACUUCACUAUUUGGACUUAGUAGCACUGGCCCACUUUCGACUAUUGGCACAAGCCCAACACAGCUCCCGUAAUUCUCCUCGCCGGAUCUUCGAGUCGUCACGUAUUUUUAUCGUAAAGUUCAUGUUUUUAUCACAAUUAUGUACUCGUUUGGAAGUGCUUUUAAAAUGACUAAAAGCACUUUUGGUGAAAUUGUUUUUGGAACUAAUCUUUAGUAAAAAAGUAAGUGAUCCUCAAAAAGCACUUAAAGUGCUUCCAAUUAUGUGUUUCUUGCAUGAAACACUUAAAAUCCCUAUACAGCUAUCACGAUAAACCAACACAAACAGGAGUCUCAUGGAAAACUGUCACAAAGAUAGUGUAACGAUCCGAAGAUUUAUAUUCGGAAGCAAAUACCAAGAUAGGCCCAAAAUUUAUUUCAGAAGAUAAUCACCAAAUUCCUUUUCUUAGACAAUUUCCAAGAAAAGAUUAAAUCUUCGUUAUUUUAUUAUGGCUGCAUCUAACCUUGUUAGAUUGCCUACAUACCCUACGAAGGGAUCAAGCCAUUCGUAGUUCACAAAUUCAAUAUCUAACUCAUUUCUGAAAAUCAUUCAAGUGACUAACAAUCACUAACUAGGUUCAAAUAGGUGGAUCAUAUAAAAUGCAUAUCAUUCAAGUGAUUGGCCACGCGCCGCCGCGCGUAGCUGUUUUCGACGAACGAAAAUCCAAUUUUCUAACUCCAAAAAUUACCAAAUUUUACAGGGUUGUAGAACUCAACAAGGGGAAGAACUUUUAUACCUGGGCCAAAGCCUAGUUCGGCCGGGAAGUGGCCAUAAAAUGCCUCGAACCGCCGGAACCCUCGGUUUGGGUAGUUGAUGAUUCGCCACCAAAACGCACUCCGCCACCUCAUCCAAGGCUUGAGCCUUGCUUCUGGGGUUGAGAAGAGUCCUUUGGUGGUGGUCAUCGACGACAAUCGUUGUCGGAUUCACCAAAAAAAGAACAAAGCCGCCGGGACACCUGUGAGUUUUGUGGCUUCGAUUUGUGAAUUUGGGUUUGAAACCUAGAAUUCUAAUACCACAUGGAUGUUGGGUUCGAUGAGAGCUUUCCAUAGACACCGGAAUCACCUCAAUUGGAUGUCGGACGGAGGAGUUAGAGCCAAGUCAAGGAACCGGGUUGGAUCGAGUUGUACGGAUCCAAAAAGAUCGAGUGCUCCCUCACCUCCCUCCUUUCUCUCCCUUAUUCCCUUGCCCAUUCGUCCUCUCCCCCUCAUUUUCUCUCCCAUAUCCCUCAUUUCCCUUCUCUCUCUUGCUGCCACCUGGCAGUUUCCACCCAUUUUAUUUAUUUAUUUCCAACAACAAAAACGUUUCUAAUUUCUUAACUCUGUUUCAUGAACGAUUUUCGCCUACGCACUCAUAGGAUCGAACUCUAUCCAGAUAUGUCAAGAAAUACAAUAAAAUAUACAAGGAUAAAAUAUGUCCUCGUAAAAUUACGUUUAGUCAACUAGGGGCAUUUUCCACUUAUCGAUAAAUUUUUCUAUAUUUUCAUAUAUUUUAAAUUUUCUAGGGCAUUACAGAUAGUAGAUGCGACAGUCCUAAAACUGAUACCCUGACAUAAAGCUAUCGACAACGAAACCACAUAAAUCGCAUAACACAAACAUAUCACAACAACUACACAGAAUCUACUAAUCUAACCCUCUCAAAAUGCUACAGAACAAAUACUUAAAACUUAACUAAAGACGAUGACGUGUCCACAAGGAAGACACGAGUACAAACGUAGUAGGAGGCGUGGGUUGCAGGACCACAUAAGUGUGUGGGUAGCAAGGACAACAAAGGCUUGGUUGCAAAUCCCAUGAUAUGAUAUAGCCACCAUGGACAUCGUUGUCUCCACCACCAAGAGCCUAGAGUAACCUGCAUAAAAUCUUUAGCACUAAAAGCUGCCAAAGGUUUCCGCCUACUGGGAAAAAGAUAAGAUCUGUAAACACCAAGGCCACAUGGAUCGCAACAUAGCAAAUUGAAACAGUAAUCCACAUAUUGAAUCAACGAUUUAGGCAAGUGUGCAUCAAAUUUCCAACGACAAUGGCAAAGGUCAUAAUUAAGAGGCCAUGUUCUUCACCGUAACAACGUUGUAGCCAGCCAGCACCACAAACCCAAAACUAAAGGAUCGAGUUGAAACUUCCAAAGGAUGUGCCUCAACAUACCCAAUCCAACCAAUAGAAAGCCUCAAUGGCUUCAGUUAUGCAAAUCAAACCACCUGCAACAGUAAGAUGUGGAUGUUUCAAACCAACAUGCUUAAUAAUGUAGGACAAACAAAAUUAGGCCGUUAUCGAUAAGAAGGAUAAUAGCCUGAUUCCACCCAACUAGAGAGAGGUGUUGAGACGUGGAUAGAGGAAUAAGAAACGAGAUAAAAGGAGGGGAAUCAGCGAGAAGGGAAGAAAGGAGGGAAAAUAGAAGGUUGAAGGUGAGGGAGGACUAAAAGAAAGGAGGAAAGGGGUUGCCGCUAGCCCCAAGCUUAAGCAAGGGGCAGAUGGCUGUGAAGCUUCUAGAUUUAGGGUUUUUUUUUUUUUUUAAGUCGGAUGCAAAUGACAACCCUUGGUAGAAAAAAAAUUGAGAAAAAUCAACCAUGUUAGAUGUAAAAUGACACCAAUGUUUGUGAAAAUUAUAAAGAAAACAAAAUCAAAAUACAAAAAGUUGGAGGCCUGUUGGUAAUAUACCAUUCAUCCAAACAACAAGAAGAAAAUUAGAUACUAAAUAAAUAAAAUGAGAAGGAGAAUUAAAUCAACAAUACCAUUCAAACAACCUAACAAUACUCAAAAUGAGACUUUACAUAAACUACAUAUAAUACAUAAAUAUGAUUAAAAACUACUAAAGUUUUGUGCUAUCUUACUGUUAUCGUUUAGUAAACCAAUGAUUCGAUGUAACGACUUUGAUUCAUAAUCUGAACGAGAAGGAUGCUUCGAUGUUUCAUAACUCUUUAUAGAAAACAAGAAGAGGAACAUCAAAUAUGAGAUUUUGAAUGAUUGGCACCUCGAACAUCAUAACCAAUUUAUAGUACGAGUGUAUGUACGCUCUCCUUCGAAGGUUCCCACUAAACUACAUUACACGUGGCAGCCUUUGACUGGUUACUUCAUGUGUCAAAUGCACAAUGAUUGGUCACAAGGGCACAUAGCCACGUCAUACUUGCUGACUAGAAAAAUGAUAGGGCAAGAAUUAUACUAUGUGUGUUUGUGUGAAAUAUGUCAAGAAAUGACGCCGUAAAUAGAUGAACAACGAUUUUUUCGUUAGUUAAUUAGUAGAAAAAGAUGAAAAUUUUAAAAACUAGUAAGUCAAUAAUAGCGAACAAAAGGAUGUACCAUUAGCUAAGCUAAUAAGUCAGUCACAAUACCGUCUAACGUAGGGGUGGGCACGGUGCGGUUCUACCCUUAAACUGGAACUGAAAUCGAAAAAUAUCAACGGUUCGGUUCGGUGCAGUUUCGUAUAAAUUUAUUACUAGAACCGUACGGUUCAGUCUACACUGGUUCCAAUUCAAUUCUUGCCGGUUUAGAGUUCCAAAUACUAAAUUAUUUGAACACCAAAUCAUUAUGCAUUUCACAUACAUCUUCUAAAACGAUUUUAUAAAGUUGCAUACAACACAAAUCCUUUUUAAUGUAAAUGUCCUUGGCAGUGGCACCAAGUUAACAAAAAGAGACAAUUAAAAGAAAUAUGCAUUGGUCAGUCAGUUAACAAAAAAAAUCAAGAACUUAAGCAGCAUCAGUCUCCUGAUAUUGGCAACAGCAGCAAGCAAAAUCAUUUGAGGGUGGGUGAGCCCUAAUUGGGAUGGAUUCACUACUUUACAACUUUGUGAAACUAAUUUUUUAACCUAUUAUACCAUGACACGUGUGUAUAUAUAUAAUUCAUUCAUUCAUUCAUUAUUAAUAAAAUGGUUUGGUUUUGUUCCGACCGGUUCUUGUUCCUUCGAAACCAAAACCAAAAUUGGUUUGAACUGGUCCAGUUCGGUUUUUGACUCAAAGUUGACUUUUUUUAUCAACGCAGUUUUUUUCGGUUUUUUUUUUCAUACAGUUCGAUGCAAUUUUAUGAUUUGACAGUUUUUAUGCCCACCCUUAAUCUAACUUACAAUACAAGUAUAUGCGAUCGAGUAUAACAUUAUGCAUGCAAAUUACUAAUAUGUGUGCGGUCUAACGCGCAAAUGUGCUUUAUCUCCUGGCUUGGGUAUAUUUUUCGCUCCACAAUUUUGCUCGACUUUUUAUUUUUUAUACUUUUAUUACGUUACCUACUCUGCGGGUAGGUAACAAAUCAUUGAAUAUUUAAGUGAAAUAAAAGGGCCAAUAAAUAUUACCUAAUACAACUUUCCAUAUAAAAUUCAACGUAGAUGGUAUUUAAUAACCAAUUAGGUAUAAAAUCGAGCCAGGAUUUUAUUCGUUUUAUUCUAUUUUUAAAAAGAAUCAAGAUACGAUAAAAAUACAAAGCAUGAACGUUUCAUAUUAAAACUUGUUUGGCAAGAUCAUCAAGUUGUGUAUGAACAUGCUAAGUUCAUCGUAUUUGUGCACCAAAUUUGAAUUCCAAAUGAAAUGACGUGAUCAUUAGUUUUUUUUUUUUAAAUAUAAUGACCUUGGUUCUUAAAUUAUCUAAAAUCAAAUAGUUUUUUUGUUUUCCCAAAAGAAAAAAAAAUUGAUUUGAGCAACCAAAUAAUCGAACCCACAAAACCACCACGGUUCAAUGUGUCACGGUGUUGACUUACCUCGUCAUCAACAACAACAAUCAAGUCUUAUCUCACUAAAUGGAUUGGUUGUAUGAAUCUCAAAACACCACUGAGCUCAGUUUUGCGCUAAGCCUUACCUCAUCAUGCUACGAAAUAACCACUUCGAGUCUUCAAGCAUUUUAACCAACUUAGAUUAUAAUACAUCAAUAGUACAUUCGAGAGCGAUGAAUUUGGGUUAAACCACACAAGAACUUAAACCUAAGAGUUCAUGCUUACAAAUAACUCUCAAGCCCAACCAUCUGUAAAUAUCAGAACCUUGUAUUCCUUGGAGGAGAAGGAUUUCUUCCCUCCCUUAUUACUACAAAUAAAGGCACUGCGUAGGGGGAAUAACACAUCCUCUACACAACCCUACAAACACAUAUCUCUCUCUCUUUCUCUCUAUAUUUUCUCUGUGCUGCCAACCCCCUCUCCCUUGUCAGAUAAAUAUAAACUACAACAUGUUAUCAGCACGCUCCUACUGCUACGCUUAUGAAUCUGAUGUGGAAGUUUUUUCUGCAUCAAACCAGUCCAUCAAUAUUAUCACGCGAUCAUGUUCUUUCAAAACAACGAUUUUUAUCUUGAUAUUUUUGCAGCCCUGGUAGCAUGAACAUUUACCAUAAUGCAUAACCAAACUUUACGUUUUUCAAAUUUUAGAUUCUACAUAAAUUGUGUAUGCAUUAUAUCCAUAAUUGUUGAAUUAUGUGAAUUUGAUAUUGCCAUGAAUUGCAUCAAUUAUAUGUCCAUGCAUUAAAUUGUUUAAUUGAAUAUGCAUUGAAUUAAUCUGGAAAUUGAACAAAAAAAAAUUUAGGGUUUGCCGAAUAAAAAACCCGAGCUCACGCGAGCCUUCUUGAGCCGCGAUGCAUCGGAGCAAAACCCCUAAUGCUUCAUUUGAGAAGGCGACGCCGUUUUGGCAUCAAACUGAUGCGAAAUAUAUAAGCACACAAAUUAAACCCUCUUUUUAUCAAUUGUAGUAAAGUAUGUAAGUAGGGAUCAUUCUAGGCCGGGGAUUAGGAGGGAUUGCUAAAUCACUUGGAAACUGACUUGAAAACGUAAAAACAAAGUUUAAAACACUAACUAGACUCAAAGAAUGCAAAACUAUACUUUAAAACACUAAAACAAACCAAAAGACUCAAAACAGCCCCUAAACACUCAAAAUUACCUUAAACACACAAUCUGGGCAGUUUUGGGACUCUAACACAAACUUGGACGAAUUUUGGUUUUCUAAUGAACUAAAACACUUAAAAACAUAAUCUAAGACAAGUUCUAAUUAAUAUGACUCAAAGAAAUAAGAUGGGGUUGAUUUUGGACGAAAAUAAUUAAAUUAAGACAAGAACAAAGUAAACAAAUUCUUAGACAAAUUUAAGUGAAUCAAAACAGAUUGUAAAAUGAAUUUGAAUGAAACUUAUGGAUGGAAGGCUAGCUAGGAGGUUCUUCUCCACACAUGUCACACUUGCAUACAAAACGAUUUCCAGUUGCUUUUCGAUAAGCUAUGAAUACUCAACGCCCCAAAUUAACCGUGAAUUGCACUAAUUAACCCUCAGUUUUUCCACAAGUUAUUGGGUUGGAUGAUUGCAUACGACAACCCAAAACAUUCCCUACAAGUUCCCUACAUGAAUUGCAUAAUAGAGAUACAAGCAAGAAUCAUUAAGUUCUAUGAAAAACAUAAGCAUUGACGAGGCACUCGUUACUAUGAUUUGCAUGAAACUUAUGCCAAGAAUUUACUUAACGUGAUUGUGACUAGCAACCUUCACUACUUGUGAAUAUAAGUUCAUAACGAUUAGGUGAAACUCCUUUAUAUUCUAGCGUUAAAUUCAUGCAUGAAAAUUAAGCGUGCACUCUCACCCAACAUACACAAAUCAAUUUUUUAUACAAUCGGAUAAGUAAAUUGAAUUCACAACUUAUGAAUCACAACUGGAUGUAAUCAAAUCAUAUUGCAAGUAUGAACAUGGUUUUGAAUCACCCUCUAACUAAGAGGGGUUUAGUUCCUCAUACUCACAAAGCAAAGAUACAUAAAAUUAGACAUUAAAAUCAAAGGAAAGAAAACACCUAAAAUGCUCCAACUUGGGUAGCAAGUGCAUCCAAGAAUUCUCCUUUGCUUGCUUGCGGCAGAUUGCUUUGUGGACGGAUUUUUGGGUAGUUUUAUGAUGUAGAAUGGAUGGGGAAUGGUAUGGAAAGGUUUAGGGUAAGUGUGGAGGAGUGUUUGAGGGUUGGAGGGUGGUGGAGAACUAGGCAAAGAGGGUGGAAGAAGGUGGAGUGCCUGUUAUGUUUUCUAGGCACUAGAAUGGUGUUUUUGGGGUGUUUUGCUACCUAGGGUGAGUAUGGACGAAUUUCUGUGAUGAAUGGUGAAUAUGAGAGUGUGAACCCUUUGCCAAGGGGUGUAAACAUGUAUAUAUAGGCCCCAAAAAACCUUAGAGAAUCAGGUUAGGCUAGGGAGAAUGCACGGCAAAGAGUGUAUGUGGUGUGCAAUGGUCCAAGGGUGAAAAUGAAGUGAUGAUGCAAAGUGUGAAGGGUAAAAUGGAGUGGUCUUGUAGCUAGGGGGCAUGAAUGAUUGUGUACAUUGCAUAGAGAUGGAAAGGGAGGUGAAAAUGUGUCAAUAAAUGGGUCAAAGGUGCAGCAACAUGUGGUACACAAGGCAUGGGAUUCCAAAUGUGAAUGAUGGAGCAUCAAUUGAUGCAUGUUAUGGUUGUGAAAGUUGUAUAAAAUUUUGUGGGUGAAGGGAAUAAGAGGUAUCAAGCAAUUAAGUGUAAUAAUUAAAUGAAUUGAAGCAUGAAAUCAGAAAUUAUGUAGGGGACAAGAGUGAUCAAGCAUGGCAUGGGAAUCCAAAGGGAAUUCUAUGUUGUUUUGCAUGGCAAUGAAGGCAAGUUGGGGUGACAAAUUUUGGGCUGAGUUCUUCAUCUUUUGGACCAUAAUUCUUCACAUUCUUGGCCUCUUUAGUUCUCAAAUUCGUCCAUCCACUUUGGCCCAAAUAUGUGACAUGCAUUCCAAGCUCCAUUUUGCUCCAAAAUGCUCCAAAAUGCAUCUUCUUGCCUACUUUGUCCAUAAAAUCUGAAAACACACGAAAAUGACUUUAAACAUUAAAAUAACUAAGGAAACACGACAUAAAUGCACAAGAACAAGCCAACUAAGUUGCAUAAAUAUGCUCCUAUCACAAACCCAGCCGCCGCCUGCAGUCGGCCACCACCUCCCAUUGUCUCUCUGGGACAUCACGACCUGCAGUCUUGUUUUGGGACCCAACCAUUGUCGGAGACGAUUGGUAUUUUUUCGUUUUGAAUCUCACACCCAGUGCCGCUGUGGUGUUUUGGGUUUUUUGACUCGAGCCUUAGUGGGUCUCGAACCCUCGGGCCUACAUCGCACAACACCCUUUUGGGCUUACUAGUUGCAUUUACUGCCACGACCCAAAUCCAAACAGCCUAUUAGACUAAUCUAGACUCGCGGCCAGUGAAUAACACCAGCCUAAGUGGGCUUUAGUGUCCCCCCAUGCUCCGCGUUGCACCAGAUCCCAACCUAGGCGCUGGUGUAUCUAUGUCCGCAUUGCACCAGAUCCCAGCCCACGUGCUAGUGUAUCUGUGUACGCAUCACACCAUAUUCGAGCCUUUCAUGGGCCUCUAUUUUUUUGGGCUUACGCUUGCAGUCCAUUUAUUUUGUGAUGCUGGGCUUACCUGCAUGCUAGGCCUGAGCCCAACCUAGCCCAAAUGUUUUGGCGUAGACCACGACACCAAUUUGCUUAACACACCCAUGGGUUUUUUGCCCUUAUUUUUGGGCCCCGAGCUUAAUUGUUUAAUUUUUUAGACAAUUUGGGUUUAAAAUUUUUCGCCCACACUUUAAUUUUGGCCCCAAGUCUAAAUAAUUAAAUCAAUUAUAAUUCUAAACCUGAAGAUCUAUUUCCAUAUUUAUUGUUGCAUAUUUCUGUAUAUAUAUUUGUGUUUGUCUACAAGAACAUCUGAACAUGAAGUUCAUAAUUCUUUCGAAACCUGAAGUUUCUAGAAACAUGCCUUAUUUGAAAACCUGAAGUUUUCCUUAAAAACAUCACCCAUGAAAACUCGAAGUUUUUCAUGUAAAUUUAAACCAAUAAAUGUCUAUUAGAACUUGAAUGUUCUACUCUUAUGUGAAUGAAUUGAUUUUUCUCCAUUACACUAACCACAUUCUUGUCCAUUUUUUUUUUUGUGAAAGGGACAUGUUGAAUUUGAACAAACUCGACUUCACCACUUUAGAAGUCACUGGAGGAAACUCUCAUGUGUGUCCAAAAUGUGAAGCUCCACCUCACUGUAAAGAAUUUGCGUCCCACCAUUGAAGAUAAGAUGGACAACCCGGUUAGCAAAGCUAAGAAAGUCACUGCCAUGAUCUUCAUCUGAAGACAUACUCAUGAUGCAUUGUAAACCGAGUACCUUGCUGAGGAAGAUCCACGAGUGUUUUGGGUCGCUUUGGAUGAUCGCUUUGAUCAUCAAAAUGACAUUUUAUAGCCUGAAGCAAGAAAAGACUGGCAGCAUCUGCGCUUCCAAGAUUUUAAGUUUGUGAAUGAAUAUAAUUAUGAAGUUUAUUAAAUCCAAUCACUUCUCAAGUUCUGCAACGAGAACUUAACCGAAGAUGAUCUCUUGGAGAAACCUAUUUGACCUUCUCUACUACCAAUAUUGUCCCGUAUCAAUAAUAUAGGGCUCAAAAGUUUACUAAAUUUUCGGAUUUGAUCUCUAUUUUACUUCUCGCUGAAAAGCAGAAUCAGUUGUUGAUGAAGAAUUAUCAAGCUCUACUUACUGGGGUGACUCUUGUGCCUGAAGCACAUUAUAGCACAAACCAACGCCUAAAACGCCAAUAUAGGCGUGGUAAGGGCGGCCAAAAGCCACCCCGUCAAGGUGAACAGAACCAAAGCCAAUAUAAGGGAGGAAACCGAGCCCAAAAGCUCCCUAACCCUACUUCCAGGGCCCUAAACUUCAAGAAUAAGGGCAAAGCACCUGAAACCAUGGAUGCGGACAUAUGUUACCGUUGUGGUUCAAAUGACCAUUGGUCCUGUGUUUGUCGUGCCCCCCAGAAGGUUAUAGCUGAAUAUCAUUCUUGUCCUAAAAAGUUUGAAUCGAACUUUGUGCAAGUAGAUGAACAGGGAGUACCAAGAUGGAGGUUUCUGACUUUGAGGAGGAUACCACCCCUAUGGAAGAUUAGAAUCUUAGACAUAAACUAUUUUUAGUUGUUUUUUGGAACAAUGGGGCCAAAUUCCACCUAGUGGUCGAACCCUUCCUUUGUUUUUGGUUUAAUUUUGCACAAUUUUCCUUUAUGUUUGGAUUAUUUAUUGGUGAUUUGUUUUUUGGAUAUUAAGUUAUUUUAAUUACCAUCCUUGAAUACUUAAAUGAUUUUGAAUGGAUAUUUGCUUUUAGAACUUUUAUGCAUGUGACCGAUUUAAAUUAAUUUGUAUUUCAAGGUAUAACUAGUGGGAAAGUUAGUUAUCUGGUAAUUAGUGCAACCACACACACCAUUUUGCGUGAACGCAUCUAUUUCACUAACUUCAUACCUAAGAAUGCAUCUCUGACAACCCUCUCAUGACCAUCCAACCUAAUUGAAAGAUACGGUAAGGCACAUAUAAUGUUGUCCAAUGGUACAAUCUUGACCAUUGAUGAGGCACUUUACUCUCCACGUUUCGGAAGAACGUUGUUGAGUUUCAAAGACAUUAGAGAUAAUAAUUAUCACGCUGAAACAUAUUUAGAAAACGGAGUGGAAUUUAUGUGCAUAACUUCCUAUGAAUAUGGCCAUAAGCGUAUUCUAGAGAGAUGGAGCAUAUCCCGAGUGGACUAUAUACUAUAACCAUACGCCCUGUAGAGAGCCACAAUGUGGCCGGCCUUACCUUUGGGACCGCGCACGAAAUUACACUUUGGCAUAAUCGUUUGGGACACCUUGGACGAAUAGUGAUGCGCCAUAUCCUCAAAUCUUCGCACGGACAUCCAUUAACCCAAAGUUUAGGUUCAAUUCAAGGAAUCACAUGUCAAACCUGCUCAAAUAGGAAAACUUAUUAUUAAGCCUUUUAAUGACAAGAUUCGUUCGAAUCCUCCUAUUUUUUCUACAAAGGAUUCAGGGGGACAUUUGUGGACCGAUUCACCCUCACUGUAGACCAUUUAGAUAUUUUAUGAUUUUGGUUUACGCUUCCACGCGUUGGUCACACGUGUACUUGUUAUCCACAAGGAAAACUACAUUAUCCAAAUUGUUGGAUUAGGUUAUCAAGCUUAGGGAUCACCACCUUGAUUAUCUGAUCAAAUAUAUUCGAUUGGAUAAUGAUGGAGAAUUUACAUCUAAAACUUUUGAUGACUAUUGUAUGUCGGUUGGGGUUAAAGUUGAACAUCCAGUACCCCAUGUUCACACCCAGAACGGCCUGGCAAAGGCAUUCAUUAAGCACUUACAAAUGAUUGCUCGAUCAUUGGUCAUACAUACUAAGCUCUCGAUCGCUGCUUGGGGCCAUGCAAUAUUGCACGCAGUCAUUUUGGUCCGCCUGAGACCGGUUGUGACCCAACCAUAUAGCGCCCUUCAGUUGGUUACCGGAUACGAACCCGACAUAUCGCAUUUGCGCGUUUUUUGUUAUGCAGUCUAAGUGUCGAUUUCGCCGCCCUUACGUACAAAAAUAGGGCCUCAUUAAAUGAUGGGAAUCUAUGUCGGAUAUAAUUCUCCGUCGAUCAUUCAUUACUUAGAACCUUUGGUAAGCGAUUUGUUUACCACUUGUUUUGUGGAUUGUCACUUCUAUGAGACAGUCUUCCUGUCAUUAGGGGGAGAUAAGAACAUCAACGUUCUUGAAGAACGAUGCGAAUUAUCGUGGACAACUCCUACUUUAUCUCAUUUAGAUCCUUGCACCGCUCAGUCUGAAACUGAAAUGCAUCGCAUAUUAGAUCUUCAUAGCGUAGCUUAGAGCAUGCCAUAUGCUUUUAUCGAUCUAGCACGAGUGACAAUAUCACAUAUUCCAACUAAGAAUAUGUCUGCAAAGACAGAUGUACUAAAUGUAUGACAGACUUCCUUCCUAGAGGCUCGGGACGCCAUUUUGGCCGAUCCACGUACAUUAGCGCCUAGCCAAUCAUCUACACAUAAGCGUGGCAGACCACUUGGUUCAAAGGAUUCACACCCCCAGCAGAGGAAACCCAUGACACAGGCCCUUGAAAAGCCUAUCAUGAAUUCAACUGUCAUCUACUCACUAUAUCCAACUCAUGAGAAAAUUCUAGAUUACAGAAACAUUCAUGAAGAGACGAAUCUACCUCCCGAGAAUCAUGAUAUUUCAGUCCAUUAUGCUAGCUUGGAUGAUGUUUAGUGUAGAAAUGAGAUGAUCGUCGACGAUGCAUUAACAUAUGCAGUAACUACUGAGAUCAUGUUGAGCAAUGACAUUGAACCCCGUCCUGUUGAUGAAUGUCGACGUAGAACUGAUUGGUCAAACUGGAAAUAAGCAAUCCAAGUCAAACUCGAUUCACUUGCGAAAUGUAAGGUGUUUGGAUAUGUAGCUCAUACUUCUCCACAUGUGAAGCUCGUUGGCUACAAGUGGGUUUUCGUUCGGAAGCGUAAUGAGAAUAACGAAAUUGUGUGUUACAAAGCUAGUCUUGUUGCGCAAGGCUUUUCACAACACAUCGGGAUUGACUAUGAUUAAAUUUAUUAAUCUGUUAUGGAUGUGAUUACUUUUCGAUACCUUAUCAGUUUGGUAGUUUCUGAAAAACUGAGUAUGCAGCUGAUGGACGUAGUAAUUGCGUAUCUCUAUGGGGAUAUUGAUACGAAAAUUUAUAUGAAAGUUCCCGAAUGACUUACAUUGAAUGGAUCAAAUAUUUCCAAACCCCGGAACACGCUCUCAAUUCGGCUAAGACGUUCACUCUACGGUUUGAAGCAAUCCGGAAGAUUACGGUAUAACCGUAUAAGUGAGUAUUUGAUUAGUCAAAGAUAUGUGAACAAUGAACUAUGCCCUUAUGUGUUCAUUAAGAAGUUAUAUUCCGAUUUUGCGAUUAUUGCAGUUUAUGUCGAUGACAUGAACCUCAUCGGAACUCCUAAAGAGCUAUAGAGAACAGCCACGCACCUGAAUUCAAAAUUUAAGAUGAAAGAUCUAGGAAAGACCUAAUAAUGUCUCGGUCUCAAGAUAAAGCAUCGUUCGAAUGGAAUCUUAAUACAUCAAUCGAAAUACACCUAAAAGGCGUUGCGCCGCUUUAAUGAGGAUAAAACAAAGUCUUCGAGUACUCCAAUGGUUGUUCAAUCACUUGAUGCAAAACGAGAUCUCUUCCAUCCAAAAGAGGAUAAUGAAGAGAUUUUGGAGCCUGAAGUUCCUAAUCUAAGUGCGAUAGGCGCUUUAUUGUACUUAACUCAAUGCACUAGACCCAACAUCUCUUUCGAUGUUAAUCUUUUGGCAAGAUACAAUAAUACACCAACACGCAGACACUAAGACUAGUGUUAAAGACAUAUUUCACUACCUUAAGGGUACCACAAAUCUAGGCUUGUUCUAUCCUACAGAUCCUCGAGUGAUGCCGCACCUCCUUAUCUCGAGUCGAUUCUCGCCUUGUUGGUUAUGUCGACGCAUGAUACUUAUCUUAUCCAUACAAGGCGUGUUCUCAAACAGGUUAUGUCUUUACCAUUGGAGGCACCACAAUCUCUUGGAGGUCAACUAAACAGACCUUAGUUGCCACUUCAUCUAACCAUGCUGAAAUUCUCGCCUUAUGAUAGGAGCAUAUUUAUGCGACUUAGUUAGCUUGUUUCUUGGCAUUUUUAUUUUCGUGUGUUUGUAGGUCUAAAGGGUUAAUGUGGCAAAGAAGUGCAUUUUGGAGCAUUUUUGGGCAUGGAAUGGAUAACAUAUGCUUGGAGCAAAAGGAAUGGACGAAAUUUGAAGUUUGGGCAUCAUCCUUUCCCUAUAAAUAACCAUUUUAGCACACUCAUUUCACCCAACACAUUCACCUACCACUACAUCAACUCAGUUCACCCAACACAUCCACUCAUUACAACCACCCAACACAUUCACCUACCACUACAUCCACUCAUUUCACCCAACACAUCCAUUCAUCUACCACUACAUCCACUCAUUUCACCCAACACAUCCACUCAUUACAACCACCCAACACAUUCACCUACCACUACAUCCACUCAUUUCAACCACCCAACACAUUCACCUACCACUACAUCCACUCAUUACCACUACCCACUACAUCAUCUCCCUAGCCUAUAAAUACAUCCAUCCACCCUUCACCAUGGAGGGGGAUGAAUCCAAAACACACACACACAUCAUCUACACAAUUCUCCAAUCUUUGCCGCAUUCAACACAACCUUCAUCCAAACACAUCCAUUCAUCUUCACAUCCAUUCCUCCAUACAAACAAACCUUCAAACACUCACCAACACCUUGUGCCGUAGCAAAGGAAGGGAAGGAAAGUGCUUGGACAUGUUAGCUGUCCAACUUGGAUUGUUGGAGCGUUUAGGUGUUUUCUUUCUUUUGUUUCUAAUGUUUAAAUUCAUUUCCUUUCGUUUUGUUGUAAAUAUGAGUGGCUAAACCCCUCUUGGCUAGGGGUGAUUUCAAAGCCAUGAUUAUGUGUGCAAUAUAAUUUGAUAAAUUCCAGUUAUGAACUCUUGAAUCGUGAAUGUAAUUGGCUUAACUAUUUGAUUGAUAAUUUAUUUGUAUUUGUUAAUUAAGGGUCGACACUUAAUUGGCAUGCAUAAAUCCGUUGCUAGAAUAUAAGGAAGUUUCACAUAAUCGUUACAAACUUAUAUUCACAUGUAGUGAAGGUCGCUUAUAAACGAUCGCGUUAAGUUCAAUUCCUAGCAUGAGUGACAUGAUGUCAUAGUUGCAAGUGUUUUGUCAAUGCUUAUGAUUUUCAUUAAAUGUAAUGAUUUUUUAUUGUAUCUCUAUUAUGAUGUCAUGUAGGGAACCUUUAAAGAAUGUUUUGGGUUGUCGAAUGAUGUCAUCCAAUCCAAUAAAACAAGGAAAAUCUGAGAGUUAACUAGUGAUGUCACGGUUAAUUUGGAGCAUUGUCAUUCAUAAUUCAAUGAAAUAGUAACUGGAAAUCGAGUUAUUUGCAUACAUGUCAUGUCUAGAGAAAAAGCCUCUAGCUAUCCCAUCCAUCAUCUUAUUUCUCAAAUUUAUUUUACAAUCUGUCUAAUUUUUCAUACUUGUUUGUUUGUUUCAACUUCAUCCAAAUCAAAACCCCCCUUUUAGUUUCUUGUUUCAAAGUGUUUCAAAUCUAUUUUAGUUUGUGUUUUUAAGUGUUUUGAUUCAAGAAAAAAUCAAUUUUCAUCUAAAGUCAUUCCUAGUGUCUAGUUUAAGUUUAUUUGGUUGUUUUAAAUUGUUUUGAGUAUUUUAAGUUCGCUUUGAGUCUUUUUAGUUUGUAUUGCAUCUUUUGAGUCUAGUUUGGUGUUUUAAACUUAAUUUUAUGUUUUUAAGUCAGUUUAGAGGUUAUUAGCAAGCCCUCCUAAUCCCCGGUCCAGAACAAUCCCUACUUGUACUUAUACUACAAUUGUCAAAAGAGGGUUAAAUUUAUGUGUUAAGUUAAUUUUCGCAUCACCUUACAUGAAACAACUUGGGAAUGCUUCUGGCCGGGGGUAGUUGUGGGCCAUAUUCGAAGCUCCGACAAUCUUUACCCCAUCGUUGAAGUCCAGACAACGAUCUAUGAAGAUAACGUAGCAUGCAUCGAACAACUCAAGAAGGUUACAUCAAAAGAGACAACACCAAGCACAUUGCGCCGAAGUUCUUCUUCUCACAUCAACAGCAAGAACAUCAAAAGAUUGAAGUCACGCAAAUUCGUUCACAAGACAAUCUGGUCAACCUCUUCACCAAAUCACUACCAAAGGCAACGUUUCAAAAGCUUGUUCAAGGAAUUGGUAUGCAUAAACUUUCUGAGUUGUAACAUUGUUAGUUCUCUUUGGAAUUAUGUCAAACUUAGGGGGAGUAUCCUGAAGUAUACUUGCUUGAUCUUAUUGUACUCAUUUUCCCUACGAUUAUAAGCAUUUUUCCCACUGGGUUUUUGCUACCUAACGAGGUUUUGACAAGGCACCCAUCUUGGGUUGAUCAUAUCCCUGAUGACUUCCCGUAGACGUUUCAUUUGACUUUGCAUUAUUCACGCAUUUUUCCUUAGACUAUGGAUUUUGUCCCUACUCGGGUUUUUACCAUAGCUAUAGGGUUUUUUGUGAGACUUAGUUCCUUAUGAAAGUUCCUACCUUAUUUGAGAAUAGCGUGUUUCCAAAAUUAGUGCCGACGAGUCGACUUCCUCAACUCUACAUGAUGCCAAAUCUACUUGAGUAUUUGCACACUCAAGGGGGAAUGUUAUAAACUUCUUAUUUAAGUAUGAUUGUGUAAAUUCUAGAUUAGAUUUGAUUCUAGUUAUUCUUUCCUAUUAGGACUUGUAUUCCUUGGAGGAGAAGGGUUUCUUUUCUCCCUUAUUACUAUAAAUAAAGGCACUGCGUAUGAGGAAUAACACAUCAUCUACACAACCCUACAAACACAUCUCUCUUUCUAUAUUUUCUAUGUGUCGCCAGCCCCUCUCCCCUGUCAGAUAAAUAUAGGCCAAACACUAUAUAAAUUUUUUUACUAAAGUAUCACGAAGAGAUCUUGAAUCUUAAAGUACCAAUACAAUUUAUGAUCCCAACUAAGCACUAGAGCAACAUUUUUAGGUGGCAAAAUAUUCAUUUGAUCCCAAAAGUUACAAGCUUAUGUUAAAUCGUUGAUUCAAUCAGUAAUUUUUGUCACACCCCGAUCCCAACAUACACCUAGAAUCGACACGUGACGUCACCAAAAUUUGUAUCUCAAACUUAUUUCGCCUCAAGAAUAUGGCAAAUUACAACUCCAUAAUCAAAUUUCGCAGUGAUUUUUCGUAUAUCUUAUGGAUGCAUCUAACCUCAUCGUUAGACUGCAUACGUACCUUCAAUAGGGGUUAAGCCAUUCGUAGUUCAUCAUACAUUACACUCGAACAAUUAUCACAUCAUUCACUUUAUCUUCAGCGUGAUACAUCCAUAGCAUGUAACAUAUCAAAUAACCAAUGAAGCACACUAUUAAUCUCAAGCUACCUUGAUCAACUAAAAUAAUCAUAAUAUUAACAAUCACAUUCAACGUCAUUCCACAAUCCCGUCAGUUAAACAAUUCAUGAAUUAAAGAUGCAUGAUCUUAGCAUUUAACUACGUUAAUAAAACGAUGAGAUAACAUAUAAUUUUAUGAAUCUAAUUAAAGAACUCUAUAUAAUUCCCUAAUUGGAUUAUAAGUAAUAAACAUAGUAAAUCUAAUUUAUAUUCACAAGGUCUAGUGUGGAUAAUUCUCGUUCGCUCAAAUCUAGGGUUCUAGACUAACCUUAUGGAAAUAAGCAAGAGUAAGGAUUCCAGACCACUCAACGGAAUCCAAAAUAUCAAGUGGUUUCUCGUAAUCUACGCAAAUCUGUCACAUGUAAAAUCAAUGCCUACAUCAUGGAAAUGGUACAUUGAGCCAAUCAAACACUUAGAUAAACUGCGAGGCUCAGGUGAGUGACAAUAAUAUAAGUAUGUGAUAUUUAGUAAAAACAAACCAUCAAUCGCAAUCUAUAAACAUCGAAUAUAGAACUAUGCUUUAUGAAAUCAUAAUCAAGUCGCUGCAAACUUCGAAUGAGUCACCCAAACAUCCAACGGCUUUUCUAAUUCAAAUCACAAGACUCUCAAAACCAUCAUUCAUAUGUACAUAAAAAAACUAGGGCUAGAGGGACGCAUAAAUAAAGUAAGGCCAAAGCCAGGAUUACAAGCAGAAGCCCUACAUAGUAACCAAAUAGGAAGUGGCCCCCCAAAACGGAUUAACCAAGCAGAGUCACCCCUGAGAAAGUAACCAAGUAGACAGUGACCCCCUAACGCAGAUUAACCAAGCAGAGUCACUCCUACAGCUGUUAGGAAGUGAUCACCCAACGCGGAUUAACCAAGCAUGAUCACUCCUAAGCAUACAUGGCCAUAAGGAUCACCCAACGCGGAUUAACCAAGCGCGAUCCAUAUAUAGUAUGGUUCCCCAAUGCGGAUUAACCAAGCAAAGUCACUCCUACAGCUGUUAGGAAGUGAUCACCCAAUGCAGAUUAACCAAGCAUGAUCACUCCUAAGCAUACAUGGCCAUAAGGAUCGCCAAACGCGAAUUAACCAAGCGAGAUCCAUAUAUAGUAUGGUCCCCCAACACGGAUUGAUCAAGCAGUACCAUCCAUGUACCACUGCUACAUGGUGCAGUUAGAUCAACACACAAACCACUUACCUUUAUCUCAUCCGCUAAAUGAUCGUAAACAUUGCACUCAUCAACUUUUCAUGACCAUUAACUAUCUUAUCAUACAAGCAUAAAAGUUCUACAUGAUACUUCUCAUACGAUUCUGGGUUCACAUCGUCAUAAAAACAAUCAUACACAUCAUACACAUCAUAUUUCAUAAACGUUUCCAAGAUAUAGUCGAAUCACAAUUAAUAAACAUAGAUCGAUGCUAAAAAUAAAAAUAACAAUUCAAUAGAAAGCACAUUUAAUAAACAAGUAUAACUUAAUAUGGUGCCACUAAUACAGAUAUCGAGACACACAUCAACUGGGAACGACACGUCAUCGUGAUGAGCCAAUUAAGCUUCAUCAAGCCUUAAAAACAAACUAGAGAUAAACGACACUCUAGAGUAGAGCACGUUGACUAGGACGUCAACCGUCGAUAAGGUAGGUCCAUUAAGGUCAACAAUCUAAGGUUAUUCAAUCCGGUAGAUCCGCACAUCAGAUUUCCGAUCCGUAAGUUCUCAAAGGUCCAACAACUGAUAACUAGGGUGAUCACAAAAUUGUACGACGAUCCAACGAUCGGAUUGUCGUCAAUCACACAAACAAGUGGUGGUCCAAUUUGAUCACUUCACCAAACAAUUGAAUUUCGGGAAACCGAGCUAGACAUAGGUUCAUAGGAUCACUAAAAGGUAUUUGGUACUUAGGCAACACUCGUGGACGGUCCCACACACCGCCACACGUGGUGGUAGCCAAAGUGGAGGGUUUAGAAAACUUGAAUUUUCAACAUUAACUAAAUGAGCUCAAAUUUACGUGGUAGUUAUAGCUCAACAAGGGAAACACUUUUUACAACUAGGUCAACGAUAAAUUAUAACCGGAAACCGUCCAAAUUCACCGAAGAAACCCGAAUUUCUAGGGUUCUAAACACCCAACUCUAAAAUGAAUACAAAAGCACGAACCAAGCAUACCAACUAGAAGAUUAUGAAGAGUAGAUGAAGUUUCAUACCUCACUUGAAGGAAAUGAUUGCCAGAAUCACCGGAAAAAUUAUAAAACCACCUAAAAAGUCGUGGCUUUGUGGCUGCAAACUGCAAAGAUGGAAAAGAAAAUGGGAAGUCUAACACUACAGAGAUGUAGGGCUCGUCAAGAGCUUUCCAUGGACACCAAGAUCACCCAAAAUAGAGCUCGGACGGAGGAGAUACAAGCGGGUCAAGUUACUGGGUUAACGGGUCCAAUCUCCCCUCAAAACGAGUUAGAAUCAGACCCCCCCUCUUUUUUUUUUUUUUUUGGAAACCUUCCCCCCUUUAAUUUGAUUGGUCGUUUUCCUUCUAGAUGAUUGGUCUCCUUAUUUUUGCUUAAAUCUGAUUAGGCUUCUUCCUUAUGGAAGUUUAAUUGAUUUAAAAUCUAUAGUUUAGUAAAACAACUUCAAAUGUCCGUAACUAUACCGUUAGAAUCGGGACUUGCAAACGGCUUUCGCCUACACAUUCGUGGUUUCAAGAUCUAUUCGAAAAAAUAAAUUGUGACCUUGAAAGGUCUACAGAUUUUAAAUAAUUAAUUUCCAAACUUCAAACUUCGUAACUAGUUUAAUUAAAAUCUAAAUUCAAACAAUUUAAAAUAAAUUCUAGAGAAAUAAUAUAAAAUCUCAAUAAUACAAAUACGUAGAUUAUAACAGUGAAAUCCAGGAACGGGAUUUCACAACUUUGGACUCUCCAAGAUGACAAUUUAGGGUUCAUAUGAUUAAUCAGGCUCUUUCUGCCCUCUAAUGCUUCAAGGAAGCUUACAACUUUAUCAAAGACGAAAGAAUUUUUAAUGUGCUAAGAAGGAAGAACAUGUUUCGGUACACUACAUACUAAAAUAAAAUGAUGGAAUACUUCAAAAAAAUUCAAACAAUUAUUUUAUGACAUUUGAUAUAUCUAACAAUGUUCCCGCUACUUUGAAAAAAAUCUCCAUAAAUUGGUUCAUUCGUCUUGUAUUUAAACUUGGGUAGGGGAAUAUCCGAAUAUGAUUCGAUACUAAACAAUUAUGGUCACUUUUACAAAUUCACUCUCGUCACGUCAAAUAAAAAAUGAAAUAAAUUAUUGAUAGAUACUUUAGUAUUAUAUGUAAAUUGAAAUAAAAUACAAUUUUUCAAAAGAAAACAUAAUUUAGUAUUUAGAUGUAACUUGUCGGUGACGAACACCUUUUUCCAUUUAUGGUAACAAAAUGAAGCCCACUAAUGGAAAGCUAGAUAUUUGUUGACAGCCCAAUAUUGCCAUAGAUCAGUAAAUGCCCACCACAAAUUCACAACAAAGUCCAAACUCCAAAGCCUUUGGACCAACAAAAACUUACACAAAAAAUUUAGGGAAAUUUUAUUUAAACUCAUGUAUCCUCUUUCUACACCCAACUUAAAUUUUAAAUGUUAAUUGUCUAUUUUACCAUAUUACAUAAUUACUAUUAAACAGUGUUCUAAAAAUCGGCCUAGGCGGCCGCCUAGGCAUUGGGCGGAGAGGUGCCGCUCCGAUUAGGUGCCAAUCGGUGGAGAAAAGCGGGGAUGUGUUAGGCGCCCGUCUAGGUGUUGCUAGGCGCUCCUAGGCGGCCUAGGCGGUGUCUAGGCGGUGGUGCUAGGCGGUCUUGUCACUGUGUUGCCUUCUUUCGAGCUCGCAGUCGUCGUUUUCUCAUUGCCUUCCACCUUCAGUUGCACCCGGACCUCAGAUCUCCAACAAAAUUCGACAAUGAGGGAGUGAAAGAGAGAGAGGGAAUGAGAAAAAGACGAUUUUCCGCGAAGAGGGAUGGGGGAGAAAAACGAUUUGCUGCGAAGAGGGAUGGGGGGAGAAAGAUAGCGCUGCAGAGAGAAAUCAGCAGUCUGUGCAGAUGAGAUAGAGAGAAAGGUGGGGGUGCGUGCGGCUUUGUUCUCUAGGGUUAGUAGGUUUUUUAUUAAUUAAAUGUUUAUGGACUUUGCUUCAAGAUUUGUAGCAGGCCCACUUUUAAACAUUUAAACAAAAUAAGACCCAAUAAUAAUUAUGGUCUUAAAAAAACUGUAAAAUUUUAUACAAUACUUAUAUUUUAUAACAAAUAUUUAUUUUGUAUGUUUUGUAUUUUAUUUUUUUCAACAAGUAUGAUUUUUGUGUGUAUAAAAAUGGACUUAUUUAUAUAUUAUAUUAUAAAUUUAUUUAAAAAGUACAUAUCCGCCUAAGCCGCCUAGGCUCCCACCUAGACUCCGCCUAGCCGCCUAGGCGCUAGGCGUCAGCCCGCCGCCCGACUAGCGCCUAACGUUUUUUAGAACCUUCCUAUUAAGUACCAAAUAAAAUUAAUAAUAAAACUCAAAUUUAUCAAUAAACCUACACACUAUAAUUAAACACUAGCAUCAUUCUAUGUUAUUGAUAGAUAGUGAUUUUGAAGUUUUAAAUCCUCCAAUUAAGGUAUGACUCGAUUUAUGAAUAUUUUAUUUGUUUGAUUUAACUUUUUUUCGGAGUUUACAAGAUGAGUAUUUGGGUUUCAAUUUUUUUUCCAUCAAUCCCGCAUAGCACCCUUUGUUAAACUUGCUGCAACAAUAAAUUGUUGCAGACUCUCUCCCGGUGUCUGUCUGCACCCCAAAACGAAAACACCCUCCAAUACAAUUUCUGAUGAUGAUGCUGCUAAUACAUGUAUGGUUGCUGUUGUCCUGUGUCCACAUGCCGUCCAAUACGAUUUACAUUCACCCGUGCAUGCAUAUAAUGUUGCUGAUGGUACAUGUAUGGCUGCUGUCCUGUGUCCACAUGCCCUCUAAUACGAUUUACAUUCACCCGUGCAUGCAUAUAAUGCAUACAACACGAGCCCAAAUGUUGCAACCAAAUCUGAUGGAAAUUACCAACUAGCUAUUGUUAUUUGAAAUACUGUAUACAUGCAAUAUUUUACUUAAACGUGAACAAACUCACUUUUUAUUCUUCCCUCUGGUGUUUCUAGUUAGCCUACAUGAAAUUUAAUUAGCAGGUAGCUCAGAUCAAUGCUUGAAGACACUGAUUUAGGAAAUGAGUCGUCCACAAUCACUUCGGAUAAAGAAUUAAAUAGCUAACAAAUCCACCUACUAAACCUUGCAUGAUACCCUUUCAAAAGCUAAAAUCAUUGGAUGGCUGCACAAUGUCAUUAAUAGAGUUAAGAGUCAAAUGGGUGUAAAGAUAAAUUUGCAUAUUGAAUUAGGUUUGUAAGGGUAUUUUAGAUAGUAAAUUUGGGUUUAAAGAUAUUUUGAUAGUUUAGUUAAAAAUCAAAUGAGUGCAAAAAGUAAGUUAGGUGUAGAAAAAUGUUACAUGGGUUUAAAUAAAAUUUCUCAAAAUUUUGUUUAUAAAAAAGAAAAGAAAAAUCAUUAGCACACAAAGCUCGCCCACAUUUAAGGUUUUUUUUAAGUAAACGAUAUUAUCUAUAGUAAGUGAGACAGAGUAAUUUAGUUUCACAAUAAACUAGUUAUAAUGUGGUUCAAAUUUACCUUUUGCAAAAAUCAAACCUAGAAUCUCUCACUUACAAGUGAAGAAAAAUAUCACUAAGUCGUAGUACUAAGUGGCUCACCGACAUUUGAGUUGAUAAGAUACGAUUGCUACAGUCACUGGCGGAGGCACCAUGAGACUAGGGAUAGCCGAGGCCUAUCCUGACUUUUGUGCAUUUGGAAAUUAUGCAUCUUUCAUUUGCUUGAAGCCCUGCUUUUCAAAUUCCAAACAUAACCCCAUCGGUCCAUUUCACAAUUGAAUUAAAUAUUUUAUCUAUCUCCCUAAUACAAAUUAAUAGCAUUUAAAAUCAAAGCAACAAUUCACCUUUCUUUGAAGAGUAAUAGUUCAGUUUUAGUCAUAAAAAUUAAGAAACAGUCCUCUUUUACAAUGCAGCCAGACUCCAAAACUAUUCCCCUUUCUUUUUGAAAUCUCAUACAUUUUAUCAUCCAAAUCCGAAAUGUCGUCAACAAAUAAGUCUCAAAUUUCUUUAAUUCUCUAUUGUUUCCUCUCUAUUCUACACUUACAAGAGAGUUAAGAUCGUUCGUAAAAUUUUUGUGAAUGAAAUAUUAUCGAUGCAUAUAUAUUUUGGAAUUUUAAUUACCUUUGAUGCAUCGUUUUUUAAGAACCUUUGUAAGAGGCCCAUCCUCACAAAAAAUCUUGGCUCCGCCACUGGCUACAGUUCAAAUCAGAGCCAUUGCCACCAAAUCUUAAAACGUGCCACUCGUGGCCAAAUCUUGUCCAAGUCAAACAAACCCACUUUCCCACCUGGUAACCGCCCCGUCCGGUUCCUUCUCCUCCCAAUCGCUCCCUCUGGCAACCGGGUGCACCCGGUCACAGAUUUCACCUGCUUGUACUGAAGAACUUUGCAUUUAUGGACUUCUGACGUACUUUGCAUUUAAGCAUCACUCAGUCUUUCUAGUUUUCCACUAAACCAGACUCUGACAUGACGACAGAUCCCAGCUGUACAUUUCACGGCAAGGGAGCUAAUCCGUUGAUUCUAUCUGAUUAAUCGCCUCUCAGACGACCUAAGGUAUCAUUUGGUAUGCAAACGAGAUUGGACAGGACGGAACGGAAUGGAACAGGACGGGACAGGAUAGGACGGGACGGAACAAAGAAGGAGCAAAGAUGCCCUCGGAUGGAAACAAAGAGGAAGAAGAAGGAGAUGGAGAGAUUAUAAUUUUGUGUUCCACGGAUGUGGAACGAGUCGUUCCAGGGGAGUGAGGAGGAACGAAAAUUCACCCAAAAUUUGUUCCUUGGAACAACGCGUUCCACCCGUUUUAGGCGCACCAAACGUGGAACGGAACGCCUCGUCCCACUUCGUUCCAUCCCGUCCUACGUACUAAACGGUACCUAAGGGAUGGUGGAGUUCAAACUGAAUAAAGAUCGAGCACCACAUGCUGUAACAGAGCGUGAAUAGCACGCUGAGCAACUUAGACAAACAAAACUGAAAAGAGAGGCUCGGGUUUCCAGGCAAUUCAUUGUGUGUCCGUACAUGGCGUACGGAUUCGUUGACGUUUCUGCUGACGCACACUCUGUGUGAGAUGGCGCACACUCUGUGUGAGAGCGUGGUUUUCGAUGCAUUUAAGAUCUCAGUGAGGUUUUAAUGCAUUGGUGUGGUUGGUUCAUACAUAAAUAUUUUGGUCAACCGCAAUUUACUACUUUGAAAUUUUUUGGUUUUCAACAUUUGGUGCAUCAUGUUUUUUUCGUUCUAGAGUCAUACCUAAAAUCAUAAUUCUACAAUAUUUUCAUACAUCCAUUAAAUUUUUUGUUAAGACAUCUGUUAACUGAUGAUGUGGCACCCACAUAAACAAUGACUAAAUGUCACGUGGAUAUUAAAAAUUUAAAAAUUUAAAAAAAAAAAAUUAAAACAUUAAAAAUGAAAAAUAAAAACUAAUAAAAAUUAAAAAUGAAAAAAAAAAUAUGGGCCUAUUCUUACCCACCCCCGCACCCAACCAACCAUCCCUCCCUUCUUGUUCUCUCCUCUGCACCGACCCACUUAACCCUUCCUCCUUUCUCUCUCCAUGGUCGCUGCCCACCCUACCCGAGCAUCACCCACCAACCGUCUUGAUUCACAGCCAAACCCGUAUCCGGAUUCACCACAUCCGCCAUCGUCAUCACUCCCGGCCUUACUUUCAGCCUCGCCUGCUCCAUCACUGGUAGUUUGUUCCAUUCUGGCUUCCAUGCGCAUGACAACACGAUUUGUCUUGGUCAUCUCGUACCCGUGACCCACCACAAACCCUAGGUUUCAUCUCUGCAAAGUAUAUACCUUGUUCUCUACAAAAAAAAAAAUUGGAGAAGAAGCAAAUCUUUGUCCAUCUGUGUUAGGAAUCGAAAUUGAAAAAACAAAUUGAAUUUGUAUAAAAUUGAAGAAAUCAUAUUUGGAUUUUGGUUUAGUGGGAGUAGAAUCGGGCGACUGUGCGGUUGACUUCGAUGAGGGCUGGUGGUUUCAAGAGGGAGUUGCAGAUCUGGGAGUUGUGAAGGGAGUGAGAGCCAAGAAGGAAGCUCUUAUUCGAUAUGGCUGAGUUUGUGUUGGGCGGGCGCAUAGGAAAAAAGAGAGAAGGGAGGGAGGGCUGGGUGGGAGCGGGGUUGGGUAAAAUAGGCCCCAUAUUUAAUAAUAAUAAUAAUAAUAAUAAUUUUAAAUUCUUAAUUUUUAAAUUUAAUUUUUUUUAAUUUUUUAAUAUCCACGUGGCACUUAGUCAUUGUUCAUGCGGGCACCACAUCAUCAGUUAACGGAGAUUUUAACAUAAAAUUUAACGGAUGUAUGAAAGUGUCCAACUUUAGGUACCAUUUUGGGACGAAAAAAAUUAAUGUACUAAAUGUUGAAAAUCAAUAAAUUUCAAAAUAGUAAACUGAAAUUAAUCCUAAAUAUUUACUUGGGUUGCAAUUUUUUGUACCAAAUUUCAUUAGCUUACAAAAAAAGAGCGUAAACGACUGUUUUCUAGUGAUAAGCAUGUACUUUUGCAAUUAUUAUAUUUUAAAUAUGUCAUUUCAACUAAUUUGACAAGAAUGUUUUUUUUGUUAAUGAAGAUUUUAUUAAAAGUGGAUAGCAGCAACAAUUUAAGGAAGACACUUAUGUUUAAUCCUUGCUAAAUUGACAUAAUGUAUUAUGUGAGCAUGACGUCAAUAUAGUAAAAUUAAAUUAUCAUUAUCUGUACUCUUAUAAAUUAUAUUUUUCACUUCUUUGAGCGUAUAAGUAAAUGCAAGUGGAUAGUAAAAAAUGCCACCAAAUAUGUUGGUUUCUAAAGUUUUGCAAGACGAUUCAAUUGGUGUUGCUUUAUAACUUAAUAUUCUCACCUUUCAAACUUGAUGCCACUAAAAGACGUACCUAAACCUCAUGAUGCAUGCAAGAGUGCAACAUUGUGUCCGUAUUAAAGUGUUACACUGUAUGCGUGCAAGGUGUGUUGAAUCAAGGCAUAGCGUUUCACGCCCGCAACUUGCCCAAUUACUUUUUUGUUAUGUUUGUUUUUGUAAGAGUCUCCACUAUAACUACCAUGCUUAGUCCCUAAUAGGGAUGGGCAACGGUUAUGAUGGGUGGAUAACCACGGUUAUUUAUCCAUAACCAUUCAUUUUCAUACCUGUAUAACCGUUUACAUGUUAGGUAAUUGUCUAAACGGUUAUACCCAUACCCAUAACCGUUUAUAAACGGCUUACCAUACCCAUAACCGUGUACCCAUUUAACCGCAACCGUUUAAUACCCGUUUAUCCAUUUAUCAUUUUUAAAUCCGUUUACCCGUCUACGUGUUUUUUUUAACAACUUGAAAAUUAAAAAAGAAAAAUUUGUCAUAAUUUUUUUUUUCUAACAAUUAAACACCGAUUCAUCAUACAUUUUCACAUUUUAAUUUUUUAAGUCCUUAUAUCAUUCCAAUAAUUGAAAUAAUAAUUUACAGACGAUAUUUUUAACUAUUAGCAAUGAAGGUAAUAUUAAAUUUGCUAAGUAUUAUUUGGUUACGAAAACUAUUAAAAGACAGUAUUCUUGGGUUAUUUAACUCGGAAUGUAAAAUAUUAACAUAAUAUAUAUCAUGGACCAUGAAAUUUAAAGUGGUUAAGGAAAACUAUAUUAGCUAUAGAAAUCAUGCACUAUAGUCAAUAACAUUGAUCUAAGUUUUGUCCGAUAGGGAACAUGAUUUGUGUUAAUUUUACAUAUAUAAAAUAAAUCGGUAAAUGGUUACCCGUUUAAAACUGCGGUUAAUACACAUAACCAUCCAUUUAAAUUUCGCAGGUAAACGGUUAUACCCAUAACCGUUUAUUUAUCUAAACGGUUACCUAUAACCAUAACUGUGAAAUUUAAAUGGGCAGGUAAACGCGGUUAUUCAUAAUCGAUAGGUAUUUUUGCCCAUCCCUAGUCCCUAGUCACAUUUUUAAUCACUUUUACAUUUUGUCAUUUAAAUAAUAUUUUACAAAAACAAAAUUUGUAGUGAGUAUCUUUUGUUAUCCAACAUUCACUGGAGGUGAAGAAUGGACUCACGAUUCGGCUAUCAUUUCACGUUUACAUGGGCUUCUGUUUGAGCUAUUUUCACACUUUCUUGCUUUAUUUUAUUGUAUUUUUGUUAGAAAAUUGUUACGGUACUCCAAAAAUCUUCUUGUGCACUUCAAAUUUUAUCUAUUUAGAAAAAAAAAAUACUCUUACGAAGAGCGUGCAAUUAUAUUUUUGAGUACCAAAAUUAAUUCCCUUUUGGUAUAUCAGUUUUAAUGUUAUCCAUGUUAUUUUCUUACUAGGUUUUAAUAUAUAAGCUCCUUAAAACUUACUGAUAAAAAAAUACUUACCGUUCGAAGGAAAAGAAGCUCAUUGAACCAACUGUUAUUGCAUUAGAUUGUUAUUACACAUUAUUUGAAAUUUUUUCUCUCUAAUUUGAAUUUUAAUUCUUUAUAUAUAUUAUCAAGAGGUCUAAAACACAACAAGUAGGGGUGGACAUUAUAGUGGAUCAAUCCACCAACCUAACCUAAAUGUGUUGAGUUGCGUUGAGUUCUAAACUUGAAGAAAUAAUCUUCCAGUAAAAAGCCAACCACUCCAUUUAAUAGAAGAGCUGCGUUGGAUUAGAAUGGUAUUAUCGGAUUGAAAUCGACCAAAUCGGUUAACAGUUCUUAAACAUACAUGUAUAUCAUAUUAUCUCAUAGACAUUAACUUGUAUGUUUAGACUUGAUUCGAAGGAUGAAAUUAUGAUGAAUUUCAAUAUUAAGUAACAUUUAGUGAUUCUACAACACCAAAUUUACAUAAUUUAGGCCUAGAAUAACACAACCCUUGAAUAUUUGUCAUGCAUACUCACAUUAACUUGUAGAUCCCUGCACAAUCUAACCCACCUAAAUAUGGUUUGGAUGGGUUAGUUUGUUACUUAGGUGACAAUGCGUUAACUUGCAACAAAUGCAAAUCCUAACCUUUGAAUAUAAGUCACUCAUUCUCACAUUAACCUGCCUAAAAAAGGCCCAAUCCAUAGAGCUUGCACAAAUUAACCUGGCUAAAAAAGGUUUUUUUUUUUUUUUUUUUUAACAAACAAUAUUAUUUACACUAAGGGCGAUGAGGGGAGGGGCGAGCUUAGCCUCACAAUAGGCUAGCAAUAAUGUGGUUCAAAUUCGUCUUUGACGGGAAUCGAACCUAAGACCUCUCACUUACAAGUGAAGAUGAAUAUCACUGACCGUAGUACUAAGUGGCUGCCUAAAAAAAGUUUUGGUAGGUUGGUUUGUUCAUUUACUUAGGUGAAAAAUGUGUUUCCACAAUGUCAUCUGAACUUUGAAUAUCUGUAAUUCAUACUCAUAUUAGAUAUAAGAUAAAAAAACAAUUAGACCCGAUCAAUCCAACUUGUCCAACCCAACCCACCUAGAAAUGAUUCGGGUGUAUAAAUUUGUCCAUUUACUUAAGUUACAAUGUGUUUUAACAACACCAACCCGAAUCUUUUGGGUUGGCCAACAGGUUGGAGUCCAACCCGAGCCAAAUCACCUAAUGCCCAUUGGUAAAAUGAAGACAAUUUGCACUCUUAUUAAACUAAUAUGAUAUUUUACAUGGAUAUAAUGUCAACACAAAAAUGUUCACGAAUUGUUAGCAUUGCUUAGGCUCUCUUAAAAACUAGUUGAGAGAGAUUGAUACAUACAAUGAAUAUUUUAGCAGACGACAAUAACAUCUCUUAUCAAACUGUUACGACGUAUUUUCUAUGCAUAUAUUCAAGUGAUAAAACUCAACUUGUAAGUUUAUAUCAUUAAACUAUUUUACAUAUUGCAAGAAUGUCAUGUCAUUCUAUAUAAAGUGAGAUUAUAUAAAAAUAUGCAUUUUAUUUGAUAAUUGAUCACAACUUUUUAUUUCCCUACUUAAAAAUAUAGCAUGUUUGACAAAUUUAAGGUUAGAUCCUUGAUCCCUCUGUCAAUGCCCUUGAAGUUUAUGACAGAACCUCAACUUUCUUCACAAUAUCACGUUGGACAGACAACAAAAUCAUGUGUCUCAACAUAAUAUUUUACAAACUUCCAUUUUUUACUUUAAUUUAUAUGAUGGUAGUGCUAUUCACACAUUCUUUUUUACUUUACACAUACCUAUAUUAAUUUUCUUAAAUUUAUUCGAUCCGUAAUAAAAAAUUGAAAAUGAUAAGUGAGAAAUAAAAAGUGCCUGUGGAGAUGACACCACCCCAUGUAUAAUUUCUAUUCCUAUUGCCUUUGCAUGUACUUUGCAGUUCACCUGCAGAGGAUUAGUUUAAUCACAUCAUUACAUGUCUGUGGUCAUACUUUUUAUAAAAUCUUGCGGCAAAAGGACAACUCUGUGUCUGUCAUCUUCCCACAGUUGCAUGGACCUCUUUUAGUCACAUGUCAAAUUCCAGGGACAUUACAGUCAUUUGACACUCCAUUACCCCUAAUACUGUCAUGGGCUACCUGUACCUGCUAUGGGCAGUGCUAAAAACUCACACCAGUUCCUUCUUUUUGGCUUGUGGUAUAUUUUUUAUUAUUUAUUUAAUAUAUACUAGCAAUUGUACACACAAUAUGCAUGUGUUUAUUAUUUUUUUUAAAACAAAGUUUACAAAGAAAGAAAAUAUAAAAUGAUUGCUAAAACCUCUUUUAGCGACUGUUUUUAGAUAAUUAUUUUGUCACUAAAAAUUUAUUAUAUUAGAGAAAAACGUGAUAUGGAAAAUUUAUUAUUUUGUUUUUAAUUUAUUAAUUGCAUAUAAUUUUUAUUUUGGUUAUUUUUUUUUAUUUUGUUGUUAGUUUUGCCGAUAGAGUUAAUUUUCUCAAUUUUUUUAUUUGAUAAAGAGAGCUUUGUCAAUAAAAACUUUUUUUUUCCAAUAAAUUAUUUAGAUAAACAAAACUAAAUGCAGUAUACAUACUAUGUGUGUGAUUUAAAUUUUUUAAAAAGAAUUAAAUUUAAUUUAUGUAAAAAAAUUAGUGGAUUGGGGAAGUUAAAAAAAGUGGAAGGAAAAGUAGACGCGGGUGCAAAUGAGAGAGAGAGAGUGAGUUUAGUGUAUUGAUUAAGCGACAUGGUUAAAUUUGUUUGUUCGAAUUACUUUAAUGACCACUUUUUAUCUUUUCUAAUAUUUUCUUUAGUUAUGUAUAAAAGAGUAUAAUAUUAUUUUCAUUAGUUUUUUGUUAACAAACUUGGUUAUAUUAAUUUGUAGUUUAGAUAAUAAUUUAAAGAAAAAAGGAAAAAAAAAAUAAUGGAGGGUAAUACCGUAAUGUUGUUGUAUAUUUGGCGCGUAUGUAAACCACGAAAGGAAUCAGACUCAGAGGAGAGAGAGAGAGAGAGAGAGAGUGAUUAAAUAAAUAAAAAAGAAAAUGAAACCUCUCAAAAUUAAGGAGAGAAAAGUAAGAGAUCAAAACCGAAAAACGCUUUGAAAACAUAUAGAGAGAGUACUCAAAACCAUAACCAAAACUUUAAACUGGAGGAGGAGAGAGAGAGAGAGAGAGAGAGAGAGAGAGAGAGAGAGAGGAGGAGGGAGAAACACACAUACAGUGUUUUUGUGUGUGUGAGGAGAGAGAGAGAGAGGGGGGGAGAGAGAGAGAGAGAGAGAGAGAGAGAGAGAGGAGCCCUGAAAAUCCAAGCCCUUUUCAGAAUUCCAUCUCUCUGAUAACCCCAUUUGAUCAUAAUCUCUCAUUCUCCCUGUACAGAGAGAGAUUCAGGAGAGAGAGAGGGGAGAGAAAGAGAGGAGAGAGAAAGAGAGAGACAGAGAUUGUGGAAAAAGUAGAGAUAUUUAAGUGAAGAAUCGAAGUGAUUUCAGUGUGACCGUACAAUGGAGCGGUACGGUCGGACCGCAGAAGGGUCACAGUCCGAUCCGUCGCGGGAGUGGAACAUUCCGGGACCCGAAACAGGGCUGGAAGGUGUGACUCUUCUCUCCCCAAUACACUCUGCAUUUCAAUUUCGUUCGAAUUCGGAUUCGAUUUCGGGUUUCGGGUAAUGCGAUUUGGUGGGUUUUGGGGCGAAUGCGGCUCCGUUUUUCCGAAUUGGGUAUUGAUCCUUUCGUUUUGUGUGAUAAUGCAGAGCCCAUGUGGCAGUUGGGGCUCGGACCCGGGGAAUCGUACCCGGAGCGACCCGACGAGGCCGAUUGCAGUUACUACUUGAGGACUGGGAUUUGUGGGUACGGCUCUCGGUGUCGGUACAAUCAUCCCCGUGAUCGCAGUGUGGUAAUUUUAUUGAAUUGCCCUUUUUUACUGCUUUAAUUGGUUGAUUUGGGGCUUAAUUGGAUGGUGAUUGAUUGAUUGAUUACCAGUGUGGUGCUUUCGUUUUUGGGGUCGAAUUUGUUUUGAUCUUGUGUGUUAGUAGAGAUAUUGUGGGUUUCGUCUGUAGGUAUUAAGCAAUUUGAUUAGUGGGAUUGUUCUGAAUUUGUUGAAUUUCAAGUCGUUGUGGAGAAAAUUUUAACUUUUUAUAUUAACGGUUAAUGCUGAUAUGAUUUCCUGUUUACUAGUUAAGUUUGAGCGGUACAUAUUUCUCAGGUUAUCGGAGCGGCAAGAACUGGAGGAUUAGAGUACCCUGAGCGAGCGGGCCAGCCGGUGUGCCAGGUACUUAACUUUUUUUCGAGUUUAGGCCAAAAUGUUGCCUUGGCAUAGUAUACAUUUACAGGAUUCCAGCAGAUCACAUAUUCAGCUUCCGGUCUCAUGUGUUCUGCAUAGAGUAACAUCCUCUAUUGACAAUUGCAUGCUUUGCUGUCCUGAAAAUUUGUGAAUCCCCUUUGUUUGAUUGCUCUGUGAUUCUUUGAUGGCAGUAUUAUAUGAGGACAGGGACUUGCAAAUUCGGCGCUUCGUGUAAGUACCAUCAUCCUAAGCAGGGAGGAAGCUCUGAUAGCCCUGUUUCAUUAAACUAUUAUGGAUAUCCAUUGCGGCCGGUCUGUAAUUCUCAAAUUUGAACUUCUAUUUCUUCAACUCGUUGUCAUAUUAUAGAUCCCAUUUCAUAAUUGUGAGGUAAAGUAUUGUAAUCAUGGAUAUUUUGCAAAUAAAACAGGGCGAAAGAGAGUGUUCCUACUAUGUGAAAACUGGCCAGUGUAAGUUUGGUGCAACUUGUAAAUUCCAUCAUCCACUGCCGGCUGGCAUACAGCUUCCAGUGCCGUCACCAGUACCUCAAGUUUCACCUGUACCUGCUACACACACAUUGUAUCAAAAUGUGCAAUCUCCAUCUGUUUCAUCACAACAGUAUGGAGUAGUAUUUGCAAGGCCUCCUUUAAUACCGGGGUCAUAUCUUCCAAACCCCUAUGGUCAAGUGCUGCUUUCCCAGGGCACAAUUCCUUUCUCAGGUUGGAAUCCAUAUCAGGUAAAUAACAUUUCCUGCUCCAUUAUCUUUUAAGUUACAUGAAUUUCCCUUAAGCUGUUAGUCAUGUGGUGUAGGCACUUGCAAGCCAAUUGCCCUCUCCGAGUACUCAACCUGGUGUUGGUGCUAGGACACUUUAUACCCAACUAUCUCCUUCAGCGCCUGCAUUUACCGGAAUGUAUCAACCGAUGCCUUUAGCUUCCUCUCUUGGUCUUCCAACUACUAGCCAGAAGGAGCAAUUAUUUCCAGAAAGACCUGGUCAACCAGAAUGCCAGUAUUAUAUGAGAACAGGGGAUUGUAAAUUUGGUUCCUCAUGUAGAUAUCAUCAUCCACCAGAAGUUGUUCAAUCAAAAACAACUGUUCUCCUUAGCUCCAGUGGUCUUCCUUCACGCCCGGUGAGCCGCCCUUACAAAUCCUUUUCAGCAUGAUGCUUUUAAUAGGCAUGAUCCAUGAGCUUGUUUACACAGCAACACUCAAUCUUUGUGGGAAAUAUGUGCUGAAAUGAGUUGCUGCUGAUAGAUGGUAAUUAUUUGGUUUGAAAUUAUGUAAGUUAGGGCUAUCUGGAUCAUGAUGAUUUUUGGACCCAGGGUCCAUUUUAGGAAGCCUCACUUAAUUUUGCAUCCCUUUCGGUGUUUUUUUUUUUGUUUUUUUUUGGCCCUUGCAUUUAUGCUUUUUUUGUUGUUACUUCUAGGUGAUAUUGUCUGUAAAGUCUGGUAGUCUGCAUUUUUACUAGUUGAGCGUAUUAUACUACUUAUUAUGUUGGUUGUCACGAUUUUUAUUUUUAUUAGUUAACAUGCUGGCCUUCUUUCUUAGGAUGAAGUGCUAUGUUAAGUUUGCUUGCUUGUACGUUUUUGUACUGUGAAUGCCUUCUUGGUAAGUUAUACACUUUUCUGCUAAUGCAUACUUAUUUUUGUCCUCUGUGAAUUUGAAAUUCUAUGUGGUAAUCAGGGUGCUCCACUUUGCACUCACUAUCAACAACGUGGAGCAUGCAAGUUUGGAUCCGCAUGCAAAUUCGACCACCCAAUUGGAACACUCAGUUACAGCCCAUCAGCGUCUUCUCUUGCUGAUAUGCCAGUUGCACCCUACCCAGUGGGAUCAUCAAUUGGUACACUAGCCCCAUCAUCCUCAUCCUCGGAGUUGCGAGCUGAGCUUAGUUCAAGCUCUGGAAAGGACUUAGUUUCAGGCAGAAUGUCUUCGUCACUGAGCACUUCGAGUUUAUCAGUAGGUUCAACUGUUUCUAAGAGUGGUGUUACCCCUGUGGGUGUCCAACAGUCUUCUCAGGGUUCCGGUCCUUCGAGUGGCAGUGGCAACAGUACAGAGUCUCAUAGUUCAAGCUAAGAAAAUGUCAAGCAAUUUUUCAUUCUUCCUUUUUGAUCAACUUUCUCCCAAAGCAUCAUUUUUACCUUUUUCAAGUCCUCCAACAGAGGCUUCAUAUCUCACUUCCUUAGCAUACAUCAGUCAUGUUCAUCUCUGUGUUUAUAUCAUCUUUAUACGGCCAUCCCUUUUUAUCUCGAAUAAGCCAUGGCCGACCUCCAAAAGUUUAGCAAACCCCAUAUAGCCUUCCCACCUCUCUCUUCAAUAACCUUGAAAGAAUUUGCAGUUCCUUGAGGCAAAUCCGUGUCCAGAUCUUCAAUUUUGGAGUGUUAUCCUCAUUUGUGCUCAAUCCUUUUUCAGAAUGAAAACAAUAGUUCCAGGCGUUCUUGCCUUUCCAAUGACCGUGCAUUCGUGUCUAUCCUUUUCUGAAUUUUCCUUUUCUAAACCAGGGAACGAGCUUUCAGUUAAAAACUUGGGAGUUUGAAUUCAUGUUCCCCCACUUUUUGUCCAAGGUCUAUUUUCGAAAACAGAAGCAAAUUAAAGACCGAAAGAAGGAAGGCAUCACAGUGCUUGCUACUUUAUUUGGGAUCUUCAGAUACAUAGUUAUAUUCUGUUGUGUCAAUUGAAAUGCUUGACCAUGGUUUUUAUGUUAUGAAAUACAAAAUAUAUGAAGAAGCACUCUUUGACUCUGUAAUAAUCUUUCUCUUCCAUUAUUUCAUUGAGCGAGGAGAAAAUCAUCUUUGUUACUUUCCUUUACACUGCUUACAUACAUGCAUACAUAUAUGCAUGCAUUGAUACUGUGAAAUGACCUAGAUUGCAUGUGCGUCAGACCAGUUGGUAAGUGAAGUGUGUUCGUCCCUUUGUGUUUAGGUUCAAAUACGUCCUCUCUAUGUUAGGGCUGGUUUGGUACUGUUGUGCUUUGAAAAAAAACUGUUUAUGCUGUGAAAAUAAGCAGCUGUGAAAUAAAGCAGCAGAGUAUUUGGUGAACUUUUUUGUAAAAGUGCUUUUGAAAAAAAAAAGCAGUAUUAUAGUGUUUGAUAAACUUUUAUGUAAAACAGAUAUGAAAAAAGCUGGUUUUUCAAAGUUGGGUUUUGCAGCUUUGUGUUUUUUGCUUUUUUUUCAUCCAAAACUGUGAAAAAAAAACUGAAGCUGAAUGAUUACCAAAUAUAAAAAAGCUCUCAGUUUUUUUUUAUAGUCACUUUUUUCAGAAUCACCUCAGUACUAAACCACUUAGAGUAGCUUAAUAUAUGUAUUGUCUUGUCACUUCCCUUUUCUUGCGGGUACUUGUUGGCAACUCUUUCUGAUUGAUUAUAUGGCAGCAUGGCCCUUAGAUGAACCUUGUUAGAAAGUUGGAAAUCCUUUUUCACCCAUUUUAUUCUUGAAACUAAUAUAAACUAUGAGAAAAAUGAUUUGAACUCAAGUCUUCGGUGCAUAAGAGGGGAUGCAUUCGCUUUAGCCAACGUGAUUCUGUCCACGUCUGCAUAUGACAACAAAAAUCAUUGUAUGCAAAACUUGGUCCAAUUUGGUUCAUCAAAGAGUACAAGUUUUGCCUUUAAAUUUCUUCCAUCCUAAAUAUGGAUUGAAGUUAAAACUGAUGGGAUGUGCGGUAGUAUAGGGAACUUUAUGGCUUUGGUCAUGUCUUCACACUCCUCCCAAAGAUUUUUCACAAGUACCAUAUGAUUGAGCACAAGAUAUUCCCAAGGAAAAAAGAUAUCAUUGACAUGGGGUUUAUUUAUAGGAUAGUAUUAUUUGCACACUAAUUUUUAAUUAUCUCCUACACACAUUUGUUUAUUUUUGUCAUUAAUCUUCUUUUAUUCAUGUGAUAUGACGGCCAAAAUUUGAGAAGAGUGUAGGAAAAGUAAAAGCACUGCCUUAUUUAUAUAUGCAGGAAUUUCCCAUAAUACCCCAGUCUCCCUUCCAAGAAAAUGCACAAUUACAUGGCCAAAAAGCUAAAUAAUGAGACACAUUUUCCAGUCUAAUUUAUUUGACGGAGUGACCGACAAAGAGACAAGAGGAAUCCAGGUUUGAAGGCAAUGAACUGUGUUGGGCAAAAUUAAUGGAUCUCCUUACAUUACCUUCCAAACCAGUAGUGCUUGAUGACCAUCCUUGUAAAGAAAAACAAAGGGACAAAAAAGCACUAAAAUUAAGUGCUUAUGUAUCCAACUUUAAUCUUGGAGCAGACAAGAACUCUUGGAAUAUAUUUAGGAGCCUUGUAUGUUACCUUUACUUUCAUAAAUUUAGGAGAAUAUAUAGAUUUAUUCCCUAUGGUCACCUUAUAAAGUAAGUUGUUGAUUGUUGACCGUUAAUUAUUGUAACCCGUCACUUUUUAAUACGAGUGAUAAUAAAAGAAAUAAGAUCAACCAGAUAAAUGUUUGAGUGAAUGAUAUUAACUAUUUAAUCUACAAGCUUGUUGAAGAGUACCCAUAUGAACUACAACUUUGCAUAGCAUACAAACUAGAAAGCAUAACAAAAAGCUAGAACCGUUGUUGUGAAAGCACUAAUACUUUGCACUUGUGUGGCUGAGAAGCUUAGUGGUCCAUGUCUCUUUUUGCAUCCAAAUUAUGUUGCAUGCAUCUUUUUGUUAGGCUACGUUGUCAGUUAAAGGUCGGGCAGAUAGCCGUAAAGAUAGACACAUAAUGCAGUUAUUAUAUUAUGCAAUAAAGCCAUUAAAGUGCUAGCUAAUAUCAUCAAAUAUUGGUACAAAAAUAUAUAUGUGACGAAAGACGUAGAAAUUACCAUGAAAGAGAAAGGGUUGCAAGAAAAGCUCAAGACACAAGAAAAAUAAGUGCGUGCGCAUGAUUAAUUGAUAAUUUCCAUUGGUGCACGUACGCACCAGAAGUUAAUCAAACGAGUGAGUGGCCAAACUCAAUGACUGCAUCACCAAUAGCAGGAACUGAUGGAGAGCAAGAGAAUGAAGAAGAAGAUCCAUAAGCACUUGACUUUUCGACGAUCGGAUACAACGCUCCCAUGCAUCCAUCUUCAAUCAUCAUAGGAUUGAACUCCCAUGGCUGCUGGUUAUCCCAGAAUCCAUGACUGAAUCCAUCAAAGCAAGGAAUCUGAUGAUCUCCAUUGUUGUUAUUAGAAGCUGCUUGCACAUUCGUAACAUCUAGAGGAAAUGUAGCAAUAGUGGAGUUAUUAGGGUUUGCGAAGCUACAAUUUUGAUCAAUUUUCAAAGCUUUUGAGUUUGUGUAAUUUGUGGGGUGGUGAUUAUCCGAAGGAGGCCUUAGGCAACUAUCAGGAACAAUGCAGGCCAAAUAGCCCGAGUUAGAAUUACUCGAAUCGCCAGAGAAAAAGAAACCCUCAUGAUCCUCAUCAUGUGCUGAUGAUGAUGACCUAAUAUUAUUAGGGUUUUGAAAUUGGAUUUGAUCAGACUGAAAAACGUUAGAAUGAUGAGGUGGACUGUUUUGAUUGGUGAGUUGUUGUUUAGCAGUCUGAGUAGUGAAAAACUGUGAUUGCUGUGGUAAAAGGGUUUGGACAUCAAAGGGUGAGAGGAGAGAUUGGAAAGUUGUGUUGUCAGAGUAAAUGAAGUUGGUUCUUGCUUGUGAGCCUUUCAUGGAGAGGGCAGCUCUGUCAUAAGCAAAAGCUGCUUCUUGAGCAGUGUCAAAUGUGCCAAGCCAGUGCCUUUCUUUAGUGCUAGGGUCUCUGAUUUCAGCUGCAUAUCUCCCCCAAGGCCUUCUCCUCACACCAAGAAACCUCCCUGGCUCGGCCUGCUUUCGCCUUCCUCUUCUCUCGCCGGAUUGAGAGGACGGAGGAGGUGUGCUUCUCUGCAGCACAGCAGCAAAACCCACCUGUGCCUGACCUUGCUCAAAAGCUUUGAAGGGUUUUUCUAGGGUUUUGGAGGUAGACAUUGACAUGGGACAGAAAAUAAUAAGAAGUUCUAGAGAAAAUGUGAGUGAGUGCAGAAGGAUAUGAGAAGUGAAGGUUUUGGUUUUGGUUUCUGGAUUUUGGAUGGUGAAGUAUUGGAAGUUGUGAGAAGGGUUUUAAAGACUAUGAUUUAUAAUCAGGAGGAGAGAUAAUUUAGUGUAAGUAAAGAUAUACGUGACAUAUAUUUAUUGAACAAAUAAUGCGUUUUUUAAACACUUGACAAGUGUUUAUUAGAUGAGAAUUAAGACUGUUUUAGUUAUAAUAUAGAAUGUUAUGGAGAUAAGGAGAAAAGGGGGGGGGGGGCAAGGAAAAGGACAUUGCAGAUGUCAUUCUGUGGAAGACCAUCCUUUCCUUUCCACCUACUUUUUUUUAAAUCUUUCUUUUUCUGAUUUCUAUUUAAUCCUGCAUCUCUUCAACUGCAAAUAAUAAUAAGCUAGCACUUGUAGGUGAAAAAUAAUGUGUAGAUUCCCAGUAGUACUUGUCAAAAACUCGAAAUGGAGGUCUGUAACUGCUCUAGGGUUUUUUAUUUUCUAGCUACAGUCACUUUCUUCCAAGUUCCAAUAAAACCCUAGAAUAUAAAUUCUCUAUCUAUAUGUAACUUGCAAUUCCAUAUGAAAAUGGUUUGGAAAUAUACUAACUCAUAACACUCUUAAGUUUCAAAGAUGUUACUGUUGUGGCUUACAUAAGUUUCAAAGAUGUUAUUGUUGUGGCUUAUUUUAAUUUACAGGGAGAGAGGGGGCCGGUGGCACAGAGAGAAAAUAGAGAUAUAUAUGUGUUUGUAGGGUUGUGUAGAUGAUGUGUUAUUUUCCUAUGCAGUAUCUUUAUUUGUAGUAAUAAGGGAGGGAAUAAUCAUUCUCCUCCAAGGAAUACAAGUUCUAAUAGGGUAGAAUAACUAGAAUCAAAUAUAAUCUAAGAUUUACACAAUCACACUUAAAUACAAAGUUUAUAACAGUUAUUAUUUUAUGAGGUAAUUAUUACAUCAUGUCUAUGUAACUAUUGGGAUUUGUUUGUUUUAUGAAUUUAGGGUUUUGAAUCUUAAUGUGAUCUACACACGUGUGGAUCUACCGUCUAAUCUAGAUGAAAUUUGACAAGUAAACUUUAUGCUUAAUCUUGAAAGCUCCAUGAACCAUUAUAAUACUAGAACUUAUGUUGUAGAACGUCAAUGUUUGAGGACUAAGAAGGGACUUGAAUUGCCAUGCUACGGUCUGGUGAUAUUCUUCUUCACUUGGAAGUGAGAGGUCUUAGGUUCGAAUCUCGUAGAUGGCAAAUUCGAUACCAAAUUAGGUUGCCCAUUAUGUGGUUUAGCUGAACUCCCCCUCCCCCUAGUGUAAAAAUAUUAAUGUACUAAAAAAAAAAAAGGACUUGAAUCAAUGAUGCUUUUUAUUUUAUUUUAUUUCAAAAUUUAUAUUAUUAUUAAGAGAAAUGAGAGAGUUUGACACUAUUACAAGAAUUGAGGGUAGGGGGAGUUUCGAACUCGGGAUGCAUGGGUGAAAACCCAACACCCUAUGCACUAGGAUAUUGGACCGCAUGCAGAAUCAAUAAUGAUGAUUGAUGACUGGUAGAUUAGAAAAAAAUAAUGUUCUUAUCUCAUAUAAAUGGAAUCAUAAAAUGAAAAUUUUCUAGAUACAUAACAAAAUAUGAGUUGUCUGAACGAAAAAAAUGCUACUUUUUACACGUAAGGAGCUAAGUAUUUCUAAUAAAAAAAAAAUCUUCAAAAUUUAGAUCAAUCCUACAUAUAUAAAACCAGCUGAAAAGGAAAACAACUGCGUGGUUUUUUAGUACCUACUCCAAGAAAUGAAUUCAUAAUGUACCAACAAAAAUGAUCUCCAAUAUUCACAUGUAAAUCCGCAUUUUGUGCAACCAAAUUCUUUGUAACAAUUCGCAUUUUCAAACGGAGCAGUUAAGAUUUUUCUCAACUAAAUCGAAAUUAUCAGAGAACAAAACAUAUUUUAUUGAGUUUUUGUGGUCUGCAUCUUGGAAAUAACCAACCCCACACCAGGACAGAAACAAUAGGCUCCCUCGUAAGGAAGGGCCCAUCGCUCAAAGUUUUAUGCUUGUUUUGUUUUGUUGGUCUAUAUAUGCUUCACCAUAUAGGAUGUUAUUUUUUAAUUUGUUUUCGUUCGUAGCAGUAGAAAACUAGUAAGAAUAUGAAAUAUGCAGAGUGAAAUCAUGCAGUGUCCACUGACCAUAUAUUUCGUUUGAUUUUUUUUAUUAUUAAUUGGGAGCGGCAAUUGGAACUUAAAAUUUCUUCUAACAUUGGAAGAGAAUUACUGCUAGAUGACCUAGUUGUUUCGUUAAUAUUCAAGCUUGUUCAGUAAUAGAAGAUGUUUAAAGUCCUGAGAAUCUCCAAAUUAAGUUGUCUUAACUCUUUUUUUUUUCACCCUCCGGAGUUCUGCACUUGGUCACGUAUUUUCUAUAAAUCUGGAGUAGCUAGAUAUGUCCCGUCAAGAAUCAAGUACAGUAACAUAAGUUAAUUUGACUAACAACAUAAACAUUAAUAUAGUAACAUAAAUUUGGCCAGAAAACAUUAUUUUUAUGUUUUGUUAACUUCUUACUUACUAGAAGUUUGAUUUUAUAUCCUGAAUUGUAAGAUUAAAUAGUUUCAAAUGGUUGAUUUUCGCCACUAUUGAUUAUCUAACUUUUAAUCUAGUAUCCAAUGCUGAAGAGAUUUUAAGCCUAAAUCACCCCAGCUAUCAAGCACAUUAUUAAAUUUAAGUCAUAAACAAAACCUUAAUGGUAAAUUUGGGGACAAAUUAAGGACUAAUUCAUGCAGCAAGCAAACGUUCGACAUUCCAUAUUUACUAUAAGUUACUCACAAAUACCCUUUUAAGUAACAUCCUUCAAGUAAAAUAUAUCAAGGUUGGAUUUAAACAUUGGUCAUCGUUUCCAAACUCCGAAAGUAAUAAAAAAGGGCUAGGUCAAAAGGCAAUCAAGAGCUUAAAAAAAAAACACUUGCAAAGCAAGGUGGAGUAAACUGCCCAAACAAAAGUUACAAGUGGAGUGGGGCAAGUGUAUUAACACAUUUGAUUAUUUAGCAACCCCAGUAGGAAAAGUAAUCUUUAAACCCUUUGAUUAAUUAAACCUCACAUUGCCAAAACGGCAUGGGGAAUGGCAUAAACUAAUCACAAUACCAAAUGGGUCAACCUACUUUCAGUUCAUUUAGCAUUUCCAAAUGUUGCAAUGCUUUGCCACUGGUCACUGUCAUGGUCUAUUGUGUUUGUGUAAUGAACCUAACAAAUAUAAAUAAAGAAAACUAACUAAAAGUCCAAAAAAACUUCAUUUUGAAUGAAAAGCUCUUUUUAAAGGUAUAGUGAAUAGUAUCAGGGAAAUGUAUAAAUGUGGUUUUUCGUUAAAAGUAAAUAGUAUCAUGAGUGUUUUGUUAAAACUCCCAUAUAAAUAAUGAUAAAACAUGUAAAAUGCUGUUUUUCCUUACAUGCAAAUCGUAGUCUUAUACAUUAACUUAUUAAAAUAAUAAAUAAGAAAUUAUGCAAUUAGUAAUUUAUGUGUGAUUAUGAAUAAUUCUUCACAUAUAAGCAACCAAAUGUUUUCUUAUCGAAAAAGAGAAAAAAGGACAAAUUAUCAAUAGUGUAUCAAAUAUGGAGAGAGGGGGUUACAACUUACAAGGGAAAAUACUAAAUAGUAUGAUUAAUUACAAAAAAUUGGUUCUUUUAAGAAUGAGAUGGACUCAAUUGGAAUCUAUGACCCUUGACUCCUCCACUAAGAAUUUGAAGAAACCCAAUAAGAUAGGAUUGCUUCAUGAAACCCCAUCUUAAUAAAUUGUGGAAAAUGAAGGAUUUUUAUGAAUUUAACAUUAGAAGAGCAGAAAGGUUUGGUCUUUGGUCGUUAGUCAAGCCCCAUCUCAAAAAAGUGUUGAGCUAGUUGGAAAGGAUGGAGUGUAUAAAUUAACAUGACUAAGUACUUAUUAGAUUUGCUUAAAACGGAUUUACUUAUUAGACUUGACCAAAAAAGAUUUUAAAAAAAUUGCUUAAAAUGGAUAACAAUUUUGUAUCUAAUAUUGACAAAAAAAAAAGAAAGAAAAAAGAGAUGUGGUAGGGGCCUCUCUGUGAGACUGUCCAUUCCCUUGUUCCAAGUUUUUCUUUGACAAGUGUCUGGUUUUUAGUCAAAUGAGAAUUUUGCACAUUCCCCCAAAACAAGCACAUCAUACUUUUCAUUAGGGUUAAAGGUUCCCCCCGGGAUUUUGGGAAAAUUAUAGAUGUGUCUUUGUUUUUAGGACUUGGACUUUGACAUGAGUGAGUGAGAGAGUGAGAGAGAGAGAGAGAGAGUUUUUUGAGGUUUUGUAGCUUUGAUAUUGGUGGUGGUCUUUAUAUUAAUUCAAGAAAGUUUUUUUUUUUGCACUUUGAUUGGAAAUGUCCCAAUCCCAUUGUUAGAUUUUAGCCUUUCGUGGUUCAGCUACUUUCUACUUUCCGAUAAAAUGCAACACGCUCGUGUCUUUCCACUACGAUGCAGUCAAAUUAUGUAUAUGAUAAUAAUAAUAUAUAAUAAGCUAUUUAUUUUUCAUUUAUGUUUUCGAUAAUACUUCAAUCUAUCUAAUCAAAGAUAACAUAAACUUGUUCACUUACUUAAGAUUAAUACAUUUUUAUUGUAGAAAACUUCUUAGUCCAAAUGGUUCAUUUCUUAAUCAUCGCUUAAAUGAGAUUGUUCACUCAUUCGUAUGUAUUUAAAACUUGAUAGUUUUGAAAACAAUUUUGAUUAUAAUAAUCUUUAAACAAUGAUUAACAAAGUGAACAAUUUCAAUUAUGUAAUAUGUACGAUGAAAAUACGUUCAUCUUACGCUUGAUGAGGAGGGUGUAAGUUUGUCCUUAUCUUGUUUGUUUUGGUUUUUUGAAAUUAUUUUUUGUUGAGAAUACUACAUACUAUAUUAGUGGCUUUAUAGCUUGUGGGUGAAAUGCUAUUUGCCUGCCUAAAUGAUCAUUGUGUUAAUUUGCCAUAGAGUGAUUGGGCGACGUGUGAUUGGUUCCUAUAAAAAUAAAACCCUAGUGUUAGUGUGGUAGACCACUCCACGCUUUCAUGGCCUUGAUGGCAUCUGUCUCUUUGGUAUUGAUAAUUUGAUAUACUAAAUUAACGAAUGAAUACUUAGUGAUACCAUCAAAUAACACAACUCCUAUGUAAUACCAAGUUAAAUUACUUUUUAGUUGAUUACUACUUGACACAAACUAACAUAAACCAUGACUAACCAACCCCAUACUAAACAUGUCAAGUUAGUAUUAAUCUUUGUUUAAUGAUACUAAACAAAGAUGCUCUGGUUUUGAUUUAGCCCAAGUAACUCCUUUGUCUUGAAUACAUAAAGAAAAUGGAAUAAUAUUCUCCAAUUAUUGUUACACAUGCAUUAUAUGAAGGCUUAUUUUUAGAAUUCGAUUUUAAUCUCAUUUUACUCUCUGUAACUCAAAAGUCAUAAUUUUACUCAUUGAAACUCGAAAUACGCUUCACUUUGCCCUCUGGAACUCGAUUUUGAUCGCAAUUUGCCCCUGAAACUUGAAAAUCGUCUCUAUAAAACUCAAAAUUUGCUCCACAUUGCCUUAGAUCUGUUAAUUUCUUAUGUGGGUUUGAUUUGGAUGAGCCAAGCUAAUCAAUUUAUUUUUUAUUUUUUUAGCUCUUCAAUUUCUUUUAAACUUAAUAAUCUCUUAUUUUAUAAUCAAAUUUAUUACACAUGUGAUAUAGUCUUAUUAGGUGUUGGGUCUCACAUAUGUUUUAGGAGGUGACCAAUAAGUUUUAGAGAGAAGUAAAGUUGUGAUUUUUGAGUUACAUAUGGCAAAGUGAGAUUAAAAUAGAAUUCUAAGGGGGCGUAGCUGAAAAUAAGCCUUAUAUGAAUGCUUGAGAGAUUAAAGGAUUAUUUUAAUAGUUUUUCCCAUGAUAGAUUUGAGGAAUAUUUUAUGGUGCUCCGACGUAAAAGAUAUUCUGAGUUUUAUAACCGUUAAAUUUGUUCAACUAUACAAAACUCCAUAUCUAAUGAUUAAAAACCAUGGUCCGAACACCGUAGAAUUUUUGGAGAUUUGGUUUAGAAACAGAAACCUAGUUUGGUUCACAAGAUACAACACAGUGUAGAGAUCUGCUAGUGUGCUAGGGAGUACGGAUUACUGUUUGAAGUAGAGGUCUGCUACUCCUGCCACGUGACACUGUAGUGUAGAGUGCACAAGCUGCAAUGCCAUAGCCAACGAGAGAGGAUUCUCGCCGGAUCCUCUUUGUGAGGAUCCAGAUGAUUCUUUUAUUUUGUCAUUUCAUCGUACAUUGUAUGUUCAGAAAUCAUUUUAAAUUAUAUUAUUUAAAAUUGAACAUAAGUAGUACCUGACGAAAACUGACCACACAAUGUAUAAUAAAUGAACAUGAAUAAAGAAUCUUCGGAAUCCUCACAAAGAGAAGCGAGGAUCGUAUCUCAUAGACAACAGGGACUACGUGAUCAAUAUAUUGAUCAUCCACUGUAUUGAUAAAGUUGGAAACUUGGCGACCUCUCAAUGCGUUUUCUGGUGUCACGAUGACGUUGCAGAGAAGAAGAUCUUGGCUGUACAAAUGUCAGUGCCGACGUGGUACGUAAAUCACGGAACAUCCAACAGCGGUAAGAUGAUGAAGAUACGAGGUUGGGGAACGGGAAUGAACGAAGCAGGCAGCUCAGUACAUCUUCCAUUCUUCUUCUUCUUGAUGCAGAGGGAGGGGGAGAGAGAGAGAGAGAGAGAGAGAGAACAGUAAAAGCGAAUCUUUAGAGAGAGAGAGAGAGAGAGAGGGAGUGGUCAAAGAUUGUAUAAAAGGACGGUUGGAUCGUGAGAUUGGACGGCUAGAAAGGUUCUGUUGUCGUUGCCUUGGGGAACAAACCACGAUAUUUGCUCUCCAAGUCCCAAACCCUCAACCCCUACCCAUGCAGAAACUAGAAACUCAAACUAAAACUGAACCGAACCAAAAAUAUACAGUAAAAAGCUGAAGUAAACAGUAUGUUAUUAGAUUCUAAUUUCUUAGAACUAUGAGAAAUGGUGAAAUUUAACAAAUGGUGAACUAUGAAUGACUUGAACUCGUUUUGGAUUACGUAAGCAGUCUAAUACAAAAGUUUGAUACAACCAUAAAAUAAGAAAAAAAGGAUACUAUACCGUUGUUGAACCGCUGUUUUGUUUUUGGCCAUGUCUCGGAGGCGAGACAUGAUAGCUGAACAGGUACAAAGGUAUGUUUUGGUGUCACGUGUCGAUUUUGAAUGUAUUUCAGAAUCAAGGCGUAACUACUGAAUAAUGAUACAUUAACUACAAGGGGAUUCCUUUUUCCUUGUAAAUCUGAAUUGGCAAUUGGCAAUAGUUAUAUUGUUUUUAGUAGCUAGAUUGCUUUCCUGUUUAGUUUAGACAUCCUAUUUGAGCUUCCUUCUACUCUUCGUACACAGAGAAAGAAGCUUCACAUCAUUGGAAGAUCAAUCGGUAGUUAUGACACAGUGCAAGCAGUUAAACCGACCUUUUAAGCCCUAAGGACAUGGUUAAUAACAUUGCGGUGGGCUCGUACAAGGGUAUCCCUCGAACAAGCUUAUCUGAGGGAUCCCUCAAUGAACCUCCCCUUGUGUGCGUUCAUCGUGUGGGAUGCAAGUUUAUGUGUGAAUGAGCGGGCCUUUGCACUUGAGUAUGCUUAUAGGUGUGCGAAUGUGUGAAUAUUACCAGAAAUGAAAGGAUAACUAAAAUUUUCUAUAAAUACAUCAAAGCCUGUUUCAUUCUUUCAACAGAUGUUACUGAAUUUCAUGAGUUGUGUCAAGAUCGUAUAUGGAGAAGAGAAACAAAUUGCAAGAGCUGAUACCUUUCUAUUUCUAUUGGUUAGCAGUGAAAUAACACACGAGACCACGAGCUCACUUCCAUUGAGGCCACUUGGUUGUUUCUGUAGAUCCUUUCCUAAAACUUGAAAAACUGGAAUUAUCUGCAGCAUCGUGCCAUACCAUUUCCAUCUGAAGGAAGCAAAUGAGAAUAUGUUGUCAUUGGAAAUUAUAUUACAAGAAACAACGCUACAAGUUUUCAGUUGGACACUUCAAUAAAGUAACAAAGUAAUAACAGAGCAAAGAAACAUACAUCUCCAACAAUCACCGUGUCGCCUUCUUUCACACCAAGUUUUGUAAGAGAUUUGUUCACGCCACAAGCAUCCAGAACAUGCUGGAACCUUCUCCCAGAAUCCACAUAUCUGUUCAAAAACAUUCAUUACAAAUUUUCCGUGAGGAUUGGAACAGCAAAAACAAGAUGCGAAUUACAUCAAAUAGCAACACUGAGGCAUCGUAAUCAAUUUUGGAGAACAUUGAAUUGUGAAUGAUCUGACUACAGAUUAUAAACGUAAGUUGAUGAGCACUAUAUGUUCCGUGUGACGGUGUGAGACAAAAGAAAACCAAUUUAUACUAAAACAAGGGUGCUAUUUAGAGCCAUGUUAAAAACAUGAUUUUAUUAAACCCAUUGAACAAUGGACUAGCUGUCCCUUAGAAACAAUACUGCAAUAAGAACAAACAGCUAACUAUCAUACAGAAAACAUUGCAUGAAAUAAUUCACACCAGAACUUAAAAGACAGCUCUCCAAUAUGAAAAAAUAGAGGAAAAGGGAGUUUCCUGAAACUCAAAAAGAGACUCGAGGCCCCUCACUUCACCUCCCCAAUCCCCUCCCCUCUCCCCUCCCCUCUUUUCCCCUUACCCCCUUCUUUAUAUCUAAAGACAUUUUGUGCACGUGAGCUAUUCAAAUUCAGGAAAUCCUUAUCUUUGAGUAGUACAUUAGUACUGCAUUAGCACAAAGCAAUUGAAGAAGAACGAGGUGGCUGUUGAUCUGAUAUUCAUUAUGUAUUUCCUAACAAACUACAUCAUAAAAAGAGGUGCUUGUUGCUUCACUCUAUUUACUUGUGCAAUUGUCAGACUCACACCACUGAUCACUCCCCCCUUAUCAUGGUCUAUUCUUUUAAGAAGAAAGAGAAAAUGAAACGAAAAGACUUCUAUUAGUCAAAAUUUCAUGAUAUUGAAUCCACAAUGCAGGUCACCCAUUACAAUGCAACUUUUGGAGUUUGAACUUUCCACUAUAACCAACAGAUAACGAAACAAAUUUGAUAUCAUAACAGAUCAGACUUGUGAUAUCAAGAAAGAAUAAUAUGAAAAACUAUAACAAUGACAUUAUUACAACAGUUUCUAACCUACCUCCAAUUCGUCAUUUGAACAAAGCGUUGCAACCCAGAUCCCACAACAUGCCAAGUAUUGCUACUGCUGUCAUGAGUGAUCUCAAACUCAUUAAUAGAUGCAGUUUGCUGCUUACGCACCAUCUCGGCUACAUGAUUCAAAUUGACCGGGUCUUCCAUAUCAAAACAAAAGAGACUUGUCAACACAGUGAAUGAGUAACAUAUGGAGUUAAAGCUUAUUUAUCCUAUUAAAUACAAGCAGGUAUGGAUGUUAAACCUUAGUCAGCUGAAAAAAUACUUAUAAGCUGCACUGCUUUUCUCUUUCUUUCCCCUUUUCGUCUGUUAUUACACAUACAGAAUUUUGUUUCUUAAAAUAAUGCGAGACCAUUUACAUUAAUCUAGUCAUGCCAUUUCUCUUCCGUUUUCAAUAAAUUCCAGUGUUGCUUAAAUCUCUAUAGUAAAGCUUACUUCCAAAUUAAACAGUGACAUAUCUAUUUGAUAGCCCGUCAUCAAAUAAUCUUCAUAACAUGUAUAAUUUAAACAACCCUAUAGUCUGUGUGAUAAUGUGAGAAUAAAACAAAAUCCACAAUAUAAUAUGAGUAUGCAUUUAGUUAAGAAACCUUUUUAACAUAGAAAAAAUUAAAGUAAACUGACCUGGGAACUCCUCCUCGGCCACUUUAUUUUCUCGUAGAAGCUCAUAAGCAGCACAGCUCACUUCAUGAGUACCCUCUCUUUUCACUGCACUCAUGCAAAAAACACGAAUCCCACGAGAUUCUAAAUUUUCUUUGAAUGAUGACCAGUUUUCAUAUGCAUCUGGAAGGUCCAUUUUGUUAAACGCAACUACAUAAGGCUUUUCAGCAAUUUCAGGGCUAAACAGUUCCAACUCCAGACGUACUGCAUCAAACUCAAAUUCUGGCUGUUGUGAUGAGCCAUCUACGACAUGUAUCUGACAUUUCCAGAAUGAUGGAUAUCUUAUCAAUAAUGAUGGUUUUGAUAAAGAAUAAAACAAAACAUUUUUAAAUUAAAUAAGGGAACUAUUAUUAGCACUCCAAAAUUCUCAUUGUGCACUCCAAACAUUCUAUAUGUAGAAAGAAAAAUACACUUGUGAGGAGAGCGCAAUGAGAUUUUUGGAGUGCCAAUAACAAUUCCUUUAAAUAAGAAAAUUUGAAACAGUGAUUACUAAACAGAGAACAAAAGGGAGCUUUCAUUUUCCUCAGCCACAGAACGAAGUAGACUUAACAUUCAUCGGAGAUGUAAAUUUAGCCUCAUAAUUUUGCAUAUAUUCUAUCAUGUAAACGAAGGACACAAUGGAUGAUACCAGAAAUUGAUUAAAAUGACCACCAGAAAAGACCGUAUAAUUUGGUUGAAAGAGAAUUCAUGCUGUGUUUCCACAGGGUAAUAUGCGAAGAUGAGCUAAUGACAAUUAAGAUGAUAAAAAAUAUAUCAAGCUAUUUUAAUCUUCGAGCAUCCAAAAUAAUUUGUAACAAAGUUCCAAAUAACUUGAGAGAUGAUGGUCAAAGCCUAUACCAGGGCAGAACACCUCUCAGUGUGCCGUAGGAACUCAUGGCCCAAACCGAAACCGCGGUGUGCUCCUUCAAGUAAACCUGGCAGAUCUGCUACUACCAUUGUAGAAUCAUAGUCAAACGAAACCACACCCAGAUUAGGAAGUAAAGUUGUGAAGGGGUAAUUUGCUAUUGUUGGCUGAGCAGCACUUAUCACACUCAAAAGUGUGCUUUUCCCUGCAUUUGGGGCGCCCACUAUUCCAAUAUCUGCAACCAGCUUUAGUUCCAGCUCCAACCACCUGAUCAAUAAUACCAGCAUUUAUUCAUACUGUUCAAAAAUGGUCACACAAAGACUGCAAGUAUCCCUAAUUUUGAGAUCGCUGGGACCAAGGAAAGGCCAUUGAUUGUAAGAUAUCAGACAACAUAGACCAAUUUUAAGAAUUAUUUUAACUAAGCUAAUCUCAACUGUUUGAUAUACUGCCUAGCUUUCAAGAUCGAAUCUGCAAAUCGAGCUAAGAGAAACACUACAAGUCUACAAUAGGGUCUCCUUUUACAGUGACAUAAGAUCUCCUGGAAAGCACCUAGCUUCUAAUUGCACCAAUAUUUGGGUCACACUAUCAAUUUCAAACUGCUUCGGCGCAUAUCAUCUUCUACUGCCAGAACGAAGUCUCAAAUCAAUCAUUCAAAAGUUUUUACCAUUGUUUUAAUUUUGAAUGACUACAGACUAACAAAACAAUUCCAUCUACCACAAAUCAUCCAAACAAUAAUAAAGAAUCAAUGAUAACAACAACAGCACGCAAGUUAAAGCAAUUCAGAUUGAUUGACAAGAGACUCGAAGAGGGGUAAACUCACAUCUCGGGACCCUCUGCACCAUUCUCAGCAAUCCUGGGGACCUUAUUUGUCCCGGAUUUAAACGAAGCGUUUCCUCUCCCGCCUCUCCCUCCAGGCAACAACAAUGCACGCUGGCCCGGAUGCAACAACUCCAGAAGCACCUCAUCCUUCCCCGCCUCUCGGACAACAGUCCCGGGCGCCACCUUAAUCACUACGUCCUCUCCCUUAGCCCCAUUCUGAGACUGCCCUCUUCCAUGAUCACCUCUCCCUGCCCGAAAAUGCACGCUGUUCCGAAACGGCAGAAGUGAAUUCAUCGACCCAUCCACCUCCAUAUACACAUUCCCACCUCGCCCUCCGUCUCCGCCUGAAGGUCCCCCCAAAGGCACGAACUUUUCCCGCCGCAUUGCAACCACGCCGUUCCCUCCGUCCCCUGCCUUGGCAAAGAUUUUGGCGCGGUCGAAACACCGCAUUACCGCUGGCACUCCCUUCUCCUUCACUUCCACUUCCUCCAAUUCACUCUCAUUACCGGAGAAAUUCACAGCUUUGCCCUCCUUAAACCCUGGGAACUCACCGUCGUCGUUUUGAUAAACAUUUUCCAGUUCGUCGUCAAUUUCACCAUCACUGUCAUCCUCCUCCUCCUCCUCCUCAUCCAGUUCAGAAUCGUAAUUCCCAUCAAAGACCUCAAAUUUCCCAGAAUUCAUCCCUAACUUAUUAUCCGUGCCACUUUCUUCCUCCUCCUCUUCGUCGCUGCUUAAAUAAUCAAUCUCCUUCUCAACCACCAAUGCGACAUUUGACUCAGAGAGCUUCACCUCAGACGAGAACUCCAACGACGCCGCAUCGAGAGACGGGAGAGAGAAAUCCUCUCUGGGAGGCAGGCGAGUGUAGGUGGUGGCCUCGACGCCGACUGAGGACAACUGCUUCGCGCCGGUUCGACCCUUCAGCCUAACGUUAGGGUUAGGGUUAGGCCUCGGAGUUACCUGCUUCUUAUUCGGAGGCUUGCGAGUCUGUGGGACCCUCGGGCGAGCCAUGGCGCUCGGGCAGAAGCUUAUGGAUAUGGUCGCCAUUUUCAGGCGCGGCAAACUGAAACGAAACUCCUCAGUCCUGAUUUUGUUCAGCUCAACUGGAAACAGCCUGGUGUGUUGGCAUGCCACGUAUCCCGUUCUGGAUUACGUCUUCGAAACGCAGCGUUUUGUUCAUACGCUUUUAUUCUUUUCCCUUUCCUUUGCACCCUUGUUAGGCCAUCUCUAGCAGCGCUGCUGUGGACCCAUGUUCUUGAAUUAUUUGGAUUAUAAGUAUGGGACAUUGUAGUAGCGGUGUAUUUGUGUUAUGCAAGUUAUUUUUUUAGAAAAAAAGUUAUACUCUAGCUAGCAAGGGAUUAUAUACUAGCUAGUUGGCAUGGUUGGCUACAAGUAGGUCUCAAGCAUAAGACAACGAGCACAAAUGGUGAACACUCCAAAACACUUUAGUUAAAGCAUCCCCAGUGAGGGGCUCUAUAUGGGGCUGAAAAAAUGGUAGAUGUAAUCCGUUUUUGAGCUCUGAAAAAUGUUUGGGGUUUUAUAAAAGAAUAUCUCCCAAUGAGGAGGCAUUUCUUUUGGACUCUAUAUGGAGCUAUAUAGAUUUAUUUAGAGUAAAUUGUAGUUAUGGUCCCUUAACUUUGACUCAAUUGGAGCAAUGGUCCCUCAACUAAAAAUCCAUUACCAUUGGUCAUUCAACUCAUCAAAAUGUGCAGCUAUGGUCUCUCAACUAAAAAUUUAUUACCAUUGGUCCUUCAACUUUAAUUUAACUAGAGAAAUAGCCCCUUAACUUUAACCCAAUUGUAGCAAUGUUCCUUCCAACAUAACUCAUUUUGACAAAAAUUUUGAUGUAGUUGACGAAAAUGACCAUAAUUACACACUUUGAUGAGUUGAGAGACCCUAAUUAUAUAAAUGGUUAUUCCAACAUAACUUAUUUUGACAAAAUUUUAACGAAAUUGAUGAAAAUGACUAUAGCUACACAUUUUGAUAAGUUGAGGGACCAAUAGUAAUGAAUUUUUAGUUAAGGGACCAUUGCUCCAAUUUGAUUAAAAUUGAGGGACCAUUGCUACAAUUUACUCAUUUAUUUAUGUAGUCAUGUGAUUAUGCAGUGAUUUUUAUUUUUUAUUUUUAACUUUUCUUAAGUUGAUUGACACACCUCAACCAGAGUCAAGACAUGCUGGUCGACACCCGAAGGUGACGUAACCAAAAAGGAAGGUGAUGCAUAAGAAAAAUGUGGAUAAAUUUAAACCCAAGCAAACAUUUAUUUAAUCUAAGGUAAAGAGUGCGCAGUAGUGGGAAGAACCCAUAAAACACAAAUGUUCAGAGCAUAGAUGACAAUACGACAGAAGUAGUGCAAUCGAAACUAGUUAAGAUACUUAAUACACAACCGAGAAAAAGCCCUUACAUUUAUCUAUGGAAAUUUCAGAAUACACUAGAGAUUCCUCGUAUGCCACAACGAGUUCAACUAUCUAAGUCCUAAUGGGGUGAAAAACAGAAGGGUGAGUGGGCAAAAACAAAGGUUUAUAAAACACAUUUAUUUCUGAACUUACUAACCCCUCGCCGUAAAACAUGUAUAGUUUCCAGAAAAUCAUACUACAUAUAAGUAUGAAAUUAACUAUAAACCAACAAUAAAUCCAUAAAUACAUCAACCAUAUUAUCUCAACAGCAACAUAAGUAAAACCAGGUGCUCAUCAAUCUAUGCUACCACACGAGUUCAUGUAGAGGGAAUCUGACAUGAAUAUGACUGAGUGUAAUCAUAAUAUACGCUCUAGCACUACAAUCAUGUGAAGACUAGUGCUAGGUGCAUCACAUACGAGUCGGAGUUGCCUAUUGCAACAUGUACGACAGGAUUGCCACCUACGAUGGAUCCAAGGUGAGUGUGCGGUGUGAUGUGAACAUACACAUGAAGCCUGGCCCUGGCCCGGGCGAGUACAACACCUGUGUAGGCAUGCAUGAUGAGCAAGUAUAAUAUUAUGAACAUGCCAAUGACAAUAUGUAAAUCUCAACAAUAUAAUGACAUUUUUUAAAUUAAAUAAAACAUGGCAUGAAAUGUGUAAAAUUAAUCAAAACACUUGUGGAAACUAUAAAACUUUAUAUAUUAUAUUUAUAAACAAAUGCCCACUCACUAAUACGUCAAUGGAUUGUAGCCUCCUAGCCUUGUUUGUCCUCGUACCUCCUCGGAGUAAGUCUCACAUAUAUGUGAAAUAACUUUACUAAUUAAUUAAUUAGUACAUACACUAAAAGGCUAGAAAAAUCCCCCUUAGUUUUGCUCAAACAAAAGGUUUAAAUAUACGAAAAUAGUCUUCUCGACGUCACGAACUCGUACACGUCAAGCACGCACCGCUCGGAGGCCGAACACACCCUCACGCGCCGCCACGCACUGCCAGGUUGCGGCCACUCCGCCGCUGUUUAGUUCGCCAGUUUAUGGAAAAAUUCGCCAGAUUCUGGAAAAAAAAUUUUAAAACUUCAUAUCUUCUUCAUUUCUCAACCAUUUUUUAUGUACUCUAUAUGGAAAUGAAGCUUAUGAAGAGUAGAACAAAUUUAUACCUUUCAAAAGUCCAAAAAGUGGACGGAAAUGGACUGAAAAAGCCUCGAAACUCUCAAUCCUAUUUUCGUCGUCUCAAACCCGUGUGUUCUCACAUUGGCUCCACUUCAAACCUAGGCUAGUGGCCACAGGGAGUUUCCUAGAUGUCUCCAAACCUUCCAAAACCGUGCAACUCGAACGGAAAGUCGUCGAAAAAAUCUACACCCGAGUCGGAGCUUCGAGUUGCUCCGAGUUAGACAGUCAAAACUCAACUACUUUAAGAUCGGCUCGUACGGAUGGACUCGUGAGGAUGAGGGGAGCACGAUGAUGGUGAUUUGAGGGUCGAUCUGUGAGGUUUGAUGAUGAAUCUUUGUUGUUGCAGAGACAAGGGAGACUUGGGUGAGGGAGAGAAGAAGAAGAAGAAGAAGAGAGAGAGAAAAAGAGAGAGAGAGAGAGAGGGAAGUGUUUUGAUUGGACAGAAAUAAGAGAUUAUCUGAUUGGGUGAGGGGAAAAGAGGAGAAAAGUUGAUUGGUUGGUGAAGGAGAAUAGGGCACGAGACAUAAUUUAAAAAGAAGAGGUGAUAAGAUUUGUACAAUUUGAAAUCACACGAAAUCUAAUGUGCCUUAUCAAAAAUAGUAUUCUAACACUAAAUUAUUAGUACACACAUGUACAAAUCUACCAGUUGUUAACACACUUUAACUAAACGUAACUUCUUCGUUACAAAUCUAAUUCGGGUCUAACUCGCCCUCAUGCAUUCGUAACAACGAGUACUAAUUAAUUACGAUAUCGAGAAAAAUAAUUUAAAAGCCGAAUAACUACGUCCAAGUCAAUUCCACUUUUGCCAAAAGGGCAUAAACGUCAUUUUACAUCCUCGGGGAGAAAAUUACAUGGAAAAUUAGGGAUGGGUCGUCACAUUGAUUUUUGGACUUGUUAUCUUAAUUUUUUUUAAUAAAUUCUCUUAUCUCAAUCUCAGGCGUUGAAAGAUACAAACUCCCACUUCGCCCUCUGAAAUAAUUUGAUUUUCACGUACAACACAACAAUUUACCUGGCAUCAAUUGGUAAAUUAGUAUCAUACAAUUUACAAUUUUGAUUUUUUUUUUAAUUUCAUCCACCAAUAUGACCAUGAACGUUAAAUCAAUUUGAAAUUUCUAAUUCUUAUGAAAUUUAAAACAAUCAUUAAUUAGCCAAAUUGCAAGAAAAAUAUGUAAGAAAUAAAGAAAUAAAAAAAUAAAAUAAAAGGAGAGAAUAAGUUAUUCGCAAGUAGAGGGAGAGUGAUGAAAUUUUGCUCACAUGGGUUGUUACUUUUUUUGUGGGACUCACUGCUUUUUGGGGCUAGAUGUAGCCCAAUUUUAUGCUACUCAAGAAAGGAAGUUGUUUGCCCAAGUAGUUGAUCUAAUCCCAUUUUCCAGCUCAUUGGGGAUGCAAUUUCUGACUAAUUAAGGCUUGAAAUGUAGUAGCCUUAUGGAGGAUAAAGCCCCUAUUGGAGAUGCUCUUACAAACUCCUUGCAAUUGUUAUUUUAACAAAUGCAAUUGUAUCUUAAUACAUUAAAAAUGUUUAAUCGUAUCUUCAAUAAUUAGUUUUAACAUAGGAAAAAUGCUAGAGAGACCAUAUUUUUGCAUCACAUUCAUGUAUCAUCUAAUGUACUAUGAUAAAGAAAAGAGUAUUGCUACUCUUACCAUAUUUUUUAUACCACAUUUGUGGUUGUACCACCUCCCUAAUAGAGGUAGGGCUCACCAACACAUGUGGAUCUCAUAUCUGUUAGAGAAAUGGUACAAAUGUGGUAUGGAAAAUGGGAUUGAGAUCCACUCCGAAUCUCUGUGUUCGAAGCCUGCAGAUGAGAGAUCCAAACCACUCAAUUUCAAUCCUACGGCCAUCGUUCGCCUAUCCCACUGACCCACUUCACAAAAACUCAAGAACUUGAACAGCCUAAAUCUCUUUCUUUCUCUUGAUCGGUUUAGAUCUCUUGGUUUGCAGGCUCGGAACACAGAGAUUUGGAGUGAAUCUCUUUCCUAAAAAAUGUGAUAAGAAUUGCAUUUUUGCAAAGAAAAUACUCUCUAACAACUAGAAUUUAUUCUUGUAAUAUCAACUCUUCCCUUAAUUUUAGAGUGCAUUGUACCUUCCCACCUUUAAGUAACGGUGAGCAAUAUUAUCAUAAUAACGGUGAGCAUUAUUAUUAUCUUAUGUUCGAAUCUUGUGGAUGGCGGACUUGAUAUCAGAUUAGGUUGUCUAUUGUGUGGCUUAACUGAACUCUCCCUUCCCUUAGUAUAAAAAUAUCGAUGUACUCAAAAAAAAAAAUUUAAAUUCACUCACCAAGUGACAAUUAAACGAUGAUACUCCUCACCACAUCUUACUUUUUGCUCAUUCACUUUCUCACUCCUACACCCUAAUUCUCUUUCCUUCUUACUAUAACUCCAUAGUCCAUGGUAAUAUCACACCCAUGUGUGUAAAGUCGUGGUUGAAAUGAUAAAAAGGAAGGGAAUUUUUGGUAGGGCAAACCCAAAAUCUUGAUGGACCCUUUUUGUCCUAAUUAUGGAGGGAGGUAGGGGACUUUGUGGGUCGUGGGAGCUAAGGAAUCUGUGGUGCUGUGUUUGGCUUCAUAUGAGUUUGUCAUACAUUCACUCAGUGACCAGUCCCAAAUAGAGAAAAUAUGCACAAAUUUGUGACUUAUUGGACGAUGAAGUCGUCGGUAAACGCAUAUAGGCACAUUAAUUGUAGUUAUGAUGAGUGGUAGGGAGCUCAUGAAAAACAAUAGUACUUGUAAGUGAAUGCCUACCUAGUUGUUUACUCUUCUUUUAUGUGCUCCACCGUUUUAGUGGGUUCAUCUGAGUGAGAUGUAGGGUUAUGUUUAUAUGUUUUGUUUGCGUCAUGUCAUUUCGUGUUUGUGUAAAUGUAAAAGAAAUAGUUAAUUUUAAAUUGAUUCAGUAAUGGGUGUUUAGAUUCAAACUCAAAUAGUUACUGACGUUGAUGGUAAACGAGUUUUGUAUUGAGAACGAAAAAUAUAAACCUUAAUAAACCUAACACGUGGAUACAAGAUAUGUAGUCAAGUCAUUGCCUUUUUUUACUAGUUUACAAUUCGUAUUUAGAAGUAUUUCGUUUUCGUGUUAGGUUAAUAAUCAUUUCAUAUUUUCUAAACUUAUGUCAAUUUUGGAGCCUUAUUGUCUAGUCGUGUCAAAACCCUAGUGAAAUGUGAAUGAUUCCAAAGGUUGUUGGACAAUGUUUUGAAACGGGUACCUAAUGGGGAUCGCCAAUGCUACAUAUUAUGUAAGGUUUAGUAAAAUUGUACAAUUGGUGUCCUUAGAAUAGUACGUGUUUUGUGAUCUUCUUGAAUUCAAGUUUGCUCAACAGAAUCCCACCAGGACCAACUUGAUGUUUGUAAGUUAUGAGACAAGUACGGCUCUGAGUACCAAGUAUAGCCAGUAUGUAUCAACUUUAUGUCGCUCGUAUAUUAUUGGUGUCUGUAGUUUUAGGUCUAACUAACCUACCUUCAAAUGAAUUUAAAUUGCGGAGAAGAGAAGUCAAACUUAAGUGUAUAAAAGGAAGGAAAAAUUAGUAUCCGGUCCCUAGUUUUUACUGUUCAUUGACUAAGACCUUAUUAGUUCUUAAAUUUUGAUUGAAGUCCCUAGCAUUAAUGUGAUAAUGAAUUUACUUGUUUAUUAUAUAAUUUUUUAAUAUAAAAAUUAGUAAUUAAUUUAGGGUUUAAUACUCACACCUCUAUUAAAUUUCUAAUUAAUUUUCAAUUCAAACAUUUCUAAAAUAAUAAAAAAUUAAAUUAAAUUAAGUUUGUACCUAUUAGUUUUUUUUUAUAUAUAAAAAGAUUCUCAAUUUUUUAAUCUUAAAUGUACCCAUUCAUAUAAUUUUUCAAUUUUUUUAAUCUUAAAUGUACCCAUUCUCAAAUAUAUCAAUUUGUUAUAUGUAAAAUGUACCAUUUUUUUAAUAUAAAAUCCAUUCAAAUUUUUUAAUCCAUGUUUAAACUUUAUGAAUACAUUCUUUUUCGUUGAUUUGAGAAUGUAUCCAUGUUUUGGUACAAUAACUUUUUUUGUUAAUUUUGGUUAAUGUACCCAUACAUAUAUGUAUAUAUACACACACACAAUAUAAUAGAGAGUAUAAUUUAUAUUUAUUAUUUUUAAUCCCAUAAAUGAUGGGUUUUAAUUAAAAUCUCAUUAAUAUAAACAAUUACAAAUUUCAAUUUUUAAUUUUUAAUUAAAAAAAUAUAGUAACUUACAUUAUUACAUUAAUGUCAGGACCUCAAUAAAAAACUAAAAACUAACAAGGUUUCAAUCAAAGAAUAUUGAUAGCUAAGGACCGUAUCCAAAGUGUCCCUAAAAGGAAUUACAUCCGUUCUAACCAAUGUGACUACAAACACAUCUAUUUGUCUAGCUUAACUUUAAGCUAAAGAAAUAUACAAGUCCUACUGUUGAAACUCAAGUUUUUUUAUGUGUUACGAACAAAGUGGAGAGUCAUUGUAUCAUACAACAAUGUAUAAUAUAUGUGGGACCAUGAUUUUUCAAGGGUCGGAGUAAGGUGGAUCGGAAUACGCCUACCUCAGAAGUCCAACCAUGAACUCAAUAGUCUCCAUUGCGGAGUUGACUAAAUGGAUCAAUGAUGCCACCAUCAUUCUAUUCGAAAUCAGUGGGUGAAGUUCGUCGACUUCGCUGAGAUAGACCAUGCUUGUUGUGCAAGAUUUGGGAACAUAAUCGAGCAACGAAUCAGCAUGUUUCUUAUAAUCUUGGAGUCCUUACAAUCUAAAGAUUGCGUGCGCCACAGGUAAUCACACUCAUAAGAGGUACAACAUCUACUUACUAGAUAUUCUCUAUGAUUCUCCCAAUUUAAUAAGGAUUCUACCAAUUUAAUAAGUUCUACUAUCCUAAAUGGUCAUCUCCUCGACUGGUAUAAAUACACCCUUAUAGGGUUCACCUCUGGUAAUACAAUCUCUGCAUACUUAUACUCUUGUCCACUGCUUGAGUCUCAAUAUUGCUUACUAACUUAACCAUUGGUCGAAGAGCCUUUGACCGGCACACCCUCGGUCUUUCGCUUGCUCACGGUUGUAUGUUCUUUUACAGGUUAAUGAGUUUGGGCAUCUCCACCACUCAUGGUGGCGCACAAAUUUGGUUCAACAAUAGUGUCUUUCUGGAUCAUGUUUACCGAUUAAAUUUACUAAAUUUCUUAAACGUAUAUUUGACCGUGAAAUUCAAUAAUGUUAGUAAAGGAUUAAAAAAUGCAUGUUUUGUGACACAAACAACACUGGUACACUAGUACAUGAGUUACCCUUACGAAUAUAACAUUGAGAUUACUAAUUAAACUUGUUUUUGUUGAUGUGUGAUUAAGCUUAAGCUUUGCCCAAGCUAACAUACACCAACAAUUUGUGCAAAUAUCUUCACAUAUAUAUUCAAGUGAAUAGUACACUCCCAAGAGUGAUUGUAUCAGUUCCCUCACCCAUGACUGUUGUCAUUGCCAUUUCUUUCUCUUGAAUUCUUUCUAGCUCCGCCACAACCAUCUCCAUCUUCGGCCGCCUUUUUGCCGGAAAACUCAUGCAUUGCAGUGUCAGCCUGAUCAAGUCCCUCAUUCCCUCCGCGGUGAAGCUUCCAGCUAGCCUGCGGUCCACUAGGUUAUUCGAACUCAGCCGCGAUUCCACCUUCACAAAGUUCAAAAUGUGAUUCAGAAGACAAACAGUAGCCUUUAACUAGCAUAUGUAUAGAGACAUUGCAAAAUUAUGUGACUGCGUCUCUUAGAGAGCGGAGAUUCACUCACACAUGUGAGUCUACGUUUAAAAGGGAUGUGAUCAACAAUGUAGUUGAUAAAUAGGGUGCAAAUAGUUUUAUUUUAUCGAUGAUUAGAGUGGUUGCUUGUUCAUACCCAUUGAAAUAAGCUUUCAUUUGAUCCCAAUGAGCCAAUGUGCACGGCCUCCUGUCCAGUUAGAAGCUCCAAAGCGAAAACCCCGAAGCUGUACACAUCACUCAUUUCAGAGGUAACCCCGGAUGCUCCAGCCCUAUCACAUGCAUUGUUAGCUUCUGAAUAUGAAUGAAAGCGCCAAAACGAAAACCGAGUUCAAUCAGAAGACAUCGAAUUACUCUGGAUCUUCGAAAAAAUUGACACUAGACGUGCUAGAAGGACCUGCUUCUUCUAUCUUCUCUAGCAGUUUUGAGAUUCCUGCAUCUGCAACCUUAGCAAUGAAGUUCUCAUCAACCAACACAUUGGCUGUUUUGAAGUUUUUAUGUACUAUGGGAGGCUUUAGGCCAUGCAAGUGGGAUAAACCUGCAAAUUAGAUACUUAAAAACUUCAACCAUGGUUCUUAAUUUCUUCGUUUCUUAUGGAGUUCCCAUUUGAUCUUACCUCUCGCGGCGCCUAGAGCUAUUGAUAGCCUUUGCUUAAACUCAAGUUUAGUUGAUGGCUCUGGUCUAGUAUCUGCCACAAAUUGAAUAGCAUCUGAAAAAUGCUUAUAAAACCAGUACUAUGCACGCUCACGCGCACACAUAUGAUCAGUGAAAUUAGGUAAAAAUAAUUACCAUAUAGGUGACUAGAGAUGCUGCCAUUUGGUAAAUACUCAUAAACCAGUACUUGAUAUCCACUUUCCUGGCAGUAACCUAGAAUUGUAACUAAAUGUCGAUGACGAAUCUCCGACAAAUAUGUCACCUGUUGCAACAUAAUAACCUGUCACUUCCUCAUGAAAUUCUAUAAGAUUAAGCUCAUAAAUAGUUUUUCGCUUAUGAACCCCCGACACCACCUUCAUUUUCCGCUUAGCAAACGAUUCAUUAAGCAACUAUAUGUAUACGAGAUGCAUUAUGUAAUGCUCAUAAACAUAGAGCAAUAGACUUCUUAUUUUUUUCAUGAUCGGUUACCUCUGAGACAAAAUCGUGUCUAGGAGCACCAGGCCGCCUUUUGAUAGCCACAACAGUCCCAUCACGCAGCAAUCCUUUAUAAACCAGGCCAAAGCUUCCAUAUCCCAGCAGAUUGCUUUCAUCAAAAUGCUUGGUUGCCUGGUCUAACUCCUCCAAUGUGAAGACCCUCGGCCCCUGUCGUGCCCCCGAGCUGGGCCCACCCCUGUUCCAUUCCACUGACAAUGUUGGGGCGCAAGGUAUCAGAGUUGUUAACAACACUACAGCCAUCAAUUGACCAAUGUAGCAUAAUUUUCUUUCGAAAAAUGCAAUAUUCAGAACUACUCUAAUCAACGGGAGGGGGGAUUCAAAUUUGGGUGCAAAGAGGCCAACACGCUGCCCUGCUAACUAACAUACAUUACAGUUCAUGUAAAAAUAGAAAACAAGAGGAGUUUUACCUAAUGCAGAUGGAUCUGAGGAGCCUGUUUCAGAGGUCCUGUUCGAAAAACUCUUGCAAUGAGCCCUGCAGAACCACACAAAUGCGAUGACGAUUGCGAGCAAGGCAAGUGCCCCAGCAGCACCUCCAACAACAGCAGCAGAUGGCUUUGGCAUUUCAGCAAGUUGGAAUCAAGCAACCAGCCAUAGAUGUGGCAAUACAAUAACUUAUAGGACUUGCAUAUUAUACUUUUACAGCCUUUGGCACCAGAAAAAUGGAAAUUUGAAUAUAUAUUGCUGUUGGUGGGGUUUUACUGCAGACGAAGAGCUGAGAAAUGCUAACUGGCUGAUCUCAAGAAUCUACUUAGAAAACAAGAACUUUGGGAAGAAUCAAUGCUGCUAAAAUCUAAACAAACAGAUCAGAAAGACAACUCAUUUGCUUCUUUUUUUUUUUUUUUAAAGUUGUGCCCCACUUUGUUUCAGCAUCUCAUCACAAUGACGUUGGAGAAAACCCAUCACUGAAGAACAUCUUGGUCCUUUCAAAACCCCCCUCCCAUCCCCCACCCCAACUUUUCUCUAUUUAAGUUGGGGUAGUGUUUUUUACGCUCUCGUUUUCAUCUUCUACAUUUCUCCUUUUGUUUUAUACGACGGUGAGAGAAUGAAAGUGCGGAAAUCACUUUGCUUAAAUGUGAUGAGGUAAAGGGGUGAUUUAUGAGACCAAGUAGGAAAAAAAAAACAUAAAGCAGAAAUUAUUAUUACCCUUCUCUUACUGAUGUUACACUUGAUGUUGGCUUAUAUUUGGCAUUGCUGAUUACAACAGAACAAAAAUUAUUGGGUGCUCCAAAUUACCUGGUACUAUGGAUUUAUUAUCUAGUAAAUUCUAAUUUUUUUCUAAAACCAAAGAUCUAACGGUUAAAAUACGCAGAGUAUCCAGUCACUGUAAAUUUCAAAAGUAAUGAAAAGUUAGAAAAAUGAUGCAUGGCAAAGACUUUUGUCAAGUAAAAGAGGCGACAACCUAUGAACACUUUAUGCAGAUAUCAGUGAAUGUAAAGGGAAAUGACUGAGCUUAAAAUCCAACAAAAAAACAGGAAGUAAAAAAAAAAAUUGAAAAAUCUUUAUGGGGAUAGUUGCUGGUUGUUACCAACUGUAAAAUACUUUCGAUUUUUACUAUGAAAAUGUGGACGUGUGUGAGAGUGGCUUUAAAUUGUUGGACAGUGGAAGACAUAACAAUUAAUUGAAGGGGAUCAAAUUCAAGAAUUUUGUAACAUGCUCCCGAGUAUCCUAUACAUUUAACUAUUAGCCGUCAAAUAGUAGGUAUCACAUUCUUAACCAAGAAUCUAACGACCAAAAAUCUCAACCUAUAAGUAUCCGGAGCAUACUAGAAUUUUUUCAAAUUCAAUAGAAAGAAAACAAAGUAGUUAUAUCGAUCAAUCACUCACUUCCUUGAAUUCACUCCCAUGAUCUUCCUUUUUGCCUCUUUUUCUGUCAUCUGAUCUGGAAAGAGAGGGAGGGCAGUUCCUGCAUUUGUAUAAAGAGGAAGACCUCUCUCUUCCUCCAGAUGGGGUCAUUUGACAGCUGAUCCAACAGCACAUUAUAUAUCUCACUGCAAGUUCUGCAGCAGGAAAAACAAAAUAUGAUAUCAAGUUUCCACAGUAUAUAUGUCCUUAGUAUUUUAUUGCUACACAAAAACACACACACACAUAUAUAUAUAUAUAUAUAAUGAAUAUAUAUACAUAUAUAUCCUAUAAUUUCUGCUUUGGAAAAAGGGAAUGGGGUAGUCUUAAAAUUUCUUACCCUUGCCUGCUUUUGUGAAUAUUUAUAUUUCGAGCAAUUUGGUUGAACUGUACGAAUUGUUGGUGGGGAAGGCCACUGAGCUGUAAGUCUCUUUCCAUUUUAUUAAUUCAGUUUGUUUGUUUUUCUGAAACUUUUGUUUGUGUUGUUGGUUUGGCUGGAAAGGGAGGGGAGGGAUUGGAAAGAGGGUUGUCAUGUUGUGCAGCUCUACAAGAGGUCCAUAUCACAGUCUAAUAAUAAGGGUUUUGUAGGGAAGGCUGGAUUUUCUCAAAUUUGGCUUCUUGUUUGGAUCUGGUGUCUGAGACUCUAAUCACUGAAAAAUCUUCAAGUACAUUUCGGGGUAUUCUAUACUUGAAGUUUUCAAUUGUUGGAUCUUAAGUUAAAGAUAUAAUAAUUAAGAUUUAACCGUUAAAAGCUCUGAAAUAUAGAAUACUCCAAAGCAUCAUAGAAAUUUUCACAUUGUUUUCUUUAGUAACUUCAUGUGCUUUAACUCCUAUAUUUCUAGGUAAUUCGUUGUGAGUUUAGAAAUUUUUACUUCCGUGGCAAGAUGUCGCAAACUAUUUUGGCUUGUCUUUUUAAACAUUUUGUCAAAUAUCUUGCUCUCAUAACUUACAUGCUUAAGAAAAACAUCAAAUGAACAUUGGAUAAUAAUUUCGUGUGUAGCAACAGUAGGGUGGGAGGAUUGCAUGCGCAUACCCUAAACCCUAAGUGGAUCCAUCAUAGUAAUAAGUAUCUACGAACUUAAAAAAGAAGGUAAUCACAUUGUUACACACGGGUUUACGAACCUAUUGUGUAUUUUUCUCUCGUCACGUGACUUGUACACCAAAGUUUUACUCCUUGGCCUGUUGCUUAAACUGCUGCUAGGUAUUGGGUCAAGGGUAGUCAAAGUGGUACCAUAAAAGCCAGAUCAUAUAUGCCAUGUAUGCUUGGGAGGACUGAAAUCAAGAAAAUGUGUGUGUGGGCAGGGUGGGGCGGGGGGACCAUCCAUUUUGGUAGGGAGGAAUAACCUUGCAGUCCUGCACUUGAUUCAUGACCAGUGAAAACUGACUGCUGAUGGAGGACUGUGAGCAAAGAAUCUAUUGCACAUUUUGAGCCUUCUUUCUUCUUCUUUCCUUUUCUCAUAAAUCAAUAUAUAUGCAUCAUAUCUUGAAAAGCAUCUGACAUGUUAUGUUACUAUAUGGAAAAUUAAAAGUGAUCUCCGUAUGAACUUAUUAUCCUGUUACAUUAUGCAAAGAUUUCAGUACUGACUUGAAAAAUUACAAUAAAAUAUUUAAUAAUAAAAUAUAUAAGAUACUACUUUGUAUCAAAAAGAGAAGAACUUGCAUGGAAUAAUGGAAAUAAAAAGAUUAUGAUUGAAUCGGAAUAUGUACUUCUAGUAGUUGAUUUUACAUGCACAAGUAAUACUAAAUUGUCGUGCCCUUAGUUCUCAUAAAAUUUUAUAAAAUAAAAAAUAAAAAAAUCUCGUGCCCUUAUGCAUUAAAGUUGGUUUUGUGAAAUUUGUCAUGUUUAUCGUGAAAUUUUUUUUGUUGCUGAUGAUUUGACUUGUUUUGAUUUGUCAUGUAGUUUGAGUCCAGUCUUUCUUAAGCAAGCUACUCAUUAUUGUCGACGGCUGUUAAUUGCGAGUAUAGUUGAGUCUCGUGAUAUUCUUAUAUAAUACUUCUUUUUCUUUCAAACUUAUGCCCCGUUACAAAGAAGAACUUGUUUAGGGGCAUUCAGAGUCCAACGUGUCAUGCCUAGCAAAGCUCUCCUAACAAUAUGGGAUCUAUGUUCUCAUAUAUUUUGGUUUGAUCUGAUUCACAUUAGUUUCGCUUGGUGUGAAAAUUGUUCUGCACAUCUUUAAAGUUGACACGAUGCAACUUUGACAAACCCCACUUGGUACGUUUAAUAUCCAAUUGUUACAUUACUCGAUUAGACUUUGCUUUUUCCCAUGUGAAACUACACACAGCAAACAACAACAACAAUUCUUCGGCCCCGCAAGGGUUUGUGAGUCCGCAAUCACAAUGUCAAUGUGAACCAGCCACGGUCUCGAUGUGGAGUUUUUGGAGAAAGAAAUGUCGUUUCAAUUUUAUCUCUAAUUGGACAAGAAAUACAUAAUUUUAUCCGAUUAUUUUCAGCAUGUUUCACAAGUUAUGUAUAAGAGUUUGAAUCUGGCCCAAAAAUAGGAUAGGGGUCAAGACGCAGUCGGGCGCUCGCAGCUAACUCAAAUGUCGUUCAACCGUGUAAAAUGGUUACUUAGAGAUUAUGGGUAUACCUUGAUGCUGGUGGUGCGAGUAAUCAAGUUUCUCCUAACCACACAUGAAUAAUCAUGAGUAAUCAUUUCAUGAUGAAUUCAAAACUCACCACACGAGUAAUCAUUUCAUGAUUAAUUCAUAAAUUAUUGGGAUGAGUUAGAUUUUACUGCACUCAUUAUGUCGUUUUAUCAACAUUGGAUGAAGCCCACAUACUAUAUUUGUGUAAAUAUAAAAAUUUAAAAAUAAGAAAAAUAUGAAAGAGAAAGAAAUUGGAGAGAAAUGUGAGGGAGAGGGGAAAGUAGAAGGGGACAAUUUUACUUCCAGGGAAAUUUUAUUUAAAUCUAUUUAAUCUCUUUUUACACUUAAUUUAAAUUUUAAAUAUUAAUUAUCUAUUUUACCCUAUUACAUAAUUAAAUACAAAAUGAAAUUAAUAAUAAAAAUCAAAUUUAUCAAUAGAUCCACAUACUAUAACUAAACUCUAGCAUCACUUUUUGUUUAUCCUACGUUCAUUCCGACUAAAACCCUAAUAGCUCUGAUAGAGAAAAACAAGCUUUCUAUUGAUGGAUGAUGAUUUUGAAGUUUUUAAUCCUCCAACUAAGGUAUGACUCGAUUUAUGGAUAUUUUGUUUGUUUGCCUUUUUUUGGAUUAAAUUUCAUACUUUUUAUAUUAUAUUGUAUUUGUUUCUCUAUGUUGUCUGUAUACGCCCCAGAACACCAGUGCAAUGACUUUUGAUUAUUACUGCAAAGACAUAAAACUUAAUUCUUGGUGCAAAUAAAGAUUGCUCAACCUUAACCACGAACUAGCAAGUGGCAUGUCUUGCACCUUUUUUAUUCGAAAUAGCUCCAAUUUGUUUAUUAACAUAGUAGCAAAACACACAGCCCUAUGUCAUUUCAAAGUUUCUUAAAAAGUACACGAAAAUGCUCGAUUUAAAAAUUAUUGAACUGGAGCUUGCAUAACAUUCUCUUGGCAAAUUCAAGUCUAUGGAAAGAUCUCUUGGAUCCCAAGUCCAUGGAUGGGUUGUGGUAGCAGAAAUAAAAAAAACAGCCAUGGAAAUGCUAGUCCUAUACGGUAGAUGCAAUUAUAGGGGGGCAAAUGACGCCUCUUUGAAAGAAAAAAACAUUCAAUUAGAUAUGUUAUUUUAUAAAGAAAAUGUGUGUAAAGAUAAUUUUAUAUUUUGAAUUGGAUUUGAGAGGGUAAUUUAGGUAAUACAUUUGGGUUUAAAAAGAUAUUAAUUCUUUAAUAAAAAAUAAUAUGGGUGAAAAGAGUAAGUUGAAUGUAGAAAGAUGUUAGACAGGUUUAAAUAAAAUUUCCCUUACUUUUAUUUUUAUUUUGAAAUUAGAGAUUUUUAUGAUGGGUGGGGUGGGAGAAAAUAAAAAAUAAUUUUUGUACGAAAUUACUUUAAUAUUUAUAAUUUUUUUAUUAGAUUUUUUUUAAUUAUGCAUGCAAUGGUACAAUAGUAUUUUCUUUAAUUUUUUUAUUAAAAAAAGUGUUCUAUUAAUUUUUUUGACAAACGCAUUUGUCGUUAAGAACUCGUUUAGAAGUACUUUUAAAAUAACUAAAAUUUUUUUAGAGAACUUUUUGAGUUCCAAAAGCACUUCAAGUGCUUUUUGCAAGAAGUACUUGAAGUGUUUUUUUGGAAGAAGCACCUGUGCUUCAUCCAGAAAAUACUUUAAGUGUUUUUUUUCAGAAUUUGCUUGUAUUUUUACUAAGGAUUGAUUCUAAAAAUAUUUUAAUCAAAUAUGUUUUUAGUUAUUUUAAAAGUACAUCCAAACGAACUCUAAAUUGUUAAUCAGUCGAUAACGGGCUUGAAUUAAUCCUACUAUGCAUUUAUAAUCAUACAUAAUUUCAAUAUGAAUUUAUUCUAAUUUAUAAAUAAUAAAUAUUGAUAAUACAUGAUUUGGACAAAACUUUUGCCAAAAAGUGACCCCUCUAAUCAAAUUAAUUCAUCACAAAAAAAAAAAAAAGUUAAAAAAACAAAAAGAAACCCAAAGGCUCCUGCUCUAUAUCGCCACUUCCCCGGGUAGAUCGGAGCUCAAAGCUCAAAGCUAAGAUUUUUAUAUAUGCCCGUGGCAGCUAGGGCUUUGUUCAGCGACUCUAACCGUGCGCGGGCUCCGGCUUGGUCCUAGUUCAGCAAUGUACAGUGGGUCCAGCGACGGCGAAGGCCAUGAGGCCGCGCAGAGGAAGAUCCCUCCCGCCUCCUCCAUGCUCUGGGUCCGCAAUCUCCGCCGCUUCAUCGGAUCCGGCGCCGGACUCGGAUCCGAAGCCCUCAUGGGUAUUUCCAUGCUAAUCCUUCCAAGUGUCGAAUUUUAAAUUUUGGAAUUAGGGUUUAGAUUAAAACCAUGUGUUACACAUUUGGGAUUUUGGGUGCAGUCAGUAAUUCUAUGUUUUCCCUCUUUGUUUUAGGAAUCAUCAACUGUUAUUAAGCUGUUUGCGUAGUGAUUAGAACUUCCUUAAGAACUAAUGAAUCAAGUGAUAGCGAGAUAAGCUCGUCGAAACAGAACAAAUAUGAAGGAAAAGCUCUCUUAAAGUUUCAAUUUUUUUGAAGUUUGAGGGCUUGUGUCAGUCUAUCGCAUUUGUACGAAUGGUUGUAUUUAGGUAUGCAUUAUACAUUCAACUGAGCCCAUGAGUCAUGGGUGCCAGCAAAUUUCGAAGAGUUCGGCUUGGUUUUCUCUCAUUGGUCUGUAAUAUGAAAGUGUGAGGCACCUGUUCAUUGAGUACUUUAGCCCCUUCCCCAAGUUUUUAGUAGAUAAUGGGUCGCUGUAAUUUGCUUUUAUGAGCACAUCUAUGAGUGUGCACGCUCGAGAUAGAAACCAAGUUUUUAGUUCCUACCUUGCCAGUUGCUAUUUAAAUUGCUGAGACAUGCAGUGAUGAAACUGAGGUGGAUUUAGUUCAUACAUAUCUGUCUCCAUGCCGAUAUUCUCUGCCUGAGAUUUAAUCAAGUGUUUUGUAUUAUUUUAUUCUGUGUAGAGCUUGAAACAAAAAGAAUCUUGCUUGAUAUUUUCAAAGAGAAGCAACAAAAAAGUGCUGAAGCUGGCACAAUCCCAAGUUUCUACAAGAAGGCAUGUAGUAGGGUUUUUGUUGUAUUUCAAUGAUUCUGUUCGUGGUUGGGAAUCUGAGGAGGAAGGCACUAAUUUAUGAUGGAAAAUUCGUAAUCUUUAAUACAUUUUUGUUUUGACCCUUCUGGUGUGCUCUUUCCUUGGUCCUUUUUGACUUUGCGCUGUCUUUCCAUUUUUACAGAAACCUGAAGAAGGAUCUAUUAGUCAGAGGGUCCAGAGGCUGGCAAAAUAUCGUUUUUUAAAGGUAAUCAUCUGGAUUUUCAUUCCUGAUGAUUAUUGUUUUAUUAUGUUACCUAAGCAUCUGACUUUAUUGGUGGCAUUUACCUUUGUUUUUGCAGAAGCAAUCAGAUCUUUUGCUAAAUGCGGAUGAUCUAGAUGCUAUGUGGGUUUGCUUAAGGGAAAAUUGUGUGAUUGAUGAUGCAACUGGUGCAGAAAAGGUCUGUGGUAACUGAAACAUUUUAAUCUGCUUUAAACCUUUGCCAUAUGUUAUAAAUAUCUCUUAUGGGUUUCACACUAACAUUUUGAUGUUGUAUCAAAAUCUUUGAAGAAUAGUAUUACGGCAUCUCAUCUACUUCCAUUACAUUAUUAUCUGCACUUCAAUUUAUAGCUUUGAAUAAUUAUAAAUUUUUUAUUGCGUAGUUAGGUAUCUAACUAAUGCUAAUAAGUUCCCUGAUUUAUCAUCGUGUAGAUGAACUAUGAAGACUUUUGCCACAUUGCCUCUGUAUGUACGGAGCAGAUAGGGCCUAAAUGUCGUCGCUUUUUCAGCCCUUCAAAUUUCAUGAAAUUUGAGAAAGAUGAACAAGGAAGAAUUGCCAUUCUGCCCUUUUACCUUUAUGUGAUGAGAACGGUGGGUAUAAUUGAUAAUUAAUUCCACCAGGCUUUUUCUUGCAUCCUUUUGAAGAAUUGAAAUUAUGCAUUAUAUGACUACUGAAUUGCAAAAGUCUGGAAUGCUACUUACGAAUUGUUGCCUCCAGGUUUCACUUACUCAAGCUAGAAUUGACAUGAGCGAACUUGACGAGGAUUCUGAUGGUUUUCUUCAGCCUCAUGUAUGAACUUGUUGCAAAUUUUCAGCAUCUAAGUGUUAUAUAACUUAUAUUUGAAUUUUGAGACGUGUACUUUAGCUACCUCAUUUUUCUGUAUGAUAUUUGAUAAAUCAAUGAUGCAUUAUCUUUUGCCAUCUUUUCUUAUAAUUGUAAUGAUUUUGUUCUUUCUUCAGGAAAUGGAGGCCUAUAUACGAGGCCUUAUACCUAAUCUAGCGCAAUUACGGGACAUGCCUUCAGGCUUUGUUAAUAUGUAUUGCCGCAUAGCUGCACAGAAGUUCUUCUUCUUUUGUGACCCUCAUAGACGAGGUAUGCCAAAGUUGCAAAAUAUAAAAUGCAAGCCUCUCCACUCAUUGCCAAUUGGUUUUGGGUUGGAUGCUUUAACUUUAGAAAAAACCAGAUUUAAAUUCUUUAUUUAAUUGUUGAAAAAAAUUAAAUUAAAUUUGUUCACACAGGAAAAGCCUGCAUAAAGAAGGUGUUAUUGAGUAAUUGUCUCCAGGAACUAAUGGAACUGCACCAGGUAGGCUGUGAAAGAAUUUGUGAAAAACUUGCUAUGUUAUAAAUUGCUCAUCUUUAUUAGGUGUAUAUUCUGCAGAGUAAUUAAUUAUGUCAAUAAAACAUCCAGUAAAUUCUGAUCUUCUGCUAACUGUAUGUCCUGAACUUUAUUAUUAGGAAACUGAGGAAGAAGUCACUGACAAUGAGCAAGCUGAAAACUGGUUCUCCUUGACAUCCGCCCAGCGCAUAUGCGGUGGGUACUUUUCACAUCUAUACUUUCAUUCCAUGUCUCCGGGUUCCCUUGUCAUUCCUUUUUUGCUAUGGGCUGUCUUCUACAUGUGGCAUGUUUGUGCUGCUGUUAAACUGUAUUAUGAGUUCAAUUGUAUUAUGAGGCUUCCAUUCUAGAGUGAGGUGAUUAUCUGCAGUCUUGGCUUUGGCUUGAUUGCCAUUACCUUGUCUUGAUUUCGCUUCAUAUUCUUGAGUCUCGAAGUCAAUUAAGUCCUAGGAUUAGUAUGUAAUCUGUACUCUCAAUCUCAAGAUAAAUGCAAUUAUUAUAUUUGAAAACUUUAACUCUACUGUAAUUCUGUUGGUGAUUGCAACCACGUGCUUUCUGUAGACAUGUUCAUUGCUCUUGAUAAAGAUUCGAGUGGAUCAUUGAGCAAGCAGGAACUUCGAGAAUAUGCAGAUGGGACAUUGACUGAAAUUAUCAUUGAAAGAGGUAUGCCUAGAAAAUUUGAAUCCAUUGUUUGUACUGUGUACAUUCAUUUACUUAAAAAUGCUAAGAAAUCAGUAUGGAAUUCUAUUUCUGAGGAUGCCCCCAUCUGAUAUGUUAUCAUACAUUUUGUAUUUACCUUUUUAGACUCGUUUAUUCAUGCUUUGCAUUUGAUAUGCCCUCAACAGUGUUUGACGAGCAUGUACGGCGUGGAAAAAGUGGCGGAAGUUCUAGGGAAAUGGACUUCGAUAGUUUUCUGGACUUUGUCCUGGCCUUAGAAAACAAAGACACUCCAGAGGGGUUAACAUAUUUAUUUCGAUGUCUUGAUCUUCAGGGAAGGGGUUACCUUACAACAGCUGAUAUACACUCUCUUUUCAGGUAAAUAUCCUUCUGUUUAUGACUUGUUUGUGGGAGACUUAUCAGAAACCCAAAAGAAAAGGAAAACUUUAUUUGGUGGUAGAACUUACUGUUGUCAAAUUUUGUUCUGUUCUUUGCUUGGCUGCUCGUGCAAAACGUGAGUAUUGCUUUUUCGCAAUGUUCUGUAACACCAAACAGAGCCAAAUAUGGAAGUAAAGAAGAGGAGCAUCCGAAAGCUGGGAUGUUACCUGAUACAAACUUCCUACAAAAAAACCUCUCUAGUAUUUUCCUGCUUGCAGUACUUGAGCAAUAUAUCUGCAAGUCUCAGAUUAUCAGAGACAUGAACAUCACUAAUGAACUCAACGAACUAUAAGAUUUCAGUGUCCUUUGCUUCAGCACUGAUUCCUUACUAUGUUUUGUCAGUCAAAAUAUCUUAUUUUGUGGUUUUAUGAAACAGGGAUGUACAUCAGAAAUGGAUUGAGGGCGGAAACUAUGAACUGUGUAUUGAGGAUGUAAGGGACGAAAUAUGGGACAUGGUUAAACCAGCCGAUCCACUGCGGAUUACCUUGGCUGAUUUACUAGCUUGCAAACAAGGCGGCACUGUUGCGAGCAUGCUCAUUGAUGUGCGCGGUUUCUGGGCGCAUGACAAUAGAGAAAAUCUGCUCCAAGAAGAAGAGGAACCAGAAGAAGAAUCGUAAAUACACUCCGCGGACUCAAAAGUUUGCCCCCGGCUUUACUAACAAAUUUAGAGGUUUUUUCGUUCUUUUGUUUUUUUUUCUUGUUUUCGAGCUUUGUGUGUAACGAAAUGAAUUGCUUUGAAUUGUGUAAGUCAAUGUGAGAUGUAAAAUAACAAGUAUAGCAAAUUGUUGAUUGGAAUGCUCAGACUAAAUGUGAGAUCAUAGACGCAAGUUCAAUAUAAAUUUUUCUGACUUUAAAGCCUGAGGGUACAUUCGGCGUUUCGUUGCUUGCCAUGGUGCAAGUUAUAAAAAUGUCAUGUUGCCUAGUGUCGAGAGAUGACCAAAUUGCCAAAAAUAGAGCGAGAUUUUUAUGUUCCCUUUUUUUUUUUAUUAUUGUUUUUCUUUAAAGAGGAGAACAAUUGGUAACAAGUCAUAGUUAUUCGUUAUUUUCGAGUCCGGAGAGGUUGUGAGGAAUUUCCAUAUUUUGUUGUUUAUCAGAGAGCCGUAGUUUUCACUCUUACCGCUGAGCUAUUUGUUGUGGUUCAAGAAUUUUAAUGUUGGGUUCUCAAUCAAGAUAAUCAUUAAAUAAUCACUAAAUAGACGAGAGUAACACUCAUGGAACACUCGUUUUGACAUGCAUGUAACAUUUUGGUUUAAUAACGCAAUAUAACAUAUAAAAACUUACUAAAAACAACAUUGUAUUAUUAUUAGAUCGAAAUGGAACAGUGGGUUCCAUCGAGCAAGUCGUUCUCACAAUUUGGCACGGUGCUUGUUGAGAGCGGGUUUAGCUUCCGUUCAGAGACACUGACGCCUAUUGGUCCAUAAAUCAGCAUCGGAAGCAAAAUCUUUCAAAUUUCACCCACUUUCGCUCCCAGAAAUGGAGGUCCCCAAGGAUCAAAUCGCCACUCUCAUGGAGCACGGCCUCUACAACUCAGCUCAGAUGCUCGUAAUCUCUCUCCUCCCUCCUCCACCUCCUCCUACAAUUUCAAAUUUUGUCUGCAGUUUCUUAACUUUCCGCCGACUGAAAUGUUGUUUAUGUGUGGGAUUAGGGUUGUUUUCUUGUUUCCUCACCGGCCGCCAGUGCCGAAAUCAAUCCGCACCUUAAAGCUGAAAGCUUGGUCAGAAUCUUCAACUCCAUGAGUUCACUUACUCUCUCUCUCUCUCUCUCUCUUUUAAUUUCUUGUUAAUUAAAUUGUUAAUUUUUGCUUGCAGGUGCUUCUUGGCGAUUCGUUGUAUCGCGAAAGAGAGUUUCGCAGAGCAAUUGUAAGAAAAAUCACACAUUUUCCAGUAAUUUCGUAUUGUAAUGUACAAAGUAGUGAUCUUGCACAAAUGUAGUGGACUUAACACUCUUAGUGAUUGCAACAAAAUUGGAAGGAAUGUGUAAUUUUUUACUGAGUGAGCUUAACCUUAGGUGAAAAUGCCCAUUCGAUACUUUCUUGUGUUAAAAAUCGUAUCUACCUACUUCGGAUUUCUUUACUGUAUGAUUAUUAUGCUGUCAUGUUAUUGAUUUUCGCAUGCUUCUUUAUAUUUGUUUUCUUUUUCGUUGACAGCAUACGUACAAGCAAGCAUUGCAGCUUUGCAAGAUGAUUUCCAAGACAAAUGCACCAGCUACUAGAAGCUCGUUGUCAUCAACUAGGUCGUCUUCUCCAAAUUUGUUUAACAUUUCAGGAAUUAAUGAGAAUGAGGUAGGCCGCUUACAUUUUUCAAAUACUUAUUUCUGUUUCAGCUUAUACCAAAGCAUAAUAGUGGUUCUUUUUUGUUUGGUGCUAUUCUACACGACAGGUGAAGUUCAAAAUCGCAUCCAGUUACUUUGCGCUCGGUGAGAAUGGAACAGCCCUUUCUGAGGUACAGACAUCCAUGCCCUAAUGUUUAUGGGCUGGGAAAAAUUUCAUAUUAUCUGCGUUAAUAUUAGGGUAAUGCUAGGGAGACCAAAAUUUUAAACCAAAUUUGCAAACCAAAUGAUGUGUCACCAAUUACAAAUAAGCACGUUAAUCAACGCUUAAGUAAUAGUCCAAUCAUUAACAACCACAUCAUUUGGUUUAAAAAAUUUGGUCUCCCUAGCAUUAUUCUUAAUAUUAAGGUCUGAGUAUAAAGAUCCUGAUAAGUCUGUGUUAAUUUUGUUGGUUUUACUUGCUUCCUUAUCUUUCUUUUUAUCUUUUUUUCUAUCUAUUUCACCUGUAGCCCUAUAUAUAUUGUUAAGUUGUGAGCAUAGUUUCACUACAGCUGGGUACGUUGGGACUAAUUACUAUAUAAGCACAGGGCACCCUUUCUUUGCAAGCUGGUUUUGCAAGAAGAAAAUCUACCCAUGGGUUUCUCAUCAAUAUCAAUAUGCACUUAUAUUUCUUAUGUCACUUUUGGAAUAUUCUUACUGGGGUCUAAUGCACCUUUAAACUUUACAGAUGGACAACAUUCCAAGCAAAUCCAGAAACUUGCCAAUGAAUCUGUUGAUGGGAAAGCUUUAUCGGUUUUCUAAACAGAAUCGUUCUGCCGUUUCUUGUUUCAAAGAAUGUCUAAGGUUUGUCAAUCAAAUUGUGAUUCUCAUGUUUCAGUUUGUAAUUUUAUGUAUGCAGAUAUUUUGAGUCUUAUACUUCUUUGGUUAAUAAAAUUUUGUGAUCAUUAUGCUGCACUAAUAUUCUGAAUCUCAAGAAUUAGGAGUUCUUUGUUUCUCUGGAGUCAGCAAUAUCAUGUUCCGGUGGACAUUCAUUUUUAAGACUUGGAUACUGUAGUUGAAGUAAUUAAAGGGUGGGAAGGUUGGGGUCAAAGGUCAAAGGCUGUGAUCAAUUGCAAGAUUAUAGGUGUUUUGUUUUGCAGACCCUUUAGAUCCCUUGUUCUAUGCUUUCCUUUCCUGGUAGCUCCUGUAUUAUUAAAGAAGGUUGCACCAUAAAUUACUUUAGAAAAAAGUCGAUGACCAAGACAUUCAUAUGGAUAUAAAAGUCUUUGGAUUUCCUUCUUCUGCUCCCCUUAAGUUUAAUUGGGCCAUAUUGCAUCCAUCUCCACUUGUCUUUAUUCUCAUGGAGAUUAUUCUCUAUGAAUUCCUUUCCUGUUGCAGUGUGUUCAAACUUCAAAUGUGUUAAUGCUUUCUGGACUGCUAGCAAUCUUUACUUCGUCUAGUUAUAUUCAUGCUGCUUCAUUUUUGGCGCUUUUGACAGGCAUUGCCCUUAUGUCAUGGAGGCUAUUGUUGCUUUAGCAGAAUUAGGAGUCGCUGCCAAAGACAUUAUUUCCUUGAUUCCUCAGGUUUUUCCUGUACAGUUUUUUCAUAGUGAAGCUGUCUUUGUCUUAUGCUGUUUGUAGAAAAACAAAGUUAGAGUGGCCAUAUGAGACAUGGCUCAUGUGGCUAUUGUUAUCUGGUUACCUAUGGAGUGAAGCUUUAUAAUUAGAUGUCCAUCCCAAUGUUUCUUCAAUUUAGUUUCUUGACUCUCAAUUUCAGACUCCAAACAGAAGCGGGAGGGCUCCAUUUGAUCAUUUUGACUCAAGUCGUUGGCUGCAUGUAAGUAACAAUGGGGAAAGCAGAGGUCGUUUAUCAUUAGCUAUCAUUUGAUCUAUAUUUAUUUAUUUAUACUAUAUGUGUAUAUGGCUUCAUAUCCACAUUCAACCGUGACACUCAUCGUGACAAAUAUUGUAAGGUUGUUUGGACAGACUUAUAUGUCAAGAAGAGAGUAGUUACUAUAGCACCUAGUGAUGAAGAUUUUUGUUAGUCAGCCUAUGUAGUUGGUUUGUUAUGCAAUAGAAAGAAUACACGUGCAUUUUGCAAUUUAGCUUGCACAAUUUUGUUCUUUCACAACUGAGCAGUUCUAGGGAUAGGAUCUACAUAAUGGAAAGAGGAUUGAAAGGAGGUAAGCCCAAUUAUUCCAACAAAGUUGUUACAUUUGUUUUUCUCUGUGCAGCGCUACGUUGAGGCUCAGUGUUGCGUUGCUUUAAAUGAUUACAGAGGUAAUGGGAAUAUUUUCUUCGGUACUCUUUGGCCUCAUUUGAUAGAGAGGAUUGGCUUGGAUAGGACUAUUCACUAUAUUAAAGGGAUUUUAUGAGAAGAAAUGAAUGACAAAUUCCUUAUUUUGUCCAAGUUGAAGGUUACUCAUGAAGAAUAGUUGUUCCUUUGAAUCCUACCAUUUUUGUGGGGAUUAGUAGGAAUAUUUUUUCUUCAUGAGUAGCCUUCAACUUGGACAAAAUAAGGAAUUUGUCAUCCAUUUCUUCCUUUAAAAUGUCUUCAAUAUAGUGAAUAGUCCUACCCAAUCCAAUCCUCUCUAUCAACGAGGCCUUUGGGUUUUUAUCUUUAUGUGUGUUCGUGGAAACUUAAAAAGUAUUCUGUCAUGAUAAGGCUUGCUUCAUCGUCGACACUGCAUGCAUUAGAGGUCUUUUCUAUAUAUUGAUUUAGUACGUGGCCUAUAUGCAGUCACACUUUGUUUUGUAAAAUUUGUACAACUAAUAGAUGGUCAUCAUAUUGUUCUGUCAACAACUCAGUGAUUGUAUAAAAUUUCUGUGCAAAAGCCCAGUUUCUUUCAGGCAAAGAAGUAAAGAGGAACUUUGCAUAGAUAAAGAUGGGGAUUAUUAUGGUUAAAGUCUUGGUGGUAUAUAGAUUAGCUGUAUUACUUCUAGAAUCUAUUGGAUGAUGCCCUAUAAGGAAGUAGAAGGUUGUUAGAAAUAGAUAUUUGUGGCAGUUCUCAUUGAUUUUAUUUCAUAACUAUUCUCAAUCCUAGAUGUAGUUUCAUUAUGCUAUUAGUUUGAAAUUCUGCUUGCAUUGACAGUCUAUGUAUUUAACUUUGGCAUUGCAGGUGGUCUGGAACUCUUUACGGAUCUAUUACAACGUUUUCCUAAUAAUUUACACCUGUUACUUGAAGUUGCAAAGGUUAGAAAUAAUUGUUUGUCAGGUUAUUGCGCUUUUUUUGCUAUGAUAAUAAUGGUAUAAUGUUGUCUACCGAUUUUGCUUGAUAAUAAGCAAAUAUAUGCAUGCACUGAUUGCUGAAUGAAACUAUGCUUACGAUGGGAGGAGUAGGUUUCUGACCACUAAAUCUCAUCUAUAUGUACCACGAGUUUGUAGGUUGCUUGUUUGCUUCUUGUAAGUUUCUCAUUCCUACUAGAUCUUUGCAGUUGCUCUCUAUUAGGUAUGAUUUGACAAAGAAUGAAUGGCCCUAAUACCAACCACAAAAAUGCCCACCUCACUACUCAAAGAUAAAAGAUGAUUACAGUUUCAUCCUUCUAUAAAAUUAUCUAUGAAAAUCUUGCUGCUAAUUUUUGUCGUGUUAUGGGUAUAAGUUACUUACAAAAUUGCAAUUAACCAAGUAUGUGUUUUUAUUUUUCCCAAAUACAGUCUUUUGGCCUUAUUAAGAAUGAAAUACCACAAAUUUAUGCUGAAUGAAUGCAAAGAGCGCUUUCAUUCCGAUUACUUGGGUUAAAUUUCUAAUAACAGACUUAAAUGUUGACCUAUGAUGUUUCUAAAAGUUUUUGAUUUCUGCUUUUGUAUAUGUAAAAACUUGCUUGGGAAGGUUGAAGCUAUUAUUGGGAAAAACGAUGAGGCUAUAUUGAAUUUUGAAAAGGUAAUUUCUGGUCAUCAUGGUGAUGCAUGUGUUCAUCUCUCUCUCUCUCUCUCUCACACACACGCGCGCACACACACAGAGACCUGCACAUGCCGAUGAGCAUUCUUGUGCACAUGCCUUUAAAUGAAUGCUCGUCAUGCAAAUACAAAUUCACAUGUUGAUGCUUCUACUCUCUCUCUCUCUCUCACACACACACAACACACAGACGCACAUGCCCAUGAGCAUGCUUGCGCAUAUGCCCUUAAAUGAUUGCAUGUCAUGCAAUACAAACUCACAUCUUGAUGCUUCUAUUCUUUGCAGGCUCGAUCAAUUGAUCCAUAUGUUGUAACAUAUAUGGAUGAGUACGCAAUGCUUCUAAAGACAAAGUCUGAUUUUUCUAAGCUCAAUAAAUUAGUGCAUGAUUUGCUGAUUGCUGAUUCUACAAGGCCAGAAGUAUUUGUGGCCUUAUCUGUUCUUUGGGAAAGGAAAGAUGAGAGAGGAUCUUUAUCCUAUGUUGAGAAGGUCUGUUCGUCAAAAUUGAGUAAGUUUGCUGUUUUUUAAUUAAUUAAUUAUUUUAUAUCUCAUAAGUUCCUUAUUUUUUGCAUCAGAGUAUACGAAUCGAUGAGAGGCACAUACCAGGUUAUAUAAUGAAGGUACCGAUGUGAUCUUUGUAUUUAAUAAGCUGCAGCAUCUAUGCUAAAAAAUAUCUUAUCUUUCUUCUUACCCUGUUCUCAAUGAGGAAAAUAUGAAGUGUUCCAAGCUUUCAGGGUAACCUGUUGUUAUCAAUGAAGCGAGCAGAAGCAGCUGUAGUUGCCUUCAGGGCAGCUCAAGAGUUGAGACCUGAUAUUCGUUCAUAUCAAGGUGGGACAUGUAAAGGAAAAUACUCAUGUGCAUGACAUGCAUCUUAUGUCCUCAUUGACUUAUUCAUGUUUGAUUCAACAAUUUUGCAAAAGAGAGAAAUAUGAAGUAAUUGCAGAAGCUUAAUGAUUGGGAGCUCGAUUAUGAUUUCAGGUUUGGUUCAUUCAUAUUUAGCUCUCUCUAAAAUCAAAGAGGCUUUAUAUGCUUCCAGGGAGGCUAUGAAGGCUAUGCCUCAAUCUGCGAAGGCUCUAAAAUUAGUAGGGGAUGUACAUGCGAGUAACCCCGGUGGUAGGGAGAAGGUAAACCCACAACAUAUUAUUUCAGCAUGAUUUCAGAAGUCAAGUUGAUGUACUUAUGAAUUCAACCUAAUCUUGAAACAGGCGAAAAAGUUCUAUGAGUCAGCCCUUAGGCUGGAACCUGGUUACCUUGGAGCUGCAUUAGCUCUAGCUGAGCUCCAUGUUAAUGAAGGCCGCAAUGGGGAUGCUGUGUCACUGCUAGAGCGAUAUCUGAAGGACUGGGCAGAUGACUCACUGCAUGUAAAACUUGCUCAAGUAUUUGCUGCAACAAAUAUGCUCCAAGAGUCAUUGUCGCAUUAUCAAGCUGCGUUGAGGUUAAGUGUUAUUUUUGGAUAUCAAUAAUCACUUUCUCACUGUUAGGACUUAAAAGCGCGCAUUCUCAUUGAUUAUUUGCUUGGGUGUGUUUGUGUAUGGUGUGGAAAUUUUAGGGAUCCCAUUAAUAGCAAUUUAAGGUAGUCGUCCUGAAAUAAUUAAGGUCAUUUAAGAAAUUAAAUUCCAACUAUUGAUGGCAUGGGAUUAUAACACACUUUUGAUCUGUUGUGCAAUGCUCUAUGAUCAUAUGACUAUAAAGUGCUUAAUUUUUUCUUCUGACAUGGAUUGCAGGAUAAACCAACAGAAUGAAGCUGCGAAAAAAGGUUUGGAGCGCUUAGAGAAACAGAUGAAGGUCCGUCGUCUUGUUUAUACAGCUUAAAUGAGUGAUUGGGCGUUUGGUUUACAUUGUUUAGUAUAAUGAUUUGCUUAACCACGAUGAGGCAAUUCAGGAAGAUGUAGUCUAAAAGUUGUCCUUUCUGUAGGGGGUGGAUCCAGAUGCACCUGAAGAAGAUGAUGAAGAAAAUGAGGUCGAUGAUGCUGAUGGAGACCAAGAAGAGACCGAGCUUCUUUAAAUUAUGCUAACCAUGAGUAUUUGUAAAGCUUCCGUGACGAGACUCUAGUUGCAAAGAAUGCCAUCAUUGGAAGUAGAGUGGGGGGGGGGGGGGGGGGGGGGGGGUUUCCAUGUCACAACAGGCCACCAACGGAGUUUUUGUAUUGAUAUGGAGGGCGUAAGGUCUCGCAGAAUAGAUUGGGAGCAGGAGAGGAUAUUUACCAGUUGCUGCGUAGUUACGAUCGUUGCGACCAGGGCAAUCCUCCUAAUGGUGGUAACCCUGUAAUCUCCAAUUUUUUGUUGUGUCAUAUAGUGUAUUUCAUUGUGAUCUCUCUCAUGUUUCAAUACAACUUGUAUAAAGUGUUCAUAUUCUCGCCCCGUUGCAAUAACUGGAUUUCGAUGUUCUUUCGAACCUUUGUGCAUACAGCCGCCCUAGUUCAGGGUCGUCUGUAUGGCCAAAUUUACCUGUAACGGCUUUCUUAUCGUUGUACCGGUGUAAUUUUUCGUCUUUGCAUAUUUGUGGCAUCUAUCAAGUUGAUUUUGUCAGAGAACAGAAACUAGCUUCAGUAGUCAUGAGACAUCAGAAUCAACGUUUUCUUCACGUGAACAUGGAAAAACCCACAUAUGUUACAUAUCGAGUUAUACACAUACAUUUUAAGGUUCAGACCAAAACGAAAACUACAUGUUACGGUGACAGAUGGGUUCACUUCUGUACGUCGUAGAACAAGUAGGACUCUCAACGGCGAGCUCCUCAAGGUGUGCAACUGGUCUCAUAACCAAGCAAAAGCGUUGCGGAAUAUGGUUUAGGGUUCGGUGCCAUUGGAGGGCAGUUGGGAUUUGUUUAACAGCUCCCCGCUCUCCGUUGGCAAGAUGUUUUAAGUCCAUUCUUUGUUCUCUUCAAACUAGAAAGGUUUCCGAGGUGUCGGUGCUCGGUUCUCCAUAGAUUGCAAUCUCUGUUUCAGGUGGAAAACUUCAACCUGCAUAGCGACAUGAAGAGUAUGUCGAUGGUGGCCAACAAAAUAAAGAACUAAACCUUUGAUGCAGAGAUUUUUGUAAAGUUUAGAGGCAAGUUAAUUCAAAGAACAGCUACGAUAAAAGAUGUUAUAAGAGUUUCUGUAACGCACUAGUCUGCAAAAAAUGCAUACCUGUAGUUGGAAUGCCCUUGCUCGUUCUCCUGCAAGGACUCCUCUAGUUGAAUGGAGCUCCUGUUGAUCACCCGAUAUGGCUUUCAGGCAUAAAUCACUUAACGUAACAACAGAUAACUUGGUUUUUAAACAAGAACAUUAAGGUACGAAGUUUCACAGUACCUUCUGGGUAUCAUCCAAAACCGCCUUGAGGAAAGCCACAUCAUGCUCAAGCCUGACGUUGUCAGAAUGAACAAUAUUUGAGAGGUUGUUAGCCUCUUCUUGCGCUAUCUCUACACCCGCAACCUUUUCCUUCAGAAAUUCCAUCUCCUUCGCAGUGUCUGACAAUUUUCUCUCCAUCUCCUGUCUGCUCUUGAGGGCCGAGGAUAAAUUUUUCUCAGCAGCUUCCUGGCUGGCCAUCACAGUAGCUAACUUUCCUUCUAAAAUUCCAUUCUUUCUUAUUAGUGCGGCCAUCUUCGAUUCAUAGUAGUGGUACAUACUUGAAGCAGUUGAUAGGGCUCCUAGUUUACUAUCAUUCUCUGGGAACACGGCAUCGUUGUUAUCCAUUGAAAGGUUUCCAGUUCCAUGAAGGUGAGGAUUUGAAUUUUCAAAAUCAUAUCCAGAUAGUAUCUCCUCCGAAAAGAGUCUGCCUCCAUAUAUGUUAGUCUGGACUCCUGAAUCAGAUUGACUGGUUUUCUUUUCAAUUGGCUGAAAUUAAUGCAACAGUAAGUCAUUAGAUCAUCAAAAACGGUGUACGUUUAUCGAAGAAUGACUGCAUAGGGAAACAGAUUUUUCUUGCUAUUGUAUGUACAACUGAACUCAAAAGUUUUUUUUUAUUUUUCUAAAUCAUGCAAGUUCCAUCUGAGAAUUCAAAUCGGGUAAAGAUGAUAACAUAAGUCAGGUAGUGAUCAUUAAUUAAGAAAAACUUCUGCGGCUUACCUGCGAGAAAGAACUUUCAUCUUCUGAACUUUUUGCCACCUUAACAGUCGUGUUGAAUUCUUCUUCAUUGUGGAAUUGUUUCCUAAGUGAAACGUUGCCAGAAACAGGAUUCGGAUCAACAAGCAAGGACUCUGACAAAGAUUUUCUUCCAGAACCAUGUUGUUCAAUUGCAGAUGCAAGAUUUUGUCUGGUAACCGAAUUAACCGAGCGUUGGGAAGAAGCAUUACUUAGUUGAGAAGCCAAGCCUGUGGAUGAUGCGCGUUUCUCAGGCAGCAAAGUUCCAGGGCCUUUGCUGGGAAAAGAUCGACGACUUAUGGAUGAUUCAUUCUUUUCCAUGGUCAGUACUUCAACCUGUAACAAAAAAAAGUUUAGGUAAUGAGCUAAAGUUUUAUGAGAAAUCAACUAAAGUCUAAAAACAGAAAGAUGAGUUUCCAAUAACCUGAUUCGUUGGUUCCUUUCUGCAUCCCCCAAAAGAAACAAGAAAAUCCUUUUCUUUGUGUUGCACGAGCUCUAGGCUGAAACCCUGAGAAUAUAACAUAAGAACAGUGUUUAAAGCACCAGCCAAAAAAUUAUUUCUGCGCUACAUUAUUUUAGAGGAAAAGAAGAAAUCAACACCAAUGAAAAUUAUGCUACAGGUAAAAAUCACCGCUGCACACCUUAUUGGCGGUGAUUGAAGAAGGAGGCGAUGCAAUGGCCACCGACCACUCAAGUUUCAAGAUAUCAAAGAUCAGAGUCUCAGCAUGUCCUGGAACGAUUAGGAUAAGUCAAUAUAAGAUUUGCAUCCCUUUUCAAUGUUUCAAGCGCUGAGUUAAGGAAAAAUGAAAAUCAUGCAUAUAAUAUGUCAGUACAUAAACAGAGAGAAAACUUCAAGCAUGUCAUUCAAUUAUGAGGCAUACGUUUUUUCCUGCUUCCACCCCCAACAAUAUACCAUUUGGUUCCACAUAGGACCCCACAGCAACCAGCCCUAGGAGAUGGAUGGAAACCUCGUUUCUUUAUUCUUGACCACUCCAUCUGAGAGAAAAUCCGAUCAGCGUGUCAAAGGUAAACUUUACAUUCUCAUCCAUGAAGAGAUGAAAUAUUGGCUACUUAAUCAGGAAGUUUAUAAGAUGCAAGAAUGGGAGAGAAUUCACUCACAGUUUCAAAGUCCAUUGAAUACAAAUCAUUCAAAGUCUUGGAUUUUGAUGUGCCUCCAAAUAUAAAAAGAGUUUUAUCAUCAUAAAGAGCUGCUACGUGGUUGGACCUUGCAGAUGGUCCUGUACCGCUGCACAUAUAUCAAUUAUAUAUCAAAGUUGAGACAAAAUCUGUGUCUACCAAAAUAAGAAAGGAGAAGGGUUCAUUAGCAACCAUGUGCAACGUAAUAUUUGUUACAGAUAGUUCGAUCAAAGAACAAUAUCAUUGAAUUUCACACAACUUAAGAAAAUCCCACUCACGUGCAAUGAAGGGGUAACCAUGUCAACGACUUCAGAUCAAACAUAUGCAAAUCGUUCAAUUUCCUCCUUUUAGCAUCUUCACCUCCAAAUAGGAUUAAUGUAGAGCUUGCCCUGACUACAGUGUGACCAGUGCGAGCAACCUUCCAUGCAUGAGAUAUGUGGGUGGGUUAAAUUAUCACUCCAUUUAACUAUCAUUAGUUGAGUAAUUCACAAUUCCUCAGCAAGACAAUAAUUUAGAGAUACGGUACUAAAGGGUAUAUAAUUUUAACAAAGUAGUAAUUAGUUACACCUACUGGUUCAAUAUAAUUUUAAAUAUGUAGUAUUUAAAAUUAUGCUGAAGAUAAAAAACAAUGAAAAAGGCUCAAGCAGUCGUGUUAUAACUUUUCAAGUGUAAGGCCUAAGAAAAAAUUAUACUAAAGCUGAAGAAAUGUUUGUGCAUUGAAGAAAGAGAUAAUGUACCGGUAUAUCGCCCUUUGCUUCCAUAUGAGACCAGCAUUCUGUCUCUGUAUCAAAUGCCCAAACUGCACAAAUGAAUGAAACAUUGGACAAUUUCAUACAAGCACAAGCAAAAAAGUGAUGUUUUCAUGAAGCUUCAAAGACAAACUUUAACCUGAAAUUUUGUCGCUCCCCGGUUCAGUUUUUCCUCCAAUGAGGAGUGCCUUUUUCCCCCAAGACACCUAGACAGGAGAAAUGACGGAGAAAAAUUCAAAAUAUCAAGCAAGACAUUAUUGUUGAUUCCAAUUUAUGAUAUGCUAACCUUCUUAUAGUCCACAUAUACAGAAACAAUCAACCUUUCCAUGGUAUUUUUUCUCAAUGUUGCUCGGAAACUAGGUCCUAGGAAAUGGUUUUUUUAUAUCUAAUGUGUUUCGCGAGUUUAUUCAAAUUUUUGUAUUGCAUAGGGAAGGAACUAUACACUUGUUCAUGAUAACAAAGGAAAUGCAAACAAACAAGACAACAAGGUUUGGUACAUAUAUAUGAUUGUACCAGUUUGUGGCCCUUGCAUGCAGGGAUCUUUAAUGGCAGACUGCUCGGUGACAAAUAAAGCUUUGACGAAGCAGUGGUCCACGUAAAACUAUCAAAAUUAAGCACCUGACAUUUGCAAACACCACUAUCAAAUUAAUUAUCAAACAAAUCCCAAAGAUUCCUACUCCAAACUUCAACCAAAUUUCCUGCUCAUACCCCUUGAAAUGUAAAUUUACGCGAUAAACACACAUUAUCCUACCUGUACAUCAUCUAGCAAUUCAUUCCCAGAUUCACCACCAACAACUAUCAUCUUGUUCCCAAUUACAGCAGCAGCAUGCUGUUCAGGAAAAUUAAAAAAAAAUAUAAAUCUUUUGCUUUCGGCAACACCAUCAACACGCAUGAACCAAAUCAAUGUACCAUAUGAAACAAUCACAAGAAAAAGCAUUAAUAACAUUGUACAUUGAAGCGGGGCGUAGGCUGGUCCCCAGAAAUCAACAACACCAUCCAAUUCUCAGAGCUCCCAGUGGCGGAAUUACUAAUCUCGGGCACAGCAGAUAGACACUGGCUAUCGAGCUCAUCGGAAUUACUAGUUGCCGGCACAUCACAUUCAUUCUGAAAAAUGUAAACAACCUUUAUCGUACUAGGGAUUCAUUACACCGAAAACAACAUACACGCAAUACAAAGCUUAAAAAAAAAAGCCUUACAUUGGAGCUGUUAUUUCGUUUCGGGUGUCUUAUGGGGCUUCUAGUUCCCUGAGCAGAAUCUGAAAGCUGGACUUUCAACCUGAACACAGUAAAUACCAAAUUUAUAUCAAAAUCUGAAUCUUUAAACAUAAUUAACACCACAAUUUCAAAUGUAAAAACCUACACGUUAUUUACCGACUGCCCCAAUGAUUAAAAGGUUAAAACUAAAAAUUAAAAAUUAAAAAUUUCAAAUUUUUACAAAAAGGGGAAAACAAAAAGAAGAAAAAAGUUAGUUCAAAGAAAGUAGAAAUAAAGCAAAAGGAGAAUAAGAACAAAAGCUCUCACCGUCCAAGCUUCAUGCGCCUGCGAGAAAAACCGAACAUCUUCGUCAAACAACCACCUCAGCAGCAGGAACAAACCUCUUCCUUCCCUAAACAAGCCAAAAAAAACCAUCAUCGGACUCGCCAAAAAAUCGAACAAAAUCCUAAAUUUCAAAAGGGAAGCUACAUUAAUCUUCGAGUAAACAAAUGAAGUUCUCAAUAAAACAAAAUAAUUAGAGUUUUACUUUAGUGUCGCUGUGAGCAAGUGGUUGCUUGCCUUCUGUUUGGUUGCCGAGAAAGUUAAGGAAAAUGGGGGAGAGAAAAUCCCGAAUCACGAGCGGGUGAGUUUAACUGAGUGAGUGAGCUGGAGGCAGGGCCUGGUAGGCUGGUACUGUAACUAUACAGACCAGAGGUUAAGGUGCGUACGUUAGCAUCUUGGCGCUGGUUGUCCUGUAGUGCAUCACUGGAAUUUCCUUUUGUUUUUUUUUACUGAAAGAUAAAAAUCCUUGCAAGUAUUUUCAAGAUUGUCACUGUAGAAAGUAUAAAUUAAAAUAUAAUUUUAUUCUUCGUACAUCCCUUUUUACCUUCCAACAUCUUAUUUUUCAAACACCUUUAAUUAAAUUUGCAUAUUUCUCUAAAUGCUUAUAAUAAAUUUAUAAUAAUAUUUUAAAAUUAUUCGUACUUAAAAAUAAUUAAAAAUUUGACACAACUUCUUUAUUUGAGCAUCAUUGGGAAAAUGGAAAAAACGUAGUGGAUGAAUGACGAGAGAAAUGGAAGGACGAACUCCGAGAGAGAGAGAGUUGGGUGGUGGCUGCAACAACACUUUUCCAUUUAUUUUUUAUCUUAUUUUUAAAAGGGAAUUUUAACGAAAAGCAUCCGAUACUGUUCAUUUUAACGAAAAACCACAUUUUUACACUAAAAAGUCAAUCAUGGUAGUAUUCACUUUACCCUUUAUUUUGUCCUUAUCAUUAAAACUCAAAGUUUUCAAGUCCUUUUCAUUAGUUUUCUUUUUUUAAAAUGUUAGGAAUUAUUUUUUUAAAUUUAAUUAGGUAUUUUGCUAACUUUAACAAUAAACAGGAUGGUUAUUUAAAAAAAAAAAGAAAUUGUGGAUGUCCAUACAAAUUAGGAAAUUAAUUACAUAUUUUUUUCUGUUUGUGUGAAGUGUGGUGUGGAUGAACGUUGGGUGGGGGAGUGACAGUUGAGAGAGCGCGGUUAAAUAUUCGAGAGAGAUAUUUAUUGUAUGCGACAGUGGGUCCCUGGGGUUGUCUUGGGACUUGCAAAUUUCAGCUCAAAAGAUCAAAUCUCUGUUUACGUCCACGUUUCGAUUCGUAGAGUGUUGUAUGGUUUUGAUAUUCUCGAGUAUAAAAAGGUUAGUUCAUGUUAAUGAUGCGAUUUAGUAAUUAAUCUUUUUUUUUCUUUUUUUUUAUUAUUAUUUUGUUAAUUAGUUUUGGUGACGAUAAAUAAGAGAAUGAAUAAUUUUGACUACUCAAACACGGGUAGGAAUUUCUACUUAGAACUCUUGGUAUUCAAAUCACAAAACUUUUUGCUUAUGAUCAUAACUGUUUAUGUUAUGAAUCACUUUAUAAAGAUUAUCUCGGCAAGAAAUGAAUUAAAACUAAGGUCGUCUAGUCAAUUUAUUGUAGCAAAUACAUAGACGAUCCGUAAUACUUUUACCAAUUCCGUUUAUAUGUUUUUAUAUGACUAAACGACCUUAGUUUCAAUUGAUUUUUUGCAAAUGUGAUCUUAAUAGAGUGACUUAUAAUAUAAACGACUUUGAUCAUAAACAAGAAGUUCUAUAAAUCAGCAACGAAUGGUUUUGAGUAGAAACUCCUACUCACCAAGUGUUGUUCUGAGUGAAUACACUACUGUGAUCAAAUUAGUUUAGUUUGAGUAUGCACGAGUACAAGUGGCAAAUCAACUCAUUGAAUUGUUAACGGGUACCAUUAAUUAAGAACCAUUUAAUUUGAUUUUACCUUACACUAUCAUAACCAGUACUAAUCUCAUCUCUAUAUCUUAGUGAUAUUAAAUUAUACGGGUCUUAAUGGUACCCACUAACAACCUAAUGAGUUGCUUUGCCUACUUUAUGACUGUGUUAGUUUUGUGUCUAUAUAUUAAAUACUAGCAUAUGUCCCACACUUUGUGUGCUAAAAUAUUUUUUGUUUUUGUUUUAAAAUGGGAAGGAGAGAGAGAGAAAAAGAGCAACGUCGAUUUGGAGAGAGAAAUUUUAUUCUUAUUUUUUUGAAUUAGAGAAUGUUAAAAUCACUUUUUGGUGAGACUUAAAAAAAACUAUAAAACUUAGUUUGUGUGAAAUUUAUUUUUUUUGGUUGAAAAGAAACAUUCAUUAAGUGGAAAAAGUUACAGGCCAAAUCCAAACAGAAAGCAAAAAUAACCCAAAGCAAACUGGGGGGAAUCAAAUACAUAAAGCCCAGCUUAAUAAGCAAACUAACGAAAAUUAAAACCCUAAUCCCUAAUUUCCAAACAUAGGCUACCGCUGCCGCUGGUAUCACGAACGUCUUGCUAGUAGCCACCAAAGCAGCAAUAUUAGAGAAAGCAAUCGAGUGGUCAAUUCGAUCAAGACAUCAUAACAGAAAACCAGCAACUAAAAGUACACUACAACCAGAAUUUGUCACUAAAGACACCAAACCGAGAAAUAGUCACUAGAUCAGAAACACCAUGACAAAUCCCUUCAAAUAUAUACAAACAUAGUAGCAUGGAUAGAAGGUGAGGCUAAGGAGUAUGUAAAAUACCCUUACUUUGGCCAAAACCACAGAACACUUGGCCUCGAGGGGAUCCCGGCAUGCUAGUUAGGGGAGAGAAGUGAGCAAGGGAGAGGGAUAUGGCAUCCAUUUUCGAUUCGGCGCAGCACCCAGGAUAGGGUGCGGGUAGAUUAUGAAGAGUUAGAAAGGAAAGGUGGGGGGAGAUGAAGUUCUGGGUUUGCAAAGGGACGCCCGAAAAAGAGGGAGGGUGGAGAAAGAGCGAUGAUCGCCAAAGAAAGGGCAUGAAGCCCGAAACUGAGACAAGCUCAAGGAAAGGAGGAGACCAAGCUCAAAAACUGAGACAAAUCUUUUAUUCAUUUAUUUUUCUUUGACAUUAAUAAACGAAAAUUAAAAAAGAAGCAGUAGACAUCAGCACAAUGGAUAUCAAUAAUCUGUCACUUUAUGGGCAGAGUAAUAUUUCUUGAAAGCCCUAGGCAGAUAGACAUGCAACAAGAACCCAGAUAAAUUGAAGCACCAAAACCCCAUAUUAGCAAUAGCAAAGCCCUCUCCCAGUUGGCAGAGAGGAGAACGACAACGGUGACGGCGUUGAUCUACCAGAAGUUGCAGAAACAGGGAGAUGUUGGUUACAGAUCAAUGGAGUUCUACUCCUUUCUUGUUUGGAUGCUUAUAGGGUUCUUCCGGCUUGUUAAUUUUAUUUUUAACUUCUUUCUAGAUUUUAAGCUAUUUCAGUUACUUUUAUCCACAUAAACAUCUAUGUCAUUUAAUGAAUCAAUAAGGACUCUUGGAUGUUAUGUAAUCUACGGGUUUAAAAAAGUGCAAAAAUAUUUGUCAAAAUGUUUGUCCAUUAAUGGUAUCCCUAUAUAUGUAAAAAAGACGAGCUAUCCGCCACCAAUUUUGCUUAAAACCAGACCGACAAAACGUGGGGACCUAAACUUCCAAUACACACUCCACUACUCUACCCCAAACAAAAGAGUGAAAUGCCUUGAUUUGCAUGUUGAGAUCAAGUGUAUCAAACUUUGGAAUUGCUCCAAAACCAAACACAUAUAUUCUUUGCCGUAUCUAUUAACUACCUAAGACAGUGACAAUUAUUCAUUAGCUUCCGUUAGGCCCAUUUCACAGGUUGUUUUUUUCCUUUAGAUAGCAAAACCGUCACUUAGCACUAUCAUCUAGUAAUAUUAUACUCUACUUAUAACAGUAAGUUUUAAAUGCCACUAACUAGUGAUAUUAUGAGUAACGAAUUGUGUGUGUUAUAGUACAAACUUCAUCUCUAGUGUAUAAAAUAUGUCGUCGUAUUAAAAUAAUAAUAAGAAAUAUAGCAUGAGGGCUGAGGGCUAGAGGAACCCAAACUAUCCAAUGAUCUUCCCAGUUCAAAAAAGUAAAAUAAAAUAAAAUAAAAAACUAUAUCCCCCAGAAGAGUAGGAAGAGAACUCAAUUCCCAAUUCAAUUGAGCCGAGAAAUCUGCUGUAAUUGCCUCCCUACAAAGUUAUCUUGACAUAUGAUACAUUUCAUGCUUCACGUAUAUAUAUCCAAUUUAUAAGGGCAAUUAUAAUAAUUUCGUUUUCAGUUUUUAGAAAAAUGAAAACUAAAAACUAUUUUCUUGAGUUUUCAAAAUUGAUCUUGAGCUUUUAGUUUUUGGUUUUCAGUUCUUAUUUAUUUUUAGCUAAAAACUAAAACUAGCUACUAAACAAGAUUUCGGUUUUCCUAAAAGUGAAAACCAAAAACCAAAAACCAAAAACUAAUUAUUAUCAAACGACCCAUUACUAAUCACCUCUCAUGUAAAACUACCUUGCAGAGAUAGAUAUUUCACGUGAAUGUGAGUUCAUAGGAAGUUUGAUGAAUGAUAUUAAUUAGUCUAAAUAUUCUUUUUAUCCAUUUAUAAUUAUUGUUGUUGUUGUUACAAUGAAAGGGAAUUAUUGUUGUUGUGAUCUGGUUCUAGGAUAUUGGCCUUUGCAGAGGGGAUUAUAACGAGGCUAAAUAUCCAUAUGCUUGCAUUAUUAUAACAAAUUCUGCUAGUGUUAACCGUUGAUUUUGAUUGUCCUUAAUCCUAAUUAACUUAAAUCACAACUUAAGCUCGAUCUUACAUGAACAUUGAAAUUACAUUGUAUAAGUAGGCACCAAGAUUAGAAAAAGUAAGAUUUUAUUACUAUAAUAAUUAACCAGAACCAGAAACAUAGCAUCUUACAAAAAAGCUAGAGUACAUAAUAAGUUAAUAACCUUAUUAUAUGAUAUUAUCUAUAUAUAUAUAUAUAUAUAU